rnacentral:lncRNA from 1 species
UCUCAUCUUGUUGUGUUUGGAGGAUGUGGAAGGCAGGGUCUCUUGAAUGAUGUCUUUGUGUUGGAUUUGGAUGCCAAACAACCAGCAUGGCGUGAAAUCUCUAGUUUGGCACCUCCGCUUCCAAGAUCUUGGCACAGCUCCUGUACCUUGGAUGGAACCAAGUUGAUAGUCUCUGGUGGUUGUGCAGAUUCUGGUGUACUUCUCAGUGAUACUUUCCUGCUUGAUCUGUCUAUGGAGAAGCCUGUGUGGCGUGAAAUACCAGUGACAUGGACUCCACCUUCUCGUUUGGGCCACACACUCUCUGUUUAUGGAGGCCGGAAAAUACUUAUGUUUGGGGGUCUUGCCAAGAGUGGUCCUCUGCGUUUUCGAUCAAGUGAUGUGUUCACAAUGGAUCUCAGUGAGGAAGAACCCUGCUGGAGAUGUGUUACAGGAAGUGGAAUGCCUGGUGCGGGAAAUCCCGGAGGCGUUGCUCCUCCCCCAAGGCUUGAUCAUGUGGCAGUAAGUCUCCCUGGUGGCAGAGUUCUGGUCUUUGGUGGGUCCGUUGCUGGUCUCCACUCAGCCUCACAGCUCUACAUUCUGGAUCCAACAGAAGAGAAGCCUACAUGGAGGUUAUUAAAUGUGCCUGGUCGGCCUCCAAGAUUUGCUUGGGGACAUAGUACAUGUAUUGUUGGUGGAACUAGAGCAAUAGUCCUCGGAGGUCAAACUGGGGAAGAAUGGAUGCUCGGUGAGCUGCACGAACUCUCUUUAGCAAGCUCUGUUGUAUGAAUAAAAAGAAAGGUAAUAAUCAAGAGAAGGUGUUGUGCUGAAUUCACAAUGAAAAUUUUGCCUCUAGAAUAAAGGGAGUCCUAGUACAAACUAUUGUAGUGCGGUUUUUGCCUUGGACCAAAUGCACAGUUGAUUAGCAAAGUACCUUUUGAGUUGGUGGCUAUCUUGUUUAUUCUUGUGUGGCUCAUAGGCCAUGCUGAGCCGAUCUUGUUGAACAGUUGGUCUGAAUUGAGCUUAAUUUUGCAAGGUUUGCAUGGAAUGAUUUCGCUUGAUGCACUCGAAUUAUUCACCCGUUGAAAGCUAGGUGUAGCUUGAUAGAUCAGUAGAUUAUUCUGUAUUCUUAGGUUAGUGUGUAUUGUGUAUGGAUGUGUGUGUGUUGUUCAAGUCCUGUAAUUUGAAUCCUGUGGGCCAAUAUGCAAAAAUAGAAGAAGUAAAGUUAAAAAAAAAGGUAAAGAUUUGCAGAACCGGAUGCAUGGGUGUCUGUAUUAGAUUUAUAAAUUACCCCUUGCGUUGUUUAAUAACAGUUCAUUCGACGACAUUUUUUUUCCGUUUGAGUAUCUCUCACUCAAACAGCUUAACAGCAUAUGGAAAUUGUUUAGGACAGUCUUUCCUGUAUAGGGUUUUUUUAGUUUUUGCUCUCUCACAGGUGUGCACAUGGAUGGUAUCUAUUUAAGAGUUAUUCUUAUAAUGCUGUGUGGCGGCUUUGCAGUGUGGCAACUUUCAGAGUAAGAAACUUGUUCCCGGAUUGUUUUACAAAGUAUUUCUGUUCGUGUUUACUGUAAUUGUUGUGCUUGUGUACAACUUUGUUUUUGUUGACAAGGGAACCCACAGCCAAUACCCUUUGGAUUCCUUGAAGAAAAUUUUGCUUCAUAUGUGAUAACUCUCAAACUACACUCUAAAUUCCGCUUCAGUGUAAUAACUCUCAAACUACACUGUAAAGCGACUCAAACUACAUUGUAAAGCGGCAGUCAUAAUUUCUUACUUGGAAUAGUAUGAACUAGUAUUAUUCGUCUGUCAAAAAACAAAAUAAAUAAUGUCAGCCAAUUGUGGCUCUUAUAGUAUCAUAUCCGUUCCUGUUUAAGGUUUUAUGGUCACUGACAAGAAAACUGAAUACAAACUGUAUACCGUUUUCUUGGGGAACGUUCCUGUUUAAGGGUUUAUGGUCACUGACAAGAAAACUGAAUACAAACUAUAUACCGUUUUCUUGGGGAACGAAUCAGGUAAUACAUGCGUUUUUUCUAGUUUGUUGAAGCAGAUAGAAGAGUUUCUUUGAGUUGCUUCCAUCGUUGUUAUUGUCAAUUGAGUCAAGUAAUUUAAUAGGCGUUUGUCCAUAGAUUUAAAAUUCACUUUUUUUAAAAAAUUUUUUUAUGGAGUUAAAAGAUGUUUGGUUAUAUUUUUGGCAAAGAAUGUUUUGGAGUUGUGUCCAGAACAUACUUAAAUACAAUUUUGAAAGUGAGAAGUGAGUAGAAACACAAAUUAUAAAUUGUUUUUCAAUUUUGAGAUACAAUUCCAAGUGAAAUUAUUAUGGUUAAAUAUUGCUUCUCCAAUAAAAUGAAACUCAUUCUGAAAAAAGAGUGAUUGUAGUUCAAGACUCUUCACCUGAGUCGUCCAUGUUAGAACAUGAACAACGGAAGCAAUUAGUAAGGAUUAAUUGAACUUACAUAAUAUCUAGAUAAUAAAAAAAUUGAACUACAGAAAGUUACUUAUUUAUUGAAGUUUUCACUCAAUUCGUUUAACGUCUUAUUCGUGUUGCCUGUCAGGUCUACAAUCUUUUGCCAAAAUUGCAUUAGCUUUUUUCAAUCAACACCAGGGGAUGGAUUCAGUCGGCGAAAGUUCCUUGUAGCUUGAUUCUUUACUCAUUCUAUAGGCUUGGAGUCAGAAGUCCUAUUCUUCCCAAAGUGACAAGUGAUUAUUUUUUAGAAAAAGAGGAACUUAAUAAAAAAUGAGCCCGUAUUUAUUUUCAAUUUCUAUUAAAGAAGGGAAGAAAAAGAGGCAAAACGUUUCUUAUUACAGGUUUAAUGCCAAAAACGUUUUUGGCCUUAAUGUAACCAUAAUGCCAAAAACUGAUUUUUAAUUCACUCUUUUAUUUCUUACCAGUUUAGGUAUACGCGCCUCGUGCGUGUACUUCACUUUAAUAAAUUUAAACAUAAUACUAAAUAAGAUAUUUUUUUAAAUAAUAAAGAAGGAUACAAUAAUUAAAUUCAACAUCUUUUGAACAUGUAAAGAUGAAUGAAUUUAUUUAAUUAAAUCUGAUAUUUACAAAAAAAAAAAUAAAAAAAAUUUAAAGCCAAUCGAAAUUUAUCUAUCAUCUAUAAAUUACAACAAAACAAUACAAAGAUAGAGAUAUCAAAACAAUAUAAUUAAAUCAAACCUUUGCAAAAAAAUUUCCUCAAAGUCGAUCGAUCAUCUACCACCUAUCAACUACAACAAAAUAAUACAAUAAUAGAGAUAUCAAAAUAAUACAACUAAAUCUAUUUUUUACGCAAAAAGAAAAAAAUCUCAAAGUAGAGAUAUCAAAAUAAUACAAUUAAAUCUAACCUUUACCUAAAAUUUUUUUCAAAGCUGUCCGACAUUUAUCUAUCAUCUGUAAACUAACAAUAAAAUAAUGCGAUAACAAAAAUAUCUAAACAAUACAAUUAAACCUAAUCUUUACAUAAAAAAAAUCAUAACUUAUUAUUUGAUUAGAAACCACUAAGUUGCUCAAUAACGAAAGCUAGUUAUUCAUGACCAACAAAUCCAAUGUAAUGUAAAAGAAAAUUUAAAACCUAGAAACAACAAAGUCACAGUGUAGAUUCAAUAAUGAGUUACAUAUAUACAAACAUGAAAAGAUGUUUUGUUAUUCUUGAUCGAAAACCAACAUAAUCAAAUUUUUUUUUUGAAACCUGAAAAUUAAACCAACACAUUAUAUCAGAGAUCCAGUAACAAAACUAUUAACAAGCAUAACUAGAUGAUUUGUUACUUUGGUUAAUAAAAUUAAAACGUAAUAUAAAUAGAAACUUGAAAUUCAAAAAUUAUAAAAUAACCCCAAAACAAAGCUACAAUCACAAAAUUUUAUUAUGCAAAUAAGGUAUUCGUAUAAAUCUAAAAAAGGACUUCUAAAAUUGAAAAAAAAAAUAAGGACUCCUAAAUUAAAAUAUCAUAAUAAAAAAUAAUAGUCCUAACCUAAAAAAAAGACCUUUUUUUUUUCUUGGAAAAAUCCACUACCCUUUUUCACGGAUUACAUUGAGUUUUUGAAAGAAAAAUUUUCUUCUUCUUUUAGGAUUCUUAACCUAUUUUAUGUAAAAUAGUUUCAUCACUUUUUCUAAAAUAUUUAAAAUUUUACCUUAUAUAGAACUUUUUUUUAUAUAAUAAUUUCUUUGAAGUUGAAUUUUCUUUAACAAAAUAUUGAUAAAUUUAGGAAUUCAGUAAAAAGUAGAAAAUCUUCUUCAUUUAUUUUUUUAUAUAUAGUUAUUAUACUCAAUAUUCAAUAUUAUAAAUUGAAGAAAAAUGUGAAAAGACGAUUUUGUCUAUUACACAGUCUUUUAAUGAAGGAAAAAAAAGUUCAAAUCACUUUUCUAAGGAUCUUCACACUUUUAAUAUAUUAUAGAUUAAUAGAUGAUCAGUAAUUUUUAAAAAAUUACUUCUUCUAUAAAGUUUCUUUCAUUUUUUAAAAAUGAUUAGUUAAUUAGGCGUGGUAGGGACCACAGAUUUAAUGUUUAAGGCUUCCAAUUAUGAUAUUAAUUCAGUAUUGAAUCAAGUAUCAUAUCAUAAUAAAUUAUAAAUUAUUGCAUUAAAAAUCUAUAAUUGCACUCCUCGAUUUAAUUUCAAAAUCUAUCAUUACAUCUUAUUUAACUCUCCAUGUUAGAAUUACCAACACCAAUCAAUUAAAUCAAAUUUAUGAAAAAUUUAAUUAAUUGAUUAGUUUAAUAUUUUAUUUAUAAUACCUAACUUAUUUUAAAUGACGGAUAUAAAAUUCACCUGCCGGGCUUUCACGAGAAAAAUUUAUAAGCAACCAUAAAGGGGUGUCUUAUAUCUCAAGUAUGAACAUGGUUCUAUCAACUAAUUAUUAUUUCACUAAGUUAUUUAUCAUCAUCUAAUCUAUUAGGAAUAUAUUGACUCAUAAAGAAUCUCACAUUUUAAUAGAUUAAAAUAAUAAUUCAAGCCAUAGAUCAUAAUAAUUAUAUCAAGAUUAAGAGUAUAAAUACAUGUAAUAGACUAGAGAAGUUACUUAUUAGUAUUCAAAACAUAAACAAACAUCUCUAAUUGGUCCGUUCAAUAUAUAGUAAAUGUUCUAGCACAAGAAGUUGAAAUAUUACCACUCCCAUAAUUAAGAUCAAAUUAUAUUUAAUUUUAUGCUACAAUCAUCAAGAUGUUUGUCCUACCUCAUCUUUGAUUGUGAACAUUAAUUUAUUACUUAUAAGAACCAGCAAUUUUAAUCUUCUGUGCAUGAGUUAAAAUAAUUCAUACAAAAAUUGUCUACAAUAUAAGUAAAAGACACGCAUGUUAACACAAUAAUAUAUUCAAAUAAAUAUUUUAUUAAAUAAAAUAAAAUAUAAUAAAUUAUCUUUACAUAGGAUAAAAAUAUAAUACUAUAACAUAAAUCACAUGAUUAAAAGUAUAUCCUAAAAAUCUCCCACUUAGACUCAUAACCAUGUAUUCACAAUUUUAACACCCAAUUCUUUAACAUGCUUAUCAAAAACCUUUUGGGUUAAGCCCUUUGUAAAUGGGUUCAUCAAAUUAUUCUUCGACUCAAUCUUCAAAACUCUCACAUCACCCUUUUUAGUUAUAUCCCAAAUCAAGUGAUAUUUCCUCUCAAUAUGUUUAAUUCUUUCAUGGCUUUGUGGUUCUUCCGAGUUUGCAACUGCAACACUAUUAUCACAAUAAAGUGGUAGUGGUGUUUGAAUCGAAGGACAACUCCAAGUUCUUUGAGAAAGUUAUCGAGCCAAACAACCUCCUUAGCAACCUCCUAAAAGGCUGUUUGAUCGUCAAGUUGAAAUACUUAUUAUACUUCUUCAAUCCUAUUACCUUCCUUAUAGAUAGAGCUAGUUCGUAGCAGGUUUAUAAUGUAAACUAGAUUCCAGGAAUUUUCCAUUCUUAUAAAGGAAAUAGUCGUGGUUUAUAGAUGUAUUGGUUCUUAUAAUCGUAUUAUUUGAAUAUUGGUGAUGGCAUGCAUAGAUUCGGUACAUUCAUGACCACUUAGAUGGUAAAUGGUACAAUCCCAAGAAAAAUAUGAUUUUAUUACUCUUUUCCUAAAAAGGGAUUUAGUCCCACUUUUCACUUUUAAAAUGGAUUUAUUUCUAAUGGGAAUCGUACCAUCUUAAUGAAUAACUUAUGAGUAUUCGAGACCAAAAAUGACAAUUUAUAGAUUUGACCAAGAUAGAUUCCGUCUCAUGAUUUUCUACUACUAUUUUCUCCAAUCGUGAGAUAUUUCGACCCUUUCUAUAUUCCUACGAUGAUUUAGUCUCGAAUUUUACCUUGAGUAAUGGUUUUACGGAUUUAUACUUUUUAGCCAUAGUUCUAGUAGUGCAAUUAUACAAUUCCAUAUAUAUAUAUAUAUAUAUAUAUAUAUAUAUAUCAUAUGCCAGGAUAGGGAAUAAGGCUUAACAUGCAUUCCAAAACUUUAGUCUGUAUACUAGUACAUCUGUAUUGACCCCCUUCCCUUCCAGGUUCUGAGGCUCAAUCUAGGGGUCCUGGUAAGCCGUAGAUUUUCUCCAAACAGAAAUACAGAGUUAUGUGGUGAGCCUUCUAUAUCUUAGAAGGCCUAGUUUACUUCAGUCAUUUAUCAUUAUAUGUUUGUAACGCCCCAAAAUCGGAUUCCGAGACGUCAUACGGUGCUUAAGGUCACAAGUGACCCCAAGCGAACCCUUCAUCUGGCAUAACCCAAAGCAACUAAAUAAAAUACAUAAAAUAGAAGGACUAAUGCGGAAACAACCCAUAACUUAGUCUGACCAACAUGAAAGUAAAUUUACACGGACACAAUUCUGCUCAUAUAUAUACAAAUCUGAAACUGAAUACACUGACUACUAGUGACUGUCUAUGAAGCCUCUACUAGCAUUGACCAAAGAUAGCUGGGUCAUGACUCCCAGCUACCCCUACUCAAUACAACUGAAUACAGAAAAUACAAUACACCUCAAAUCUAAACAACUCAAGUCCCUAAAGCAAAAGGACUAAUCAUCUGCCGAUCGAGAGCUGUGACCCAGCUGAACAUGAUAUGUGCGCUACAGAUUGUACCUACAUUUUGGUAAGAAUGUAGCCCAUGGAAAUAUGUGGGUCAACACUUUAAAAUGUACCGAGUAUGUGGGGGUGCCUGCAACAAUAUAAAUAGUAUAAUCAAUUUAAUGAAAACAUGCAUACGGACAAUGAUGACUCACUUGGCUUGAGUUAUAUCAAAUCAUACUUUUCGUAAUUUCAUAAUAAACAGUUCAUAUGAUAAAAUCUCGUAAUCCACAUAAAUCAUUAUAAAUCAUAAAUUAUGAUAAAUCAUCCUAAAUCAUCAUAAAUUAUCAUAUCAUUAAAAAUCAUCAUAGGUAAUUAUAAAUCAUCAUAAAUGACCAUAAAACAUCAUAAACAUCUCAAAUCUUUGACUCAAAUCUCGGAGUGACUCGGUAAUUCAAGAAACUUAAUCUUAUGGACACGGGAGUUUCCUAUAACCGACAACCCCACGUAAGCUACAUGGAAUACCAACGUUUGAAACCCCCGUUGACGGGAGCAUCAUACUCUUUGCCAGGGAGUAUGACCUUAAAACUGCAAUAAUCACAAUUGGACUCUCUGGCCAAUAAUAUCAUCAUCAAAUAACCUUACGGUGGCACAUAGGUUCGGAGAAAUACCAAAUUUCCCUCUCGGUGCUAAGUACUACUCCCCGACAAGCUCAGAAUGUGUUAGGAAAUCCACCACAACAUCUCAAGGGUCUAUCAUAAAGACCAAAUCAAAUCUCUUUCUCAUUUAUCAAGUCAUAUCAAUUUGUGGAUUCCUAACUCAACACAUUUUAGCUCAAAACAUUUUAAUGACCAUGAUUCCGUUUCAUUAUGUAUUUCCAUAUUAUUUUUUUCAUAUAAGGACAGUGUAUAUGAUUACAAGUUAGAAAGGCGUCCAGGCCUUCAUAGUUCAGGAUGCUCAUCACGGCUAGGGCCUCGGUUCGGGUCGUGACACAUAUGCUAAUCCAUAAAAUGUGGCCACCAUCAGAGUGCCAAAAAUGUAGCAUCCCAAAAACAAAUACAAAUUUGGGGGCACCCCCAACUAAAAGGAAUGUAGUACCCUACUGCAUGUGCAUUAAGGCAAGAGUAAGAAGGGUCUCCCUGAAUUUGCAUCUAGAGCUGCUCUUUCCCACUGACUCUGCACCAUUACCAUCCGCAUUAUCGAUAGACCAAUCAGUAGGGGCCUCGUCUUCACUGUCCAACCUAGGUGAAGGUAGUCAAUUGAUUGGGUUUGAGCACCUUAAAUAUACCCUUCAACCCCUUCCAUAGCUUCCUAAAUAACUUAUCUCUUUUUUUUUCUCUCUUCACCUUCUUCUCAUGAAAAUCCUUGAGGUACCUAUGUGACGUAGCUUAGGCUGAAUAAGCUCUCUCCAAGCUGGAGACUGUGGCUCCCUACUUCUUAUACUCUUCUCUGUAUUUCUCAUAGUCUGACUAAGCUACGUAUGAGUGGCGAGUAGUAGAGGACUCUCAUGGUCCUUGAGGUAGUUUGGACAAUAGUUCCCGCACCACCUGCAAAUGACCAGAGAUGUUAUCAAAGGUGAUGGCUGAUGAGGGUCUGCAAGAGUCUUUGUCCUCUUGGACUAAUUUACUCGAGUCCAUCUGUCUCUUUUUGCUCUAACCUAGGGUACCCUAACUUCUAAAUUUGAGUAGGAAGAUACAGGGGCCUGGGAGAACCCAGGUAUCUGUAGGGUAUUCCUCUACUUGUGCCCUCUUGCAUAGCUCUGUGAUAAGGGAAGGGAGGAGAAAAUGUGUUCCUUUAUGAUUUUUGAAGUACCUUCACUCUGAAUGCUCAAUCUUGCCCAUAUUCAGGGCGAUGCCAGAUAGGAUACUAGCCACCAUCUGAGCUCGCAUGUCUAUGACAAUGGUCAUGUGAGUGCAUGGAGAUACUCGGCUACAGACGAUAUUCAGCCAAAGUCUAGCCUCAGCUGUGAAGUCAUUCAUUAGAAUGUCUCUCUUGGUGGUGGCCCAAGGAACCUCUUUGCCAACAUAUAAAAUAUCCUCUAUCCAGGUCCCUGGCUCAUAUCCCUUUGCAUGAAACUUCUCCAUGUCAGCAUCCGGGAGCCCAAAUACCUCGUUUAUCCGCUCUAUCCCAAAGUUUACUUGCCUUUCCCUAAUAGUUAUUAUCAAAUUUGUGAAAGAAGCUAUGCUUAGGUUAGCAUAGAAUUCACAUACCUAGUGCUCAUUAGAAAUAUAGGGGUUCGGGGAAAAGCACAUCCACCCAAUCUGAUUAAGUUUGGCAUGAAAACUCGGGAACUUUUCCUCUACUUUAUCUAAGCUGAUACCCUUUUCAGCGAGCAACUUAGUUCUCGGCAAGUCUACAUAGUAAUCAGACCAUCAUUAGCAUUAUCAUACCAAAAACAUGCUAGAUCAAACAUAUAAGCUUAUGUGGCAGUGUUAUAGAGUGUUUUGGGGGCAGAAAUUGAUGUACUAAAAUUUUUGUUCCUACAGACAUUGCCCUCAGGUAUGGCGAUUGUCGAGCAUUGACUGCAACCGUGGUGUUGCAAUUGCGAUCAUUGGGGUCACAAUUGCGAUACCUGCUACCUUAGUGAAAAUAUUCUGCACAAUGCCCAAAACAAAAUUUUAACCCCAAUUCUUUAUUUAAACUAGACAUAUCAAUAUUAUAAGCAAGGAAUUUAAGCCUAGAAUGUGUGAUUGUGGCCCCAAACUUGGAAGAAUUCAAAUUGAACUCAUUGGGUCAUUAAAUCAAACACAUGUGUACAUGAUCAUUUCAACUGGUUUAGGACUAAAUAUGGGUACUCAAGACUUCCCUGUUAGUGUGUACACCAACUAUAAUAGCUAACCACAACAAUGAUCAUCAACAAGCAUGCAUUUUAUAAUUAAAGCAUUAGUUCAGGCCUUUCUCUAAACUACAAGUUCUAAGCAUGCAAUUAAGUUAAAAAUUAGGGAGUAAGGACAACAUACAAAGUUUUGGUGAUGCAGUUGGAAUAAAAUGACACUUGGAUACGUAAUGCAAAGCCAUAAAUUUGAGAGAAUUAUGAAAGAGAUGCGUGUAGGAAAUUGGCAUUUGGAUGGUCAUUUAAACUGACUUGACUGCGAUCGCGGUCCUAGCUCCGCAAUUGUGGUCACGUGGUCUCCGCAAUCGCAGUAGCAUAGACCGUGUUUGCGGUAAUUGAGACCAAAGAUUGGGUCUCCUGCACUCUUUUGUUCAAUCCAACAUGCCAAUUUCACAUGUUCUUUUCUUAAUUUCACUCAAUAUUCCUCUGUGUGCCAACAUUUCAUGGAUUAUGCAUGAAUAAAACAAAAAAAUAAAAUCUACUCUACCAUGCAUAAAUAAAAAUGAUAUAUGCCACUUUUUGUGGCUUGAUGGGUUGCCUCCCAUCGAGGCUUAGUUUAACAUUGUGGCACGAUGCCUCCUCCAUCUCCUUUUAUUUUUUCACUUAGAAGAUUUGAAUCUCAAUCGCAACUUUCAUUCAAUAUGUAAUAAGUAGUAGAGGGACAGAAGAUUUAAGUCUUCCAAGAUGAAACUUGGAAGAUGUGAGGACAUGGAAAACAAGUUUCGAUCUCGCCAUUUUGAAGACUAAAAAUUUUUACCCAACUUUACAUCAAAUUUCCAUAUUUAUAAGCCACUCACUGAACAUCAAAAGUUGAUUUCCUUGGCCAUUGAUGUUGGGGCUUCCAUGUGCUACUUUGGAGUGUCAACUCCCAAAAUAUAGAAUUCGUAUCCUUUCUCCCCACAAUCCAUCAUUUGUCUUGGUGGAUAGAUUCUCAUCACAUUCUUGAGGCAUAAUGUCAAAAAGUGGUUUGAAUGAGGUCCAAUCCCUAACUUUGGAAUAGUCUCCUCCGUAGCAUCUUUACUUCUAAAUGAACAAGAGUCAUUAUAAUAGAUUAGUCUUGAUUCUUUUUUGACUCUAGCACUUUUUUUGGACAUCUUCACUACCAAGCUCAUCAUCAUAGCGUUAUUUCUCUUCUUGAUUAGCCUCCUCUUGGGAAAUGGGAAAGGUAAUGGUAUUUGCAAGAUUUGUUUCAUUGCCCAUUUCCUCUAUCUUGACAAUUUCCCUUCCAAACACCUCAUGGGAUUGAUACAUGUCUUGCAUAUUCUCCCUCGUUGUAGUUACCUAAUCCAAAAUAGUUUGAAGCAUUGCUUCAAGACUAGUGGACCCGGUAUGUUGUUUUUCCUUCUCCUCAUCAUAGGACCUAUCAAACUCAUAAGAGGACCUAUCAACUCGGUUAGAAUAAAAAGGGGAGGGGGCAUUUGGCAAUCACUCCAAUGUCCAUCUCGACCGCCACAUAAAGAACAACCAUACUCCAAAUAGGAUUGAGAUUGUUAUUCCAUCUCUCUCCAAGGAGCAUAGUUAUAAUCUCUCCUAAAGUGGGAUCCAUCACAAUAAGGACAUGGGUCAUCAAGAUAUGACUUCCAACUAGCAAAAUCAUAUUUAUUCGAAGAUUCCAUAGAUAAAAGUAAAAGAAAAUAAAAAUCUACCUAACACAAGAAACAAAAGAAAAUCACAAACAAAUAUUUACAAGCUUGAAUUCAAGCAAGUAAGCUAAAAUUUCAAACUAACUUAAUACGCCAAAUUUUUCCCCGACAAUGACACCAUUUUUGAUAAUGCUUAACUUACACAUUAAUUUAAGAGAAAGACGCUCAUCGUCAAUAUAUUUAAUCAACUUUGGAGUCGGGGUCGAAUCCCCGACAACCCAUCUGAAUGAAAUGCAGGAAUAUACCCUAGACAAUGGAAGAAGUCUUGCACUGUGUGUUGUGUAUGUCUCAGGCGACGGCGGGUCCCAUUCCUUAUCCUAAUGAAGCAGCUGAAAAAAAGGGGAAUAAUAUGAGUGACAAUUAAGUUAAUUCAAAAUAAUAGAUACUAGUUAAAUUCAAACCAAUAGUACAAGAAGAUAAAAAAAGGGGAGAUAGGUAUCUACACUAAUGUUUCUUUUUGUUUUUUUUUAAUAUAAAUUUAGGGCUAUGAAUAAUUAGUGUUUAAAAAAUUUAGCAUGAAUCUUGGGAUUAUGUAUUACUAAGGGAAGUUACAUGUGGAUGCUGAUAGUCAAUGUCACUUUAGUAGAUCAAGUGUGGGUAGGUUCGAUUAUAGGUUUAAAUUCUAGUCUUUCAACAAAACACCAAACCUUCACCCAUUAAUUAUUUCGAAUACCUAAUAGGUGUGUUCAACAAUUGGUAACUAAACCUCAAUAUUGGCAUCCCUAUUUCUAGGACAACACCCAUUGUAUAGUUAACUUCACAACAACCUUUAUGUCAAAAUAGUGAUAGAUUAGCAAACUACACACAUAAUUGUCUACCAUUUCUUUGGUCUCCACAUCACUCUUUCAAGGAUGAUAUGGAUUCCUGAAGUUGACCCAAAACCCUUCUUUUGAAGAUGGCAUUAAACAUUCUAGAGUUUGGAGUUUUCACCCAUCAAUCCCAUAUUGGUAUUUGGAGAUUUCAUCCAUAAAUCCCAAUCACGUUGGUCAAGCAAUGAUAAAACCUAUCAACAAGAACUACUAAAUAGAGGCUAACAAUAAAAAACCACAGACACUUUAAUUCUUAUUCAUACAUAACCCCAAGAAAAUCCUAAGCUCAACUCAGUCUUUUAAGCUUGCUAAGGGGUCCCAGACUUAGAAAAUUCUAGCUAAGUAUUCAGACUUAGGAUUAUUUUGGCCUUUGUAAGUUGGUAACUCUAUUUCACGAUUGUUAUGUCCUUAAAAUGUCAAUAUUUAGGUUGAUUCAUGAUCAAGAAUAUCAGUAGGUGUUUCUGGACGAGUUUCAUAUUUUUCAAACCUCGUUUGAACCAUGUUUGGGAAUCCAAAAUAGUGCAUCAAUGUGAUCUCAGUGCGGCGCAUUGGCUAUUGCAUUGAUCAAUAUUUUUUCUUGGCUCCCAGUGGAAAUUUCUAAUGAACCAACAUGGACUCGACGCAGUACGUUAGCUAUCACAUUGAUGCCAAUGACGCAGCGUAUCGUCCUGCACGUCGAUAGUCUAGUUUUUAGUAAUUAAAAAGCCGUGUCCCCAGGGGUAUUAGGGUCUUUUCCCUACCUCUAUUAAGCCCUAAAACAUGAGAUUUAGUCUUUAUUGAGCAAAAUAUACUUACUUUCUCUCAAAUUGCUCAAGAACAAGAACCCAAGGUGAUUUAAUUUCAAGGCCAAGGCUCAAGAUUUCCACCAUUGUUAUUUAGGAAUUUAGCAACCAAGGGAUGACAGGUGUUCAUCCAAGGGUUCCCUUUCACCCUUGGAGUUCAAGAACCCCUUUUUACUUCAAGUUUAUGAGUUUGAUGAAGUUCAUGGUUGAAUUUGAAUGUGUUCAUGAUUACCAUGUUAAUGGAUUUAUAGUUCAGAAUUUACUACAAAAUUCAUGUGGAAUUAAUUGAUAUGCAUGCAUUAUCAUGUGUGCAUUAUUAUGCGUGCAUUAUUAUGAGAUACCAUGCUGAAACCCUUAAAGUUGUAAAUGUGGAAUUGAACUAUGAUGUGCACAUGUUGUUUUAGUGUCAUGUGCAUAGAUUAUGUCCUUCAAGUGUUUGAUGAAUGUUCAUGAGAAUUAAAUAAUGAAAUUAUAUCAUGUUAGGAUGUAUUCAAGUUCAUGUCAUACAAGUGUUUGAUAGAAUAUCCCUAUGAAUAAAUGAUGAUCAAGUAGUUAUUUAUCAUGUUUCAAGAUUGCACCAUGUCAUAUAAUUUAUGAUAUUGAGUCCUGGGGGUAUUCAAUACUUGACAAUUUAGCUAUUUACCUAGAGCCAUGGUCAUUCAUAGGAUAGUAUAAGUCAUGUCACGAUCGGUAGAAUUUAGACAGUUAACAAAAUUUAGUAGUAUUUCGUCAGUCCACGGAACCUAGUGAACUUAGUUUAGUUCAGUUAUAUAGUACAAUCAGAAAUAGUUCAGUCUAGCCUAGAACAGUCUAGAAUCUAGUCCAGUGUCUAUUCAGCUCGGAGUAGGAUUCAGUACUGAGUAAACACAUGGAUGGGGACUCACCUGCCAGUAGAGGGUAUGAUCCUUAGAAGCAGUCCUUGUGUCCCAGAACUACGUAGCCAACGUAGGUUGAGACAUCAACCUGCUAGAUGAGGGUUGAUGAGGUGAUCUACCUGCCAGUUGAGGGUACCACCAUUCUCGUUCAGAGCACUUGCCAGAUAAGGGUGACUCAACUUGUCUUUACCCGUGGCACAGUACUGACACCCUUCCAGCUGGGGUUACAGGUUAGACCAGGGGCAUGUUAGUUAGAUGAUUACUUCCCACAAUCUCAGUUUCAUUUCCAAUCUCAGUAUAGAACUCAGUUCAGUACGAAACUCAGUAUAGUUCCACAAGAUCAAGACUGUCAGAUACAAUCACUCAGUUAUUAGCUACACAGUAUCAGUAAACUCAUAUAUCAGUAAAUUAGUAAUUCAAAAACUUAGUAUCCAAUGUUAUUAUGAUCUCAAUUACAGUUUACGUAUUCAUGCAUAUACUCUUAUUCAGUUAUAUUCAUGUCAUUCAGUUAGUGUUGUACUUGUAUAUAAACCCAUGCAUUUUAGCCUACCUCACUUUGCAUACUAGUACAUUCAAAGUACUGAUGCAUACCUUUCAUUUGUGCUAUGAUGUUUUAUAUCAUAUGUUCAGACGUGCGGGUUCCGAAUCAUACUUAGCAGUUUAGAUAUUUAGCUGACAGAGUUAGUGGUGAGUCCUCUUAGUUUGAGGACAUGAAUAUUAUUUUAGGAGUUCGGAAUUAGUUUGGGACUUGUCCCAUCAAAUCCAUAUUUUAGACAGUUUAGAGGCUUUUUUGGACUAGAGUAUUUUCAGAUAGAUAUAUAAGAUUUGGUAUUUGUUAUACCGUAUUCAGUUUUACUAUAGUAUUGAACCUUAUGGCAUGUUUUCUACCUAAUUCUUGCAUAUUUGCAGUAUUACUAUUCUGUUAUUGCAGCAAGUACCAGUCAUGGGUUAGCUUGUGGUCCUUUGGGAUUAUGAACACCGUGUAGUGUCUGGGGUACAGACUCAGGGCGUUACACCUUCAUCAUUAAUAUAUUUACCCAACUUUAGAGUCGGGGUUGAAUCUAUGAGGAACAAUGUGAGUGGCUAUCAAACUAAUUUGAAAUGAUAGAUAUAAGUUAAAUUCAAACAAAUGAUACAAAAACAUAAAAUGGGGGGAGGAGGGUUCCUACACUAAUGUUCCAUUUUAGGUUUUUCUAGUAUAAAUUUGGUGAUACGAGUAAUUAGAGUCUUAACAAUUAUGCACGGAUCUUUGGAUUAUGCAUUACUAAAUGAGUGACAUGUGGUAGUUAGUCAUCAACAUCGAUUUAGCGUGUCGAAUAUGGGUAGGCUUGGUUAUUGAUUUUGAUGCUAGUCUUUCAACAAAACACCAAACUUUCACCCAUUGAUUAUUUUGAAUACCUAAUAGGUGUGUUCAACAAUUAGUAACCACAACGUCAAUCUAGGCAUCCCUAUUUCUAGGAUGAUACCAACGGUGUAGCCAACCUUAAAUUCACCUUUUUGUCUAAGAUAGUGAAAAUUUAGCAAACUACACAUGCGAUUGCCUAUCAUUGCUUUGGUAUCCACACCCCUCUUUCGAGGAUGAUAUGGAUUCCUAAAGUUCACCCAAAACCCUUCUUUCGAAUAUGGCUUUGAAAUUUCUAGAGUUUGGAGAUUUCGAUCAUCAAUCCCAUGUGGAUAUUUAGGGCUUUCACCCUUUAAAUCCCAACAGAAAUAGCAUAGCAAUGAUAAAAUCCAUAAACAUGAAUUACCAAAGAGAUGCUAAAAAUAACAACCCAAACAUACUUAAACCUCUAUUCACACAUAACCCAAAGAGGGAGAUAUAGCUACACAUAAGAUAAAUUAGCAUAGAUAUACCCAUAAUCUCCAUUGAAAUGAAAGAAUUAAGCGAAUGUUACAUCAAACUUGGUUCUCCCACAAUAUCAACAAUGGAAGUUAGCAAAUCUUCCACUUUGAAAGUCUCUAAUGUACUUUUCACCCAAAAUUUAUACAAUAUUUUAUUCUUCAGAAAUGGAGGCUAUGAACUACAGAAAACUAAAACCUAAAAAAAUUUGGGGAAGAUGGAAUUAUUCUAUAAUGCUAGGGUUUGGGUCAUUUUUGUCAAAUUGGGAUCAGCACAUGCAAUUAUAGUUUUCCCCUUAGGCUGAAAUCCUCCACUAGGCCGCGAUCGCGCAGGUUUGGACCACUGCCACACGACCGCAGUUUAGCUUUGUGACCGUAUUUGAGUGACCAUCCUUGAUUGCUGCAAAUGUGGUACCUGAGGCCCUUCUGUUUCAGGUCUUCAACUGUACUUUCUUGCUCCCAUUUUGAUCAUUUUGAGCUUCAGUCCACAUCUUUCCAUCCCUUUUUUCUUUAUUCCUACAAGAAAUAGAUAUUAGUGCUUCUAAUAACAAUUAUGUCUCAUUUAUUCACCCAUAACAAGGUAGUGUGCGCUAAUAAUAAGUGCAAUUGAGUGGUAAACUAACCACUCAUCGGGACUUUAACCUCAAGUCCUUUAAUUAGGAAAUAGAUUUUAACCUAAAGCACUAUGACUAUGAUUAGUCGACAUUGGGACUCCAUCCCUUUGUGCAUUCAUCAUCAUUUAUUCAAUUCACACUUAAGGACUUUAACCCUUUUAGAUAAUUCAACACUAUACAUGACCACAUGGUCCUCAUUCGAGCCUUUGUUGCUCAACCCUUUCAAUAGGCCAAUGCCUUAAUUCAAUUCAUAAUGCAAUUCAAUUUAUGUUCAUCAAGACCCUCACAAACUAUUCACAUUUCAUUAUCAAUCUUAUAUCACAUUCAUACCACACUUUAGUUCUACCCAUAAUUCAAGUUCAUUUUUAUAUUUAGGGACUUUAACCCUUACUUAACCAUCAACAAACAAGGUCAUCAAUUUCACUAUAAAUGGCUCAUAAUACCUUUACAGUAUCAUUUAACAACUAUUCAUACUUGUUGGUCCAUUGCCCUAGUUAAAAAUAUCACCAACAUAAGACUAGACAAUUCACUUAGACAUUUUCACAAACACCUUGUGUGCAUGCCUUUGCCAAGGCCAUUUUCAUGGUAGAAAUCCUCAAGAUUAGAGUUACUCAUGAUUCACAUGUUAUACCACAAACAACAAUAACCCAUAUGUGCAAAACCCUUUUUAUUUGAUUUCAAAAUCGCCAUGUACACUUAUUCAAGUGUAAAAUAAAUGGGUUUAGAGUUAUUUAUGAAGUUAAAGAGUUACACGCCUUAGUCAACUUGAUUCACCCAAGAAGCUUGGCAUCACUUUGCACCUAGAUGUACACCCUUGAACCCUAGACUCCAAUCCUUCACAAAUUGUGUUUGAGAGAGAAUUUUUGAAGUUUGAUCCAUUAAAAGUAUGUUUACAGAGGUCAUAUACACUGAUAUAGUGAGGGGAUUUAGGGUUUUUGGUGUAUGAAAUAACCAUAAGGUUCUCAACUAAAAGCUAAAAAUUGACCGUCCAGGUGGGUACGACUCACUUGAGUCAAUUGUACCCUAGGGUACAAAUGGUACCCUAACCCAUACCCUAGGUACCUCCUAGGUAACCUACAAUUGUUAGGGUACAACUGCAUACCAUUGAGUCAUAUCCAAAGGGUAUAACUCAUGCUCUCAUUCGUACACUUCACCCGUACCAAAAACUAUCAAUUCCAAGUCAAGACCUCACUCUAUAUGAUUGGUCUGGGUACGUUUCGUACCUUAACAUAUGAUUGGUUGGGGGUUCACUCAUACCUAGUAUAGUGAGUAACCCUGACCACACUACCUAGGUUAUGAGAAGAGAGGGGAGAAAGAUACAACUCGUAACCAAGGGGUACGACUUAUGCCAUUAGUUGUACCCUCCCUAUUUACACCAAAUAAAGAAAUUUCUUAAUGGUUUUAAAGUCUAGGUGUUUCAUCCAUGAUGGUACAAAUGUUUCUUGAAUAUAUAUGAUAUGAGGAUGUAAAGCUCACAACCAACCGAAAUGAGAAUUUCCAAAUCCAACCAAUAUACCAAACCAUGUAAGUCAAAACCUACUCAAUAUGCCAACCAUCCAUGAAUAUAAUAUAAUCUAUGUAUAGAAUAAAAAUAGACAACAAUAUUCCAUUGAUACCAUAUAAAUUCUUAUUUAGGCCUUUUCACUAGAAGUAACACGACCAAUAAACAUACACAAGGCCAACAACAUCAUAUAAGACCCCAUAUGGUAACACAUAGAAAAUAAUAUCUCAAAACCACCAAAGAACAAUAAUAAAGACAUUUCCAUGAUUAAUUCCCACACCCAUGACAUGAUUUUAUACCAAUAUUAACUACCUAACCUAGUCUGAAGAAUGUUAAGCCAUAAAAAUCCAAAAGCUUUCAACAUGGAGCUUUCCCCUCCUGAACUCUCAUGACCCAAUUUACGAGUAAUAGUGGCACCUGCUAUAUCUCACUAGUAGGCAAGCCAAAUUAUAGCUCGGAGCAAUAGGGAAUGGGCUAGUUUGGUGGAAAGUAGCUUAUAAGGCUAGAAUAAACAAUUUAAGACUUGUAAUAAUAGAAAGACAAUAAAUAUAAUCGAAAAGAUAAAUAACACAUAGACACACAUCCCACAACCUUGUAGUUUUGGUACAAGAUAUACUGUAAAUACAUCAUAAGUUCUGAAAGAGUCAAAUACCAUCUAUCUCAAAAAAUGAAAGACAAGUCAUAGAUAAUAGAAGGAAAAAGGGGCAACUCUGACUCUGUGAGCUCACUCUAUCACCAAAAUCCAACAGAGCAUGAUCGUCAAAUCAAUGGUGGCAACACGUACAUGGAUCUAAACCAAAAAGGUAAUAAAGUAUAGUAUGAGUACCAUAACCACCCAGUAGGCAUCAUCGGCCAACUGAGCUAAAUCAGGAUAUAAAUACGAUAAAAUAUGAGAUAAAAUAAGCUAAGUCCAACACUCUUGUGCAUAUAAAAUCAAUAACCAAAAAUAAUAACAUAAAGAUCACACAAUUAUAUCUACUAAAUUGGCCCCUAUAAGAUAAUAAGUGCACUAAGUGCAGAAAGUAAUUAACCCAACAUAGUCCCCGAUAAGCCUGGAGGGUACAAUCAAAGAAAAAUAAAUAACCGAGUAACCAUAUUAUACCAACCAUCAUGCUAUAAUAAGAAACCGAUCCGUACCAUAUAACAUCAUAAACAACUCUCAAUGUCAGACUCAAACUGGAACUCAAUAGCAUCAUCAUCUUUAUCAUCAUUUGCCGGACUUGAACCGUAACCCAUAUUACUAGUAUCAUAAUAAAUUGCCAGACUUAAACCAAAACUCAUAUCAUCAAUAUCAUAAUCAAUUGUUGGAUUUGAACUAGAACUCAUAUCAUCUAUAUCAUAAUCAAUAAAAAUAACUUAGUAGAUUUUACCAUAAUUAGCAUCUACUCUAACAUUCAAACCAUCAUGACUAUUAAGUGUCUACUAUCCUAAAAUCCCAUAAUAAUCAUUUUGAAUUAUAAAAGAUGUGUAUAAUGGUAUACCAAAACUAGCUCAAGUCAUGGUCUAUGGUGGUCCGAAAAGGCUCACUUCUAAUCCCAGAAAUCUAUUAUAAGGCAAAUUCUACUCUACCCCAAAAUCGAUUUUAAGGAAAAUUCUACCUCAAACUUGGCUAAUGUAUCUAAAUCCACUUUUACAUGGUAAACAAGCCUUAAAUAGCCCUAAGAUAGUAAUUGAUCCUCCAACAUGAGCAACUAAGUUAACUACGUCUUAAAUUACUAUAUCUAGGUAGCCUAAAUAGUUCAGCUAACCCAAAUAUUAUCAAUCAUACAUCCAACAACUAAAUCACAAUCCUAAUCUAGCAUACUAUCAUAAUUAUACUACGAAAUAGCUUAAUCUAUGACAAGGGUAAACCUAGCCAACUUGGACGCAGAAGAAAAACCUGAAUAAUUUGCUAAACCAAUGAUUUUCCUUUCAGAUAAGCUUCCACAAAGUUUCAUGCAAUCAAACUCACAAUUUAAUCAUAAAAAUGAGAACAAUGAUACUCAUAUUACACUAUGUGCUUUGAGUCUCUAGAUCAUGUAAAAUCCUAUGUGGGGCCCAUUAAUGAAAUCGUACAUUCAAAACCAACACAAUGCCCCCUAUGCUCAAGGAAAUUUACCCUCAACAAUUGGUGAAUUUUGAGAUCUAAAGGUGCUAAAAUCAAGCUACCAAGAUUUUAGGGAUUUUAGAAGAAAAGGAAUGAUUUAAUCAAAGAUAGAUGGAAGCUUACCGCAUAUUUGAAAGAGGAACGCAUAAAUAAUCUUUACCCAACCUCCACCUUCACCCUUAAAUGUUUUCACCAAGAUUUCCCACUUUUUAGGGUUCCAAUAUAUUGGGAAUAAAUGCUUAAAAUUGAGAAAAAUAGGUUAAGUGGGGAUUUAUACCCUUCCAAGGUGCACAGAUAUAGUUAAGUAAACUUCGGGUCACUUAAUAGAUACUUUUUACUGGCACGCUUGUCACUUACUCAAUUAAUUGAUUGCUUAUGAGACAGUGGGCUGUCUGAGUAAAUGUCGCAUACACGACACUAUUAUAGCUUACGCGAUAGCCUUGCCAUUGUCAAGAUUUUUGGUUAAGUGAUAAAAUGUGUCUCUUAAGCUAUAGUUGAUGGUGUUUGGCAGAUUGCAUAAGCGAUAAAAGGCAUCGCUUAAGCGAUGCACCAGCACCACCUGAGACUUCGAAUUUUUCAAAGUCUUCCCCAACCCCUUAGGGUUCAUUCAUAUUCCUAUUUAAGCUAAUGGACUAUGGUAACCUAUCAAAUUCAAUGUUUCAGACUCACUAGGGUGGUCGUAAUUUCCAUUAGGGUUGUUCUAACAAAUGUGGGUCCCAUACGCACCCUCCAUUUUUCUUAACCUUGUGCCAAUGGACCAAACAUAGUCCCAGAUCCCUUAAGAGCUAGACCAAGGGUCUCCCUAGACUAAAAUUGAGGUUUAUGAGUUUUUGGAACAAUCGGAAUUAACAUAUGAGGUCAUUUGAUUGAAAUUUUUGUCCAAUAGCAAAUUUAAAUUGGUAAAGACUUCAAAAUAGGGAAUUGUCUCUAAAAAUCAAAUGAACUGCCCAGUAAUUGAACUAUCAGUUCCCAUAAGUAAUAAGGGGGAGUUAUAUGAAAGCUUUAAAUGGCAAAAGUGUGCAAAAAUAUAGAAAAUGACCUGGAGGGUCAUUACAAUAUCCACUACUAAAAGAACUUUCGUCCUCAAAAGUAAGGGAUUAGGAUGUACCUUCAUCCUCAAACAGGUGAGGUUACUAGGUAUAUAUCUCACUCUCGAUAUCCAGAGUAGCCUCCUCUAUUGGGUGGUGUCUUCACUAAACCCUAAAUACUGGAAUCUCUCUAGUGUCCAACCUCCAACAUCACUAGCCAAAGUAAGCAAAGGCUCUGCAAAGGUCAACCACUCAUCCAACUGAACUGAGUCCCAUCUAAGAACAUGAGACAGAUUAAGAAUGUAUCGCCACAACAUGGAGACAUGGAAAUGGAAAACUGAAUGGACAAAAACAAACUAAUGGGUUAGGCUAAUUCAUAAGCCACCUUAACAACUUUGUGAAGAAUCUCAGAGGGUCCAAUAUACCUAGGGCUGAGCGUACAUUUCUUCCUGGUCCUUAUCAUAUACUUCAUAGGUGAUACCUAGAGGAAUACCCAAUUACCAACUCCAAAUAUCAAGCCACAAAGUCUACGGUCUACAUAAGCCUUAUGCCUACUAUGAGCUGCUCUAAAUCUAUCCUUAAUCACCCUGAAUCUGUCCAAUGACUCCUGGAGAAAGUCAGUACCAUGUUGUCUAAUCUCUUAGGUUUCAAACCAACCAAUCGGAGAAUGACAUUGCCUACAAUAUAAAGCCUUCAAUGGCUCCAUCUCAAUAAUUGAAUGAUAACUACUAUUAUAUGAAAACUCUGUCAAUGCUAUGUGUUUCUCCUACUGACCACUAAAAUCCAUAACAAAGGCUCCGAGUAUAUCCUCGAGACCCUUAAUAGUUUGCUCUUAUUGCCUAUCGAUUUAUGGUUCAAUGGUUGUACUAAGAUCAACCUGAGUACACAACUCUUUUUAAAAUCUCUGUAAAAGCUAGAACUGAAUACUUAAGCAAGGUUUGAAAUUCUAGAUAAAUGCACACCAUGCAAACAAACUAUCUCACGAACAUAGAUACGGGCUAACUGCUCGGCACUGAAGGAUAUUUGAAUAGUAAUAAAAUAUAUCGACUUGGUCGACAAUCCACAAUGACCUUAGUACCAUCGAACUAUGGGAGGUGUGAGGAAAUUGACUAAAAUAGUUUAGGGUAAUCCACUCCCAAUUUUACUUAGGAAUAGCAAACCUCUGAAUCAAUCCACUAGGUCUCUAAUGCUUGACCUUCAUCAGUUGACAACAUAGGCAACGAGCUACAAAGUCUGCCACAUAUCUCUUCAUGACACUCAAAUCCACAUAUCUCUUCAUGACACUCAAAUAAUAAUGUUGCCUUAAAUCCCUAUACAUUUUGUGCCUAGGAGAAUAGGAUAUCUAGAGAUGCGGGCCUCAUGCAAAAUUGUGAUAAUGAAGCAAUCAACCCUUAGGACAUAAAUACAGCUAUCAAUAUCAAAACACCCUCUAAAUCUAUGAAAGCCCUCUUAGACUCAUAGCUUAACAAUGGAUAACGGAAGAUGCAAAGUCUCUUAUCCUCAAACUGAUGACUCCAAAUAUUCUCAAAUAGUGAAGACCUAGCCUCAACGCUAGCAAGAAUCCUCCUAGGGUCUGAAAUAUAAAGAUGCACCAUCAAGUUGGCUAAAGAUUAAAUUUCCCAUGUAAACAACCUUAGAAAUGGAAAUCCAAGCCAUGCUACCCAUACUCACCACCUUCUGACUCAAGGCAUUUACUACCAUAUUUGCCUUUCUCGAAUGAUACCAGAUAGAAAUAUCAUAGUCUUUUAGCAACUCCAUCCAUCUGUGUUGCCUAGAAUUAAGCUCUUUCUAGGUCAUAAGAUGCUAAAGACUAUGAUGAUCCUUGAAUAUCUCAUAAGACACACCAUAAAGAUAGUGCCUUCUAAUCAUAAGUGCAAAAACUACCGCUGCUAACUCUAAAUCAUGAGAAGGGUAGUUGCACUUUUGCACCUUUAGUUUUAUUAAAGAUUAAGAAAUAACAUGACUCUGAUGCAUCAACGCACACCACAAACACACAUUAGAAGAAUUACAAUACAUGGUGAAUCUCUCACCCUUAAUAGAAAGAGCCAAAAUAGAAAUUGAAGUCAGAAAUGCCUUGAGCUUUCAAAAGCUCAACUCAUACUUCUCAGACCAUCGAAAGGGAACCUCCUUUUGAUUCAAUCUGUCAUAAGUGCUGCAAUUAUAGAAAAACUCUGUAUGGGCCACCUAUAGUAACAAUCCAAACCUAUGAAGCUAUGAACCUCAGUCGAAAAUGUAGUCUUGGCCCAAUAAAGAAUGCCUCAAUCUGUCAUAGGUAUACCAUAAUCCCAUCCUUACACUCCAUAUUCCCAAGGAAUGAUAUCAACUCAAGACAAAACUCAUACUUAAAGAAUUUUGGAAAAAGCAAAUAUUCUCUAAAAGUCUGGAGCAUAAUCUUCAGAUAUUAUGUAUACUCCUCUCUACUCGUUAAAUAUAAAAGGAUGUCAUCGAUUAAUACAUUUACAAAGAAAUCCAAAUAAGGCCUGAACACUUAAUUUAUAAAAUCCAUAAAUGAAACGAAGGCGUUAGUCAUUCCAAAAGAAAUCACUAGGAACCCAUAAUGACUAUAACAGGUCCUAAAAGAUAUCUUCGGAUAUCCUCAUCCUGAAUUCUCCACUGAUGAUAACUUGACCUUAAAUCAAUUUAGUAAAUAAUAUUGCACCAUAAAACUAGUGAAACAAAUCACCAAUGCAACAAAUAUGAUACUGGUUCUUCACCGUUACCUUAUUAAGCUGCCUAUAGUCAAUACACAUAUGCAUAGGGCCAUCCAUCAUCUUAAUAAACAAUAUAGGAUCUACCCAAGGAGACACACCCAGUCUAACAAAACCCUUACAAAGAACAUCCUAAAUAUGAGCAUUCAGCUUCCUAAACUCGAUAUGUGCCAUAUGGUAAAUUUUCAUAGAAAUAAGUUGUAACACCCUAGAUUUUUACCUUGUAAAAUUUCUUUAAUUUAGAGCUCACUGCUUAUACUAUGACUUACAUAAUGAGUUAUAAGGUCUCGUUACAGGUUACUGGGCUCGAGUUAUACGGUGACCAGUAAGCAUUGCAUGUGUUUCUGUUAUGACUACAUUUGGAUGUCACUAGUCGUAAUGACUCUUUACUAGUUGUAGGGUGUUUUCCAUGGUCAAACCAUUAUAGGUUCACAAUGUCACUAUUGUGGUUAUGAUUAAGACCCUAUGAAUCACAAGGUUUGUGUAUAAGUCAUAAGGUCCGACUCAUACAAUUAACAGUAGGGAUGCCUUGUAACACUGCUCAGACUAUAAUUCUAAGGGACGACUCUUAAUUAGUCUUUAUGAGUCUUAAGGUGACCCGUAAUGACUGGGUGACAAAUCUUUUGAGUUUUAUUAAGGGUACUUUAGACAUUUUUCUAUUUCUCCAAUUGUGACCCACGACCAUAAAACCCUUUUGGGACCCCAUUAUAAUCCAUAAAACAUAAUUAAAUGAACUCUUAAACUCUCUAAAAUCCCUAAGUCAAGAACAAGCUAAAGAUUCUAAAGUUUGAUCAUUUAGAACUUCCAAGUGGUGAUUUCUCUCCAUAAUUGUGAUACUUUCAGAUAUGUACCUCUCCCUUUAAACUUGAUUUACAGAAAGCAUGUAUUUAAAUUGUUACUCAUGUUGAUUUGAAUAUGGAUUUUGGAUUGGGUUGGGGGCUUUGGGAAGGAUUGUUACUUGAUUUGAAUUCCCAUAGUUUUGAUUCCAAUGUUUAUGUUUUAAUUAUGUAUUUUGAAACCCGUGAGUAUGGUGAAUGGAAUAGCGGUCGAGGAACUUCCUCAAAUUUGAUAAUUUUUGUUUGGAAUUUGGUUUUGAAAAUUAGAUUUGAAAUAUGGUUAAUCACAUGACUUGGUUUACUUCCCAAAACUAUUGUAUUACAUAAAUGGUUAAAUGGAUAAUAAGGGUUUUAAAGUCAUUGUUGGCUAUGUAUUGAUUUUUAAACUUGAUUUAAUGAACAAAAGGAGUUGUGGUAUUCCCUCAAUUGUAAUUAAUGUAUAAAGGAAGUCGUGGUAUUCUCCCAAGUUGAUGGAAUUGGUAUGGCAUAAUUAUAAGCUUACAAGAAUAAUGGUAUGAUGAUACUUGUUUUUGAUGCCUUAAUGGAUAAUUUCUUUUUUAAAUUUACUGGUUAUGUGAAACUUAUUUUAAUUGGGCUUAAAGGGGUUUGUUUAGCACAUCAUAGAAGGUAGAAGCCCAGGAUACUAGAAACCAUAUUUGUCGGUGUGGAAAUCUUUAUAACUGUGUGAAUGGUUCACCUAUAUAUAUGUAUAUAUAUAUAUUGGAUUUGCUAGGAUAGAGGUAUUCCCUGGCUCAUCCUUGGAUUUUCCUAGUUCGUGCGACUAAUACGCUUGGAGCCAUUUUAGCAGGGAGAGAGAAAUAUAUGUAGAUCGUGGGUUCCCUUAGGAUGGUUAGAGCUACACUGUCUAGGUUAACAAUUUUAAAUUUCAUAUGAAACCUUGUUCCCUAUCACAACAUUAUAUGUAUAUGUAUGUAUGCAUAUAUGUGAACAUGUACACUAAGUUUGGACUAAAUUCCUAGUUGGCAUUACUUUAUCGAUACCCUGAGCUACAUUUUAAAUCUUACUCCAUGAUCCAUAUUUGGAUGUUGUAUCCACAUAUGAUACAGGGAACAAAGAUAUUUUUUUUUGCAUAGUGAUUAGGUGAUUCCUGGAUCGAUCAUAAGUCAGCUUGAAGUGGUGAGCUUCUAUAAAUUGAAAGAACCUUAUUUUAUGUUCUUAUUUUAUUUUGUUUCAGACUAUUCUCUUUUGAAUCCUAGGCUAUGGUCGAGGGCAAAUCCCGACUUCGGUUGUUCAUAGAUUUUAUAGGCUUGAGGAUUACUAUGGAUUGGGAUGGAUGUUAAAGUUCUUAGAUUUCCUUAUGAGUUAGUUGAGUUUUCUAUCUUAUUAUUUAUUUAGAACUCAGCUAUCUUUUUUUAUGUUUGGAAUUCAUCCACUGCAAGUUGUACUAUAUUCUGAUUGGCUAGGGUUCAAGGGGUAGUCCUUGGUCCUUGGUGGACUUGAGACACCUGUCAAGGCCAGGCCCUGGUUUGGGUUGUGACAAAGUUUAUAUCAAAGCAUAAGUUCAUGGUCAUUGGGUAUCCAUAAAGUUGUGUCAAGUUGAGUCUCAUUGAUGGGAGUGUAGUGCACCACACUUAUAAGGGAGAGGCUACAGGGAAUUUAGGGAUGUUUUCCUUUCUUUUGGUCUAUUUUUUGGGAUAUAGAGUCUAAGUUCUUGAAAUCUCCCCUAAUUCCAUUUGUUCGUAUUUUAGAUUAUGCCUCCCUAAAGAUAUGAUGCUCAUAGAAACUCUUAUAUCCCACCUGAGGAUAAUGUAGGUGUAACUCAUUCUACCUAUGGAGUACAAACCCAGUCGAGGGAACUUGCUCCUGACUGCCCAUGUGGAGUUCCACUGGUCCCUACCAAUUAUCUUUGGGCUUUUCUAGCUGAUGAUAUUCAUGCCCCACUUCCCCAAGAAGGCAUUUCUAAUGUCGAAUUUGAUUGAUCUAAUAAUUUGCUAACUUUAUUGGUGACUUCUUAAUCUCUUUUGCCUGGCCAUAUUGGUUCUAUUUCUUCAUCUUUUGAGAUCACUAGAGUUGGCCAGUUAAUGCAGUUAAAUCCCCAAACCAUUAAAGGCUCUAAGGUCUAGUAGGAUCCUCAAGGGUUUGUUGAUUAAAUAAAGAAGAUAUUCAGAUGAUGCAUGCUACUAAUAGGGAUGAUGUGGAUUUUUCCCCAUAUCAGUUGUAGGAUACAACAUACUCAUGCUAUUAAAAGUGGGAGCAGUAGAGAGGUGACAAUGUUGAGCAGGCUAUACGGGAGGAGUUUUUUAGUUCUUUCCUUGAUUCUUUCUUUUCUCAUGAGUUGAUGAUAGCUAAUGCUGAGGAGUUUGUGAACUUGAGGUAAGGAAGGAUGCAUGUUAAAGAAUAUGCCCUAAAGUUCCAUCAGUUGUCUCAUUACACUAUUAAGUUAGUGUAUAACAUAAGGCCAAGAGAUGAAGUUUUCUUUAGGUUUAUCUUGGGACUUGGUUCUAGAAUAUAAGGUGGUGUUAUUGAACCAUGACAUGGAUAUCUCUAGGUUGGUGGUGUAUAUAUAGUAGGUUAAAGAUGAAAAUAAGAAGCAAGUAGAAAUAGGGAGAGGCAAAAUAAGAAAUUUAGAUAUUUAGAGUAGGGUGGAGGCCUGCAGAAUAGUGGUAGAGAUGGUAGACAGUGGGGGCAAGAAAAAGGCUUGGGGAAAUUUUGGUUCUUAUUCUACGACUAGUGUUUUGUAUACCAAGCCAUCUGGAAAUCAUCGCUUUUAGGCUGAUGGUGGGCUUAAGUCAUAGGGUUCCUGAACUUAGUUUAGUGGAGCUCAAUUAGCUCUAUCAAAUCCUCCUUGUAGAUUCUAUGGAUAGAUGCACCAUGGUUAUUAUGAUGAAGGAAGGAAUCUAUAUUUCAAAUGUGGCUAGCCUAGUCAUUUUCAGAGGAACUAUCCGACAACAAAUGUUGCUAUUAGAGCUAAUAAGGUUUCAGUUUCUACUUCUUCAGCUCUUUCACCAAAGGGUGAAAUUUCUUGUACAGGCACCAGUCGAAACUGUCUUUAUGCUCUUGCCACCCAUCAAGAAUCUGAGGUGUAUCGUGAUGUUGUUACUUGUAUGUUAUAACUUUUCUCUCAUGAUGUAUAUUGUCUUCUUGAUCUGGGGUCUACUCUUUCCUAUGUGCCCCCUAAAAUGGCUUUUAAUUUUGGUUUUGGUCUUGAGAGUAUUUUUGAUCCCUGCUCUAUCUCUACCCAGUGGUUAAUUUUGUUGUGGCUAGAAGGGUCUAUAGGAGUUGUGUAGAAUCUAUCUGUGAUAGAGAGACAUUGGUGGGUUUUGAUUGAAUUGGAUAUGAUAGAUUUUGACAUGAUGUUAUGGAUGGAUUAGCUCCAUUCAUGCUAUACUUCUCUAGAUUGUCAAACUUGUAAGGUUAGUUUUCAAUUCCCAAAUGUACUAAUAAUGUAAUGAGAGGGAAGUUCCUUAGUUUCUAAGGGAGCCCAAAAAUUGAUUUCCAAGGGCUUUCUAUACCAUCUAGUUCGGGUUAGAGAUUCUAGUUUUGAGGUUUCUUCUCUAUAGUUUGUCCCGGUUGUAAAUGAAUUUCCUGAUGUGUUUCUUGAUGAUCUUCCUAGUAUUCCUCCCAAUAAGGAAAAAGAAUUUAGGAUUUAUCUUCUACUGUAUACCUGUCCUAUCUUUAUUCCUUCUUAAAGAAUGGCUUUGGCUAAGUUGAAAGAACUUAAGGAGCAGUUGAAGGAUUUUCUUGAUAAGGUUUUUAUUUAUCCUAUUUUGUCCCCAUAAGGUUUUCUCAUGGUUUUUGAGCAUAAGAAUGAUGGUUUUCUUUAGAUGUGUAUAGAUUAUUAACAAUUAAAUAAGGUAGGGGUGAAGAAUAACUACCUUCUUCCUAGGAUAGAUGAUCUAUUUGACCAACGUUUGAGUGCUAGAUGUUUUUCUAAAAUUGAUCUUUGGUUGGGUUAUCAUCAGUUGAAGAUUAGAGAGGAAGAUAUCCCUAAGACUGCCUUCCGAACCUAAUAUAGUCAUUAUGAGUUUUUGGUGAUAUCAUUUGGGUUAACUAAUGCCUCGACUGUAUUUAUAUACUAGAUAAAUUGGGUAUUUAGAUAGUUCUUAGAUUUAUUUGUAAUUGUAUAAUUAACAGCAUCUCGGUAUAUUCUAAUAGUAAGAAGGAUCAUGUCAAUCACCCUAUAUAGUUUUGCAGACUCUGAAGACUCAUCGUUUGUAUGCCAAGUUUUUCAAGUGUGAAUUUUUGUUGAAUGCCUUAAACUUCCUUUGUCAUAUCAUUUCAAGUGAGGGGAUUAUAGUGGAUCUACAGAAAGGUGAGGUGGUUAAGAAGUGGCUUGGACCCAUGAUUCCAACCGAUAUUUGGAGCUUCUUAGUUUAGCCGGGUAUUAUAGGGGAGAUUUGGGGAAUAUUUUUCAUCUAUUUCUUCUCCAUUGACUAAGUUGACUAAGAAAAAGGUAAAGAUUUUGUGUUCUGAUGCUUGUGAAGAAAUCUUUGAGAAGCCAAGGGAUAAGUUGACUUUUGCUCCAGUUUUAACCCUGCCCGAGAGUAUUGAUGGAUAUAAUAUAUACUAUGAUGUGUCGUAUGUGGGACUAGGGUGUGUCUUUAUUAAACAAGGUGAGGUUGUGGCCUAUACUUCUAGGUAGAUGAAUGUUCAUGAAAGGAAUUUUCAGACUUAUUAAUUGGAAUUGUUGAAUUUAGUUUUUGCUUUGAAGAUUUGGCGUCAUUACUUGUAUGGGGUUCGUGCAGGAGUUGAAUCUUAGACAAAGGAUAUAGCUUGAGUUGCUCAACGACUAUGAGAUUAGUCUUCAUUACCAUCCUGUUAUAGGUAAUGUAGUUAUUGAUCCUCUUAGCAUGUUGUCCAUGGGUAGCUUAUCUCAUAUGGAUGAAGAGAAGUAUGUAAGGGUUAAGGACAUUCACCAGUUGGCUAAUGUUAGAGUUUUUUCUUAAGGGUUAUAUGGAUAGAGGAGUGAUUAUACAAGAGGUGUUGAAGUCAUCUCUCGGUGUAGAGGUAAAGGAGAAGCAAGGUUUGAACCCCAACUUAAUGUAGAUUAAGGAUGAGGUAGGUCAGCAAAAGGCCAUCGCACUUAAGAUUGGUAGAGAUGGUAUCUACAGGUACCAAGGUAGAUUGUGUAUUCCUGAUGUGGAUAGGCUAUGNNNNNNNNNNNNNNNNNNNNNNNNNNNNNNNNNNNNNNNNNNNNNNNNNCUAGCUCGAUGACGAUGUCUCAUAACCUGAAGAAGAUUUAUUAGUGGAAAAACAUGAAGAGAGAUGUGGCAAACUUUGUGGCUAAGUGUAUAGUCUGUCAGUAAGUGAAACUUGGGCACUUGAGGCAUUACAGCAUGUCUCAAGAGAUUGAAUUUCCCACGUGAAAGGGGGAGGUAAUCAACAUGGACUUUGUUACUGGGUUUACAUAGUCUUGGAAUCUGUAGGAUUCGAUUUGGGUUAUCGUGGAUAGGAUGACUAAGUCUGCCCACUUUUAACCUGUGAGGACUACUUACACUAGAGAGGAUUAUGUGAAAUUAUUUGUUUUAGAGAUUGUAAAAUUGCAUGGUGCUCUAUUUUCCAUGAUUUUGGAUCGAGGUACGCAGUUCUCUUUUUGUGUUUGGCAUUCAUUUCAUCAAUGCUUGGGCACUCAGGUAAACCUUAGCACUGCAUUCCAUACUAAUACGGAUGGACAAACAUAGAGGACUAUUUAGACUUUAGAAGAUAUGCUAAGGGCCUAUGUGGUCGAUUUUGAAGGUAGUUGGGUGGAUCAUUUGCCUCUUAUCGUGUUCAUGUUUAAUAGCAACUAUCACUCUAUUAUUGGGAUGGAUCCUUUGGAAGCUCUUUAUAGAAGGUGGUGUAGAUCUCCCAUCGGGUGGUUUGAAGUUGGUAAGACCAAAUUGUUCAGUCCAAACUUGGUUCACCAACCAUGGAGAAGGUGAAUGUGAAUUGAUAUAGACUCAAGACUACACAGAGUUGCCAAAAGUCCUAUGUAGAUGUGAGAUGAAUGGAGUUAGAGUUUGAUGUUCAUGAUUCAGUGUUUUUAAAGGUGUCUCCCAUGAAAUAAGUGAUGAGGUUUGGGAAGAAGGUAAAGCUCAACCCUCAUUAUUUUGGUCCGUGCUUGAUUUUGAGGAGAGUGGGGAAGGUUUCUUAUGUGUUGGUUUUGUUUUCGAGUUUGGGUUUCGUAUAUCUAAUUUUUCAUGUUUCAAUAUUGAAAAUGUGUAUGAGGGAUCCUUCUUUUAUUUUGCCUAUUGAGAGUGUUGGUAUUUUGGGUUCAUUUUUUUAUGAGAAAGUCCCAGUGGAGAUUUUGGAUAGAUAAGUCCGUCAUUUGAGGACUAAGGAUGUAGCUUCGACAAAGCUUCUAUGGAGGAACCAAAAUCUUGAAGAAGCUACUUGGAAAGAUGAAAGGACAUAAAGUCGAGAUAUCUUUUCUUCGCCCUUGGAUCAGACAACUGUUCUAAAGGUAUGUGUUUUCCUUAUCAUCUUUGUUUUCUCACUUUGUUAAAGGAAAUUGUGUUUGUGUUUCGGUCUCAAAAUCAUGCUAAAGAUGCCUUGACAGAUCAUUUAGGGAUGAAUAAUCCUGGUGGUGGUGGGUAGGUAAUAUAACACCCCAGAUUUUUUCCUUCAAAAUUUCUUAAGUUUGGAGCUCACUGUUCAGACUACGACUAACUUAACGAGUCACAAGGUCUCCUUAUAGGUCGUAGGGUUCGAGUCGUAGGGUGACCAGUGAGGGUUGACCAUUUUCUUAUUGUGACUAUGACUUGGAUAUCACUAGUCGUAAUGACUCUUUACGAGUAAUAGAGUGCUUUUCGCGGUCAAACUAGUACAGGCGCCCAAUGUCACUAUUGUGGUUAUGACUAGGAGCCUACGAGUCAUAAGGUUUUUGGAUGAGUCAUAUGGUCCAACUCGUAUGGUCAACAAUUGGGAUGCCUUGGGACUCUAUUAAGACUAUGAGUCUAGGGGAUGACUCAUAGUCAGUCGUUACGGGCCAUAAGGUGACCCGUAAUGACUACGCGGCAAAUCUUUAGUGUUUCAUUAAGGGUACUUUGGACAUUUCCCCUUUCCCUAAUUGUGACCCACGACCAUACAACCAUUUUGGGACACCAUUAUCAUCCAUAAAACAUCAUCAAAAGCAUUCUUAAACUCUCUCUAAUACCUAAGUCAAGAGCAACCUAUGGUUAAUCAAGGUUGAUCAUUUAGAGCUUCCAAGUGGUGAUUUGUCUCCAUUAUUGUGCUACUUUUCGGCAUGUACCUUUCCCCUUAAACUUGUCAUGCUUAAUAUUAUUCAUAUGGAUUUGAAUAUGGAUUUUCAUUCGGGUUGAGGUCUUUGGGAAGUAUUAUUACUUGAUUUGAAUUCCCAUGGUUUUCAUGCAAAUAUUCAUAUCUUAAUUAUGCAUUUUAAAAGUUGUCAGGGUGCAUGGGUAUGGUGAAUGGAAUAGUGGUCGAGGUAUUCCCUCAAAUUUGAUGAUUUUAAUUUGGAAUUUGGUUUUAGAAAUUCUGUUACCCCAAUCCACUUGCAUAAUUGGAAUUGAAAUAUCGUUCAUCAGAUGAUUUGGUUUACUUCGCUAAACUAUUGCAUUGCAUAAAUAGUUAAAUGGAUAAUGAGGGUUUUGAAGGCCUUGUUGGCCAUGUUUUGAUUUUUAAACUUGAUUUAAUGAACAAAAGGGGUAGUAUUCCCCCAAUUGAAAUUAAUACACAAAGGCGGACGUGGUAUUCCCCUUGGAUGGUGGAAUUGGUAUGGCAUAAUUAUAAGCUUACAAGAGUAAUGGCAUGACGAUACCUGUGGUUGAUGCCUUAACAGAUAAUUCCAUGGUUAAAUGGAUAGGUUAUGUGAAACUUGAUUUAAUUGGGCUUAAAGGGGGUUGUGUAGCUCACUAUGGAAGGUCGAGGUCCCAGGGGGGCCGAUAAUGGAAACCACAUUUAUCAGUGCGGGAGUAUUUAUAAACAUGUACAAGGUUCACACUUGAAUAUAUAUAUAUAUAUAUAUAUAUAUAUAUAUUUGAUAUGUUGGGGUCGAGGUAUUCCCUGGCUCAUCUUUGAUUUUCCUAGUUCGUGCGGCUAGCAGGCACUGGGAUAGUUUCAGUAGGGGGAGCAGAACUCAUAUAGCCAGUGGAUGCCCUUAUGACGAUUAGAGCUACAUAGUCCAGGUUAAUGAUUUUAAAUUUUAUGUUAAAGUUAAUGAUUUUAAAUUUUAUGUUAAACCUUUUUCCCAAUCCCUACAUCUUAUAUGUAUGUGUAUGUAUGCAUGUAAGUGGACAUGUACACUGAGUUUGGACUUAAUUUCAAGUUGGCAUUAUUUUAUCCCUUCCCUGAGUUACAUGGUAGCGUCGACCCUGAUAACUGUGUCCAAAUGCUAUAUCCCCACACGAUGCAGGGAACAAAGACACUUCCACUUUUCUUGCACAAUGAUCAGGCGAUUCCUGGAUUGAUUAUUAGUCCACUUGGAGUGGUGAGCUUCCAUACUUUAGAAGACCACUAUUUCAUGUUGUUGUUUCAUUUUGUUUUGCACUAUUCUUUUUGGACUCUUAUCUGCUAUGGUCGAGGUCAUGCCCCGACAUACGUUGUUCUUGAAUUUUAGAGGCUUGUGGAAUAUUGUGGAUCGGGAAGGAUGUUAAAGUUCCUAGAUUUCCGUAUGAUUUAGUUGAGUUGCCUAUCUUGUUAUAGUUUGAAACUCAUCUCUAUCUUGUUAUAUGUUCUGUAUUCAUCCGCUGCUAGCUAUAUUAUGUUUUCGUUGGCUAGGGUUUAGGUGGUGGUCUCCGAUCCUCGGUGGAAUAGAAGUACCCAUCACAUUUAGCUCCUAGUUCAUGUCAUGGCAUAAGUUGGGUGCCCAACUCAAAAUCAAUAACAAACUCAAUAUUAUGAGCAGGAGUAAUUCCAAAGAGACUGGUUGGCAAAACAUUAGGAAACUCAUGAACUACCGGAACAGUGUCAAGUGACAGACUCUCCACAAUAACAUCAUGAAUAUAAGUGAGGUAAGACUUUCAAACCCUCAAAAUAAUCCUCUUAGUAUGGACAUAAGAAAUAAUCCUCGUCCGCUCGUAGCUCAUCGUUCCCUGCCAUACAACUUGGUGUACGCUGGACAUGGCUAACGUAACGGUCUUAGGAACAUAGUCCAUGCCCGCAUGAUAGUGGGAUAACCAAUCCAUGCCCAGAAUAACAUCAAAUCUACCAUGUCCAAUAUUAUAAGAUCAACAUUAGUAUCAAAAUCUUGAAUAAUCAUCACAUAUGAUCUGAAAGCCUGAUCCACUGCUAAAGAGUCACCCAUUGAAGUAGAUACACAUAAUAGCAUUGAUAAUGCAUCUCAAGAUAACUCUAACCAUAGGUCAUAGCAAACACAUAAGAACAAGUGUAUCCCUGGUCAAAUAAAGCAAUGGUUGACUCUAUCCAACGACUCUUGGAGAAAGUCAAUACCACAUGGUCUAAUCUCGGAGGUCUCAAACCAACCAAUCGGAGAACGACAUUACAUACCAUAUAAAGCAUCGAAUGAUGCCAUCUCAAUACUCUAAUGAUAACUGUUAUUAUAUGCGGACUCUUCCAAUGUUAUGUGUUGCUCCUACUGACCAUUAAAAUCCAUUACAUAGGCUUUGAGUAUAUCGUUGAGAACCUGAAAAGUCCACUUUGACUGCCGGUCAAUUUGGUGGUCAAUGGUUGUAAGAAGAUCCACCUGAGUACCCAAAUCUUCUUAAAAUCUCUCUAAAAUCUUGAAGUGAAUACUUAACCAAGGUUUGAAAUGAUUGAUAAAGUCACACCAUGCAAAUAGACUAUCUCAUGAACAUAGAUACGGGCUAACCUUUCAGCACAGAAGGAUAUUUGAAAAGUAAUAAAAUCUGUCGAUUUGGUCAACCAAUCCACAGUGACCCCAAUACCAUCGAACCAUGGGAGGUGUCAGGAAAUCCACUAAAAUAGUCCAUGGUAAUCCGCUCCCACUUUCACUUAGGAAUGGCAAACCUCUGAAUCAAUUCACUAGGUCUCUAAUGCUCGACCUUUAUCUACUGAAAACAUAGGUAAGGAGAUACAAAGUCUGCCAUAUCUCUCUUCAUGCCACUCCACCAAUAAUGCUUCCUCAAAUCCCUAUACAUUUUAGUUGUGCCUAGGAAAAUAAAAUAUUUUGAGUUAUCGGCCUAAUACAAAAUUGCCGAAAUCAACCCAUCAACUCUCGGAACACAAAUGCUGCUAUAAAUAUCAAAACACCUUCUAAAUAUAUGGUAGCCCUCUUAGACUCAUCACUCAACUCAUUUUAAUGGAUGAUGAAAAGUCUCUUAUCCUUAAAUUGAUGAGUCUUCUGCUCAAAUAAUGAAGACCUCGCCUCAAUUCUAGCAAGAAUCCUCCUAGGAUCUGAAAUAUCAUGUUGGACCAUCAAGUUAUCUAAAGACCAAAAUUCCUAUGCCAACAACCUCGAAAAUUAAAAUACAAGCUAUGCUACCCAUACUCACCGUCUUUUGACUCAAGGCAUUCGCUACUACGUUUGCCUUUCUCGGAUGAUACAAGAUAGAAAUGUCAUAGUCUUUUAGACACUCCAUCUAUCUCUACUGCCUAGAAUUAAGCUCUCUCUGGGUUCUAAGAUACUAAAGACUACGAUGAUCCAUAAAUAUUUCACAAGGCAUGCCAUAAAGUUAAUGCCUCUAAAUCUUAAGCACAAAAACUACUACUUCCAACUCUAAAUCAUGAGUGGAGUAGUUGAGCUUAUGCACCUUUAUCUCUCUCAAAUCAUAAGAAAUAACAUGACCCUAAUGCAUCAACAAAAAUCAGCAAUAAAAAUGAGCAGAACUACAAUACAUGGUGAAUCCCUCACCAUCAAAAGGAAGAGCCAAAAUAGUAGUUGAAGUCAGAAAUGCCUUAAGCUUUCUAAAGCUUAACUCACACUCCUUGGACUAUCGAAAGGGAACUUUCUUUUGAGUGAUCUGUCAUAGGUGCUACAAUAGUUAUAAAACUCUCAAUUAGCCACCUAUAUUAACCAGCCAAACUAAUGAAGCUACAAACCUCAGUCGAAGAUGUAGGCCUUGCCCAAUAAAGAAAGGCCUCAAUCUUUCAUGGGUCUACUAUAAUCCCAUCAUUGACUCCAUAUUCCCAAAAAAUGUCAUCAACUCAAUUAAAAACUCACACUUAGAGAAUUUGGGAAAAAGUAAAUAUUCUUUCAAAGUCUAGAGCACAAUCCUCAAAUAUUAUGCAUGCUCCUAUCUACUUCUCAAAUAUAUAAAGAUGUCGUUGAUGAAUACAUUCACAAAGGAAUCAAAAUAAGGCCUGAACACCUGAUUUAUCAAAUCCAUAAAUGUAACUGAAGUGUUAUUCAUCCUAAAAGAAAUCACUCAAAACUCAUAAUGACCUUAACGGGUCCUAAAGAAUGUCUUUGGUUAUCCUCACCCUGAAUCCUCAACUAAUGAUAACUGGAACUCAAAUAAAUCUUAGUAAAUAUUGUUUAACCUUAAAGUUAUUAAAAAAUAUCACCAAUGCAAGUAAUAUGAUACCUUUUCUUCACUGUCACCUUAUUAGGCUACCUAUAGCCAAUACACAUAUGUAUAGAGCCAUCCUUCAUCUUCAUAACCUAUACAGGAUCUCCCCAAAGAGACAUAUCUAGUCUAACAAAACCCUUACCAAGAACAUCCUAAAAAUAAGCAUUCAUCUUUCUAUUCUCCAUAGGAGCAAUAUAGUAGGGUACUAUAGAAAUAAGUUGUAACACCUCAGGUUUUUACCUCAAAAAAUUUCUUGAGGUUGGAGCUUACUGUUCAGACUAUGGCUCACCUAACAAGUCAUAAGGUCUCCUUACGAGUCAUAGGGCUCGAGUCAUAGGCUGACCAGUGAGGGUUGCAUAUGUUUCUGCUGUGACUACGAUUAGGAUGCCAUGAGUUUUCAUGGCUCUUUACUAGUCGUAAGGUAUUUUCCAUGGUCAAACUAGUGUAGGUGCAUAAUGUCACUAUUGUGGUUACAAAUAGGACCCUAUGAGUCUUCUGGUCCAUGUAUGAGUCAUAUGGUAUGACUUAUAGGUUCAAUAGUGGGGAUGACUUAUGACACUACUCAGACUACGAGUCUAUGGGAUGACUCUUAGUCUGUCUUAAUGAGUCGUAAGGUGACCCAUAAUGACUAGGUAACAAAUAUUUAGUAAUUCAUUAAGGGUACUUUGGACAUUUCCCCAUUUACUCAAUUGUGAUCCACGACCUUAAAAACCUUUUGGGACCCUAUUAUCAUCCAUAAAACAUAAACAAAUGCACUCUUAAACUCUCUCAAAUACCUAAGUCAAGAAAAAGCUAAGGCUUCUCAAGGUUGAUUAUUUAGAUCUUCCAAAUGGUGAUUUCUCUCCAUAAAUGUGAUACUUUCAGACAUGUACCUCACCCUUUAAGAUUGAUUUGGUUAAAGCAUGUGUUCAAAUUAUUACUCAUGUGGAUUUGAAUAUGGAUUUUUAUUUGGGUUGAGGGUUUUGGGAAGAAUUGUUACUUGAUUUGAAUUCCCAUAGUUUUGAUGCCAAUUUUCAUGUUUUAAUUAUGUAUUUUGAAACCCGUGAGUAUGGUGAAUGGAAUAGCGGUCGAGGUAUUCCCCCAAAUAUGAUAAUUUUGGUUUGGAAUUUGGUUUCAAAAAUUGUAUUCCCUCAACCCACUUGCAUAAUUAGAUUUGAAAUAUGUUUAAUCACAUGACUUGGUUUACUUUCUAAAACUAUUACAUUAUAUAAAUGGUUAAAUGGAUAACAAGUGUUUUAAAGUCCUUGUUAACCAUGUUUUUAUUUGUAAACUUUAUUUAAUAAACAAAGGGGGUCGUGACAUUCCCCCAACUAUUAUUAAUAUACAAGUCAUGGUAUUCUCCCAAUUUGAUGAAAUUGGUAUGACAUAAUUAUAAGCUUGCAAGCGUAAUGAUACGAUGAUACUUAUGGUUGAUACCUUAACGAAUAUUCCCUUGGUUAAAUGGAUGGUUUAUCUGAAACUUAUUUUCAUUAGGCUUAAAGGGUUUUGUGUAGCUCACCAUAAGAGGUGGAGGUCCCAAGUGGUCGAUACUAGAAACCACGUUUUUCGGCAUAGGGGUCUUUAUGACCAUGUGCAUGGUUCCCUGGAUCAUCCUUGGAUUUUCCUAGUUCGUGCGGCUAGCAUACAUAAGGACUAAUUCACUUGGGAGAGAUAAACCCAUAUAGCCAGUAGGUGCCCUUAAGACGGUUAGAGCUAUAUAGUCCAGGUUAAUAAUUUUAUACUUUAUGUUAAACCUUGUUCCCUAUCAUAAUAUUAUAUAUAUAUAUAUAUGUAUGUAUGCAUGUAUGCAAACAAGUACACUGAGUUUGGAUUGAAUUUCUCGUUGGCAGUAUUUAUCUAUACCCUGAGUUAUAUGCUACCUCUUACCCCGCGAACCAUCUUCAGACGUUUAUGUUUGGAAUUUAUCCACUGCUUGAUGUAUUGUAGUUUUGUUGGCUAGAGUUCAAGGGGUAGUCUCUUGUCAUUGGUGCACCUGAGAUACCUAUCACGACCUAUUACAGAGUUGGUUCAUGGUUAUUGGGUGUCCACAAAGUCGGGUCAAGUCUCUUUUAUGGGUUUGUAGUGCACCAAACUUAUGAGGGAGAGUUUACAGGGCAUUUAGGAAUGUUUCCCUUUAUUGUGAUCUAUUUUUUUGGGGCUAUAGAGUCUAAGGUAUUGAAAUCUCCCCUAAUUCUAUUUGUUUACAUUUUAGAUUACGCCUCCCUGAAGAUCUGAUGCUUGUAGAAACUCUUUUUUCCCACCUGAGGAUACUAUCGGUCGAAAUUGUUCUACCUAUGAAAAAAUAAACUCGGUCUAGGGAAUCUGCUCCUGCCUGCCUACAUGGAUUUUUACAGGUCUCUACCCAUCCUCUUUGGGCUUCUUAGGCGAUGAUGUGCAUGCCCUAUUACCCCAAGAAGAUAUUUCUAAUUUCGAAUUUAAUCAAUCUAUUCAUAUGCUAACUUAGGUUGUGACUUCUCAGUCUCAUUAUCCUGACUGUGUUAGUUCUAUUGUUCCAUCUUUUGAGGUUACUAGAGUUGGCCAGUUUAUACAAUUAUAUCCCCCUACAUUUAUAGGGUCUAAGGUUAAUGAGGAUCCUCAAGGAUGUUAGGAGUAGGAGAAAUCGAGUGGUGAUGAUAUUGAGCAGUGGUGAUAGGAGUGGGAGCAAUCGAGUGGUGACGAUGCUGAGUAGGCUAUGUAGGAGGAAUUUUCUAGUGCUUUCCUUGGUCAUUUCUUUCCUCAAGAGUUUAUGGGGUUAAUGCUGAGGAGUUUGUGAACUUGAGGCAAGAAAGGGUGAGUGUGAUAUAAUAUGCCUUCAAAAUCCAUUAGUUGUCUCAUUACACUUUGAACUUGGUGUCUAGCAUGAGUCCAAGAAUGAGGAAGUUUGGUUUGGGUAUGUCUCGGGACUUGGUGAUAGAGUGUAAGGCGGCAAUGUUGAACCAUGACAUGUAUAUCUCUAGAUUAGUGGUUUAAUUUUAGUAGGUUAAAGAUGAAAAAAGAAGCAAGAAAAAAUAGUGUAACGACCCAAAAUUGCCUCCUGGGACAUCACACGGUGCUUAAGGCUACAAGUAGCGUAAAGCUUACCCUUUGAGCCUGUUUCUAUUAAUAACACUCAUUUCAAGAUGAAAUAAUUCAAACACUAGCAUAGUCAUAUCAUAUGAAAGGAAAUAUAGAGAAAAUACUCGGUCCAAAUGACCACAAUACUGGAAACCUCAACACCACCACAAUCUGAUAACUGGUCUGAUAAAGCCUCUACUAAUCCAUGAACUAGAGAGCCAUUGGGAUAGGUCCCCAACUGACUCGAAAUGAACUGAAAAUAACAACAUAGCUCUCAAAAUAUGAAGAUGUCUAAAUAUAGGUCCUCGAACCACGAAGACACAUCACUAUAGGAAUGUAGAUAGAGGUACUCAAAAAACACUGACGAGGUUGGGAUUGAGCAACUAAACCUACAUUAUAAGACAAUGUAGCACAUAGACGUAUAUGUAGAUCGGCACUUGAGAAUGUACUAAGUAUGUGGGAGUGCAUGCAUUUAUAUAAAAAACCAUCAAUACUCUUUUAUUAAAUCAUGCAUAUAGUAAGUAAUGACUCACAUGGCUUGAAUAAGUAUAAAAUGCAAAGCUCAUGAAUCAUGUAAAAUGGAACAUGUAAUACAAUCUCGUGAGUCAUUAUACUUUUAGCUUUGAAAUUUGUACUCUUUUCUUAUUCUCAUUACUCAAGGCUAAAGGAAACUUUAAGCAAUACUUUCAACUCAUGCAUAUGUCUCAUGGAGAUUAAAACUUCUUUAAUGCUCAAGAACUCAUAACUCUUUUGAACUCAAAUAUUUGGAAUUCAGAAUCAUAUAACCUUGGAACAUACUUGAAGGCAUUUCAUUCACAUUAGGAAAAUAUCUCAUUUCAAGCUUUAGGGAAAAAUACUCAUAUCAAGGGAAAGUAUUUUAGUUUUAAAGGAAAAUAUCUCAUCUCAAUGCUUUAGUUUUAAGGGAGAUUCUUUUAACCGACAUAAACCAUGUGAGCUACAUAGAGUCCAAUGUUUUAUCCUCCUAAGAAAGAGACCUCACAUUGGGGAGAGGCAUCAUACUCUUGCCAAAGAGUAUAAUCUCAACUCAGUGAUCACUUAUCUCAUCCUCGAGCCUAAUAUCUCAGCCUUAGGCCCAACAAUCAUCUCGGCCUUAGGCCUAUCCUAUGGUGGCAUGUAGUUCUAGGGUAAGAAACCAUGGUAACUUACCCAACUUGGUGCUAACUACUACUCCCUUUAGUUUAUCUCGCUCAUCUCAUGAAAUUCCACUUUAGAAUAAUCUCAUAGUUCAAUAAGAACCCAAUAAUCAAAUCUGUAAUCUCAUGUAGUAGAGUGAAUUUCAAAACUCAAUGACCAUUAGGUCAAAACAUUUCUCAAUAAUCUCAGAAUACUCAAAUCAUGGGUGCUUAUAGCAUAAUAGUUCAUAAAAUCUCAAGUCUCAAGUAAGGCUUAAUAACCCAUAAUUAAAUCUCAAGUUAGAACUCAUCAAAAGCAUAAUAGAUAGCAUAUAGAUUCAUAACUCAUGUAGAAAUCUGGAAAUUUCAGCAAUUUAUCUCAAAAUCUCAACAUACUCAUAUACUUCAAUGUUUCAAACAUUUCAACUAUUAACUUCUCAAGAAUUAAAAUCAUGGGGUAUAGACCCAGCUAUAAUUUCUCAAGAAAACAUGUAAAAAUCACUCCAUUGGACUCUGAAUUAAGGGAAACAUCAAAAUAUUACAACCAAUAACAAUGAGUGAAAACCCCCAAUUCAAUUUUAUGUAAAAUCUCAUAAAUUACAGAGAAUUGUAGUUUAAAUAAGCCUUUGGGUAUAAGGAUGAAAGGAUUACCUUUGUUCAAAACCCCACAUACCUUGAAUUAGAAGCUUUGGAUGAACUCUCACUUUUGGAAUUCUAUUCGUAUUCUUCAGUGAGGGUUCUUGAAGCCCUUGACUUGGGAACUUUUAAUCUUGACUCAAUUUAGAAAAUCUAUGGUGGAUUCUUGAGAUUCUUGGAAGAGGUUUUGGAUACUUAGGAUUUUUUUGGUUGAGAGAAAUCUUGAGAAAAACUUCAUAGUAUGCUUGUCGAUGACAUCAGUUUUAUGGGCCACCGUGAUGUGCCACUAUCGCAGUGGCUCACUGGAAAUUGACAAAUAGGAAUUUGAGAGUCGCCACGAUGUGGAGCCAUCGUGUUGUUCCACUGGUUGGGACCUAGAUCUUCAGCGCGAUGCAUCACAAUCACGCUAGGCCACUGAAAAUUGACUAUUGAGAAAUUGGGGUCCUCCGCGAUGCACCACUGAUGCAGAGUUCCAUUGGAAUUUGAAAAUUGUCAAAUAAACCCUCUCCGCGAUGCGCAAAGCACUAAAAUGAUGUUGUUUUAUGGCUAGGACUUAGAUUAAUAAUAACUUCUUACCCGGGUAUCAGAUUUGGGUGAAUUUUAUAUCGACGGAAUCUUAUCAAACUUCCCAUGUGAUAAAAAUUCGAAAGUAGGGAAAUUCUAUAUGGUUAACAUGAUACUCAGUUAGGAAGUCACUUUUCAAUCUUUUAGGGCCAAAAUCAUACCUCACUUGGCAUGCCCUAAGGCUCAUUCUAUGAGAGAAUUUUUGUGGGAUCUUAUAAUAUCUCCCCCUUGGAAAUAUUUGAUAACGCUCAAAUUACACGUCAAUUUAGUGCAAGGCGGUCGUCUUCAAUACAUUUACCCAACUUUGGAUUCGGGGUCGAAUCCACAGGGAACAAUGUGAUUGGCAAUUAAACUCAUUGGAAACUAAAGCUACAAGUUAAAUUCAAACAACUGGUACAACAAGACAAAAUGGGGGGUUUUGGAGAUUAGCAAAUAAUUGUUGGUCACUUUAGUUUUAGUGUUUGUAAUCAAGAGUUUAUGGAAAACCAGAGUUAUGUUCACUAUGGGUUUUGGUAUUUUACAGAUACUAAUAGUGAUUCAAGAUUCUCACGAUAGGUAGGAACAACAGAUUGUCUUUUUCGAAGUUAUGCCUAAAUAUCUCUCGACCUACUUAAGCAUUUAAUUACCUAAUCCUCUCGGACUUAGGAAAUUUAUAUUCUCUGGCCAGACUUCACCUCAGGUCAGUUAACCUUGUUACAACGUCAAUUAUUAAAUGGAAGGUUGGUAGCUUCCAAGUACCUGUCAAUAAUUCACUUCCUACUAUAGUUGAUUUCUUAUCUCAAGCAAAUCAAAGUAGGUGCUAUCUAUCAUUUGUAACCAAUAGACAAUAAUUAAAACCUCAGAAUUAUCAAGGAGUUCUAUUACCUUUAAAUCUUGAACACUUAGCAACUUACCAAUACCUAACCCAUAGAUUCCAUAAUUCGGGUUAAGGGAAUUAGCCACUCAUAAUGUAUUAAUCGAAACAACAAGUUGAAUUCAUAAUUCGAAAAAUGAACCUACAGCAAGCUGAAUAGAAACGUGUGUUUCUCUGAUUAGAUCAAAGUAGAAAUCCCAAAAUAUUGAUGAUAAUCUCUUCAAAGUUAAUUGUUUUGUUCAAACCAAGAAACUAGAAAGAAAAUAAAAAAAUAUGUGCGUUGCAAAAUAGGUUCAGAAUCCUCGAGUACCAGCCGCCAAGAAAACCCUAAACAAUACUUUAAAUAGUUCACCCUAAUUAUGGAAAUGAAAUUACAGAGUUCAGUAAUUUCUCAGAAAAGUGAUGACAUUUUGUGAUGCCUUAUCAAGAGUCUGACGACUUAUCAUAGAUGUCGUCAGCUCCUCUUUGCUUUUGACAUUCGCUACCUUAGGCUGAUGAUGCAGCGUGAUGGCUUAUCAGAUCUUUGAUGACUUAUCACAGAUGUCGUCGAUGAUUUACUUCAGCUCUCAUGUUCUGACUUAGGCUAAUAACGAUCUUGAUAGCUUAUCACAACUCUGACGGCUUAUCGCAUGUCAUCGUCACUUUUUCCAGCUGAAUCCCAUUCUCUAUUUAAGGCUGAUAACUUAUCAGAGUGCUGACGAGUUAUCAGGAAUGUCGUCAGCCACACUUCUCUUCUUGUUGCUUCAGAUUUCAACUCUUUUACUUCCAUCAUUGUUGGUUCUCUCUCAUCUUGACUUCCACUGCAAAAUCAAAGAUAAAACAAUCAAAAACAACAAAAGUUGCUUAUCACUUUGCAAUUAUUCUCAGUUAAAAGCCUCAAAUGUGUUAGCUUCUCACACAUCAACACCCUCAACUUAAAACAAUUGCUUGUCCCCAAGUAACUAAAACACAACCAAGAGGAUAAAAAGUACAUUCGACAGUCAACCAUUCAUAUUAUCUCAAAACAUCUUCUCUAUCUCCAAGGUCAAUUAAUUUUAAAAAACAACUGUGCAUAUUAUUGAAGAACAACAAUGCGACACAUAGGAAUCAAGAUAUAGCAUCAAUUCAGCAACAACAACCAUGCAUUUACCAAGAUUACACUAUCCCAACAAGUUAGCAACUAGUAAUGUAACCAGUGUGCCCUUACAACAAAGAAGUCCCACUUCACUUAUAUAUGAAAUCAAGCAUGUAAAUAAAGGGACGGUCAAGAGACACUCGCUUGCAGAAAGAAGUUCCAGUCAAUGUAUGCCAAAUACCAUAAGCUUGCCCUUAUUUUCAUUACCAAGGCUUUCAGAUAGGUUAGCUAGGAUCACUAUAGGUCUUCUCUUUGGCUUGUAAUACAGACUAGGGGCUGGUAUAAUACUCGAUGAUAUUUAAAGUGACUAAGCCUCCUUGACACUACACUAGAUUAAGGGAAACAUCAAAAUAUUACAACCAAUAACAAUGAGUGAAAACCCCCAAUUCAAUUUUAUGUAAAAUCUCAUAAAUUACAGAGAAUUGUAGUUUAAAUAAGCCUUUGGGUAUAAGGAUGAAAGGAUUACCUUUGUUCAAAACCCCACAUACCUUGAAUUAGAAGCUUUGGAUGAACUCUCACUUUUGGAAUUCUAUUCGUAUUCUUCAGUGAGGGUUCUUGAAGCCCUUGACUUGGGAACUUUUAAUCUUGACUCAAUUUAGAAAAUCUAUGGUGGAUUCUUGAGAUUCUUGGAAGAGGUUUUGGAUACUUAGGAUUUUUUUGGUUGAGAGAAAUCUUGAGAAAAACUUCAUAGUAUGCUUGUCGAUGACAUCAGUUUUAUGGGCCACCGUGAUGUGCCACUAUCGCAGUGGCUCACUGGAAAUUGACAAAUAGGAAUUUGAGAGUCGCCACGAUGUGGAGCCAUCGUGUUGUUCCACUGGUUGGGACCUAGAUCUUCAGCGCGAUGCAUCACAAUCACGCUAGGCCACUGAAAAUUGACUAUUGAGAAAUUGGGGUCCUCCGCGAUGCACCACUGAUGCAGAGUUCCAUUGGAAUUUGAAAAUUGUCAAAUAAACCCUCUCCGCGAUGCGCAAAGCACUAAAAUGAUGUUGUUUUAUGGCUAGGACUUAGAUUAAUAAUAACUUCUUACCCGGGUAUCAGAUUUGGGUGAAUUUUAUAUCGACGGAAUCUUAUCAAACUUCCCAUGUGAUAAAAAUUCGAAAGUAGGGAAAUUCUAUAUGGUUAACAUGAUACUCAGUUAGGAAGUCACUUUUCAAUCUUUUAGGGCCAAAAUCAUACCUCACUUGGCAUGCCCUAAGGCUCAUUCUAUGAGAGAAUUUUUGUGGGAUCUUAUAAUAUCUCCCCCUUGGAAAUAUUUGAUAACGCUCAAAUUACACGUCAAUUUAGUGCAAGGCGGUCGUCUUCAAUACAUUUACCCAACUUUGGAUUCGGGGUCGAAUCCACAGGGAACAAUGUGAUUGGCAAUUAAACUCAUUGGAAACUAAAGCUACAAGUUAAAUUCAAACAACUGGUACAACAAGACAAAAUGGGGGGUUUUGGAGAUUAGCAAAUAAUUGUUGGUCACUUUAGUUUUAGUGUUUGUAAUCAAGAGUUUAUGGAAAACCAGAGUUAUGUUCACUAUGGGUUUUGGUAUUUUACAGAUACUAAUAGUGAUUCAAGAUUCUCACGAUAGGUAGGAACAACAGAUUGUCUUUUUCGAAGUUAUGCCUAAAUAUCUCUCGACCUACUUAAGCAUUUAAUUACCUAAUCCUCUCGGACUUAGGAAAUUUAUAUUCUCUGGCCAGACUUCACCUCAGGUCAGUUAACCUUGUUACAACGUCAAUUAUUAAAUGGAAGGUUGGUAGCUUCCAAGUACCUGUCAAUAAUUCACUUCCUACUAUAGUUGAUUUCUUAUCUCAAGCAAAUCAAAGUAGGUGCUAUCUAUCAUUUGUAACCAAUAGACAAUAAUUAAAACCUCAGAAUUAUCAAGGAGUUCUAUUACCUUUAAAUCUUGAACACUUAGCAACUUACCAAUACCUAACCCAUAGAUUCCAUAAUUCGGGUUAAGGGAAUUAGCCACUCAUAAUGUAUUAAUCGAAACAACAAGUUGAAUUCAUAAUUCGAAAAAUGAACCUACAGCAAGCUGAAUAGAAACGUGUGUUUCUCUGAUUAGAUCAAAGUAGAAAUCCCAAAAUAUUGAUGAUAAUCUCUUCAAAGUUAAUUGUUUUGUUCAAACCAAGAAACUAGAAAGAAAAUAAAAAAAUAUGUGCGUUGCAAAAUAGGUUCAGAAUCCUCGAGUACCAGCCGCCAAGAAAACCCUAAACAAUACUUUAAAUAGUUCACCCUAAUUAUGGAAAUGAAAUUACAGAGUUCAGUAAUUUCUCAGAAAAGUGAUGACAUUUUGUGAUGCCUUAUCAAGAGUCUGACGACUUAUCAUAGAUGUCGUCAGCUCCUCUUUGCUUUUGACAUUCGCUACCUUAGGCUGAUGAUGCAGCGUGAUGGCUUAUCAGAUCUUUGAUGACUUAUCACAGAUGUCGUCGAUGAUUUACUUCAGCUCUCAUGUUCUGACUUAGGCUAAUAACGAUCUUGAUAGCUUAUCACAACUCUGACGGCUUAUCGCAUGUCAUCGUCACUUUUUCCAGCUGAAUCCCAUUCUCUAUUUAAGGCUGAUAACUUAUCAGAGUGCUGACGAGUUAUCAGGAAUGUCGUCAGCCACACUUCUCUUCUUGUUGCUUCAGAUUUCAACUCUUUUACUUCCAUCAUUGUUGGUUCUCUCUCAUCUUGACUUCCACUGCAAAAUCAAAGAUAAAACAAUCAAAAACAACAAAAGUUGCUUAUCACUUUGCAAUUAUUCUCAGUUAAAAGCCUCAAAUGUGUUAGCUUCUCACACAUCAACACCCUCAACUUAAAACAAUUGCUUGUCCCCAAGUAACUAAAACACAACCAAGAGGAUAAAAAGUACAUUCGACAGUCAACCAUUCAUAUUAUCUCAAAACAUCUUCUCUAUCUCCAAGGUCAAUUAAUUUUAAAAAACAACUGUGCAUAUUAUUGAAGAACAACAAUGCGACACAUAGGAAUCAAGAUAUAGCAUCAAUUCAGCAACAACAACCAUGCAUUUACCAAGAUUACACUAUCCCAACAAGUUAGCAACUAGUAAUGUAACCAGUGUGCCCUUACAACAAAGAAGUCCCACUUCACUUAUAUAUGAAAUCAAGCAUGUAAAUAAAGGGACGGUCAAGAGACACUCGCUUGCAGAAAGAAGUUCCAGUCAAUGUAUGCCAAAUACCAUAAGCUUGCCCUUAUUUUCAUUACCAAGGCUUUCAGAUAGGUUAGCUAGGAUCACUAUAGGUCUUCUCUUUGGCUUGUAAUACAGACUAGGGGCUGGUAUAAUACUCGAUGAUAUUUAAAGUGACUAAGCCUCCUUGACACUACACUAGCUUUUGGGAUUUCACUCAUUAGCCUUUUUCUAUUCUUUUCUUUCUUGAUCACACUUAUUCAGGAUGGGUGCGGUUCUUUUAGACAAUCAUUAUUUCUUUUUCACCACUUUUCUUUUCUUAUUUUUUUCCACCGCACCUAGAUUUUUAUUCUACCUUUCUUCAUACUCAUUUUACAUCACGCACCCCAUGGUAGCCACCCUCAACUUAGGCUAUUUGCCUAAGUCAAAGUGCACAAUGUCCAAGGAGGACCAGGGCCAAAACAGGUUUAUUAUGAUUAAAAAUGGGACGGUGAUUGGUAUCAUAAAAAAAUAGGAUAUUCAGGCUCAAAAUAGGGAUCAAGGGAUAUUAUUCACACAUGGAAGGUCAUUUAGGCUAAAAGUGGAGCCUAUGAUCCUUUCCUAACUGCUAUCCUACAACCAAGGCAAGACCAACCAGGCAAGUUCUGGAUUUAACACACAAUGGGAACUAGAUAGUAUCUAACACACACAGAGCACAAAGGUACAUCACAAGAUACUACCCAUUCGGUUCAUGCAAUUGUUUAGCAAUGGUUAUCAUGUCACGAGUACUAAUACUAUACAAAGAUGAACAGUGGUCACAAAUAGAUGCAAAUCACACAGUUAAAGAAUUAGACCACUAGAGAGAUGUUCAAAAAAUAUCAAAAUUGUGUUAACUACCUCAAGUACUUGUAUUUCUCCUAGUCAACUACAAAAUGUUACAACAAAUCAAAAUACACCUAAAUAUGCCGGCUCUACUAGGAAUAAGACUCUAGGGAAAAGAGGCACGACAACAAAACCCCCAAGAGGACAUCAACUCCCAAAAGUAGGCCCACCCUCAACUUAAAAUCAUGCAAUGUCCCCAAUGUGUCAAACCAAAACAAGAGAGUUAGAAACAUACCUAUGGCACCAUGGGUGCGAAGAUAUAAUGUCAAUCACAUAAUACGAAUACAAACAAAAAAAUAUUUUGGGUUGCCUUCCAAGCAGCGCCUAAUUUAGUAUCGCGGCACAAUCCAAAUCAAUUUUUUCCUCCACCUUGAGGAUAUGAAUUUCACCCCCAACUUAGAGUCCAUCUUCUUGCCUUACUCAUAGGUGGUGGUACAAAAAUUAAUAAGUUGAGUAAUGGAUUGAGCAUUGUAAACUAAUCGGUCUAAAAGUGAAGUGUGUUUUUAUGUUGCUUAUCAAGUGUAAAAUAAAGAAUAUAGGAUUCUUGUUCCUCAUCUUCACACUCUUCCAUUAUUCAGAUGAUUCUACAAACAAGAAAUCAUCUUAAGAUUAUGUGGAAAAAUGCUUCGAGUGAAGCCCAAUUAAUUCUACUUCAAAAUUUACACUAUCUACUACACACUCACUUUUAUUCACCUUCUCAAUGUUAGCCUCAAGAUCAAGAUGACAAUCGAGUGGUUGCGAUUCUUGAGUUUUCUCCUCAAAUUGGCUAAUGUCCUCCUUAUAUUCUUCUUUGUUUAGCCACCGUAAACAUGGUGGGAGUGGUAACUCAUUUAGCUCUGCCCACAACUAUUCUUGAUUCUCUAAUAUUUAUUUCAUCAAUUUGUUUGCUCACUUUGACCACAAGCCAAACACCAAGUUACAGUAAGUAGGACAGUAUCUGCAUCAUAUUAUGAAGGUCCAGUCCAUGAACUUCCAGGUAAAUCUAGACAGCAAGCCUCAAAAUAUAGUCCCCCACAAUAAUAACAAGAAUUGUCAUCACUCAAAAAACUGUCUAUCCAGGCUGACAUCUCAAGAAAGGUGUGAUAAAAUAAAAAAAAUAAAAAAUAAACUAAACAAAUAUUUACAAGUUUGAAUUCAAGCAAGUAAACUAAAAUUUUAAACCAACUCAAUAUGCCAAAUUGUUCCCCAACAACGGUGUCAUUUUUGACAACGCUCAACUUACACGUCAAUUUAGUGCAAGGCGAUCGUCGUCAAUAUAUUUACCCAACUUUGGAGUCGGGGUCGAAUCCACAGGGAAUAAUAUGAGUGGUGAUUAAACUCAUUUGAUACUAAAGUUACAAGUUAAAUUCAAACAAAUGGUACAAAAAGACAAAAUGGGGUUUUUGGAGAUUAGCAAAUAAUUGUUGGUCACUUUAGUUUCAGUGUUUGUAAUCAAGAGUUUAUGGAAAACUAGAGUUAUAUUUACUAUGGGUUUUGGUACUUGACAGAUGCUAAUAGUGAUUCAAGAUUCUCAUGAUAGGUAGGAACAACAGAUUGUCAUUAUCAAAGUUAUGCCAAAAUAUCUCUUGACCUACUUAAGCAUUUAAUUACCUAAUCCUCUCGGAUUUCGGGAAUUUAUAUUCAUUGACCUGACUUCACCUCAGGUUAAUUAAUCUUGUUACAACAUCAAUUAUUAAACGGAAGGUUGGUAGCUUCCAAGUCCCUAUCAAUAAUUCACUUCCUACUGUAGUUGAUUUCCUAUCUCAAGCAAAUCAAAGCAGGUGCUAUCCAUCAUUUGCAACCAAUAGACAAUAAUUAAAACCUUGAAAUUAUCAAGGAGUCCUAUUACGUUUAGAAUUUUAAACACUUAGCAACUUACGAAGACCUAACCCAAAGAUACCAUAAUUUGGGUUAAAGGGAUUUAUCCACUCCUAAUGUAAUAAUCGAUACAACAAGUUGAAUUCAUAAUUUGAAAGAUGAACUUACAAAAAAUGAAUAGCAAUGAGUGUUUCUCAGAUUAGAUCAAAGUAGAAAUCCCAAAAUAUUGAUGAUAAUCUAUUCAAAGUUAAUUGUUUUGUUCAAGCCAAGAAACUAGAGAGAAAAUAAUAAAAUACAUGCAUUCCAAAAUAGGUUCGGAAUCCUCAAGUACCAGCCCCCAAGAAAACCCUAAACAAUACUUUAAAUUGUUUACCCUAAUUAUGGAAAAAAAUCACAGAGUUCAGUAAUUUCACGAACUGGUGACGACAUUUUGUGAUGCCUUAUCAGGAGUCUAAUGACUUAUCAUAGAUAUCAUCAGCUCCUCUUUGCUUUUGACAUUCGCUGCGUUAGGCUGACAUGAAGCAUGAUGGCUUAUCAGAUCUUUGAUGACUUAUCACAGAUGUAGUCGAUGAUUUACUUCAGCUCUCAUGUUCUGCCUUAGGCUAACUACGAUCUUGAUUACUUAUCACAACUCUGACGGCUUAUCACAUUUCGUCGUCACUUCUUCCAGCUGAAUCCCAUUCUCUGUUUGAGGCUGAUGAUGAAGCUGAUAACUUAUCAGAGUGCUGACAACUUAUCAGGAAUGUCGCCAGCCACACUUCUCUUCUAUUUGCUUUAGAUUUUAACUCUUUUACUUCUAUCAUUGUUGGUUCUCUUGCAUCUUGACUUUCACUAUAAAAUCAAAGAUAAAAGAAUAAAAAACGAUAAAAGUUGCUUAAGACUUUGCAAUUAUGCUCAGUUAAAAGCCUCAAAUGUGUUAGCAUCUACUCACACAUCAACAUUCGUCCUCGAAUAUCGCUAGUUAGACUAAGAACAUAGGAAAAACUGAGUACACAUAGCUGAAGCAAGUUGCUAAAAUGGGUUCAAAAUCUCUCUAAAUUCUUGAAUGCCUUGGAAAUGGGAAGAAUUUAUACAAGGAUAGAUGCAUAUAGCUGAACUUUAGAUUAGAAGGGCUGAAUUAAGGAAGAAUAAUACCUUCGGAUUAAUCUAAACUUGCAAAAAAGAGGUGCGGGUACUUGGCUCGCAUGUUUGCUUCUGCCUCCCAAGCAGCACCCUCAAUAGACUGGUUCUACCACAAACUUUGACCAAGGGAACUUCUUUGUUCCAUAGUCUAUGGAUCUGAAAAUCUAGGAUCUCAAUAUGAAUCUCACGAAGGAAAGACUGUUCUGAAUAUCGGCAUUCUUUGAAGGAUUUACUACAAUGGAAUCACCAAUAUGCUUCUUAAGCAUGGAGGCAUGAAAAAUAAGAUGAACAACUGACAACUCUGUGGGAAACUCAACCUCAUAUGCCACCUUACCAACAUGGCUCAAGACUCUGUACGGGCUAACAUAACGGGGACUAAGCUUCCCUUUUUUAGCAAACCUUUUCACCCCUUUCAUAGGUGAAAUCUUCAAGUAUACCAAAUCACCCACUUUAAACUCAAGAUCUCUUAUCCUCACAUUGGCAUAAGACUUUUGAUGACUCUGGGCGGUCUUCAACCUCUCUCUAAUCAAUUAAACUAUCUCCAUAGCUUUAAAUACUACAUCAGGCCUGUCACGGUAGCUUCACCCACUUCAAACCAACCUAAGGGUGAUCUAUGUAUCCUAUCAUACAAGGCCUAAAAUGGUUCCAUCCCGAUGCUAGCAUGCUAAUUAUUAUUAUAGGCAAACUCUAUCAAUGGAAAAUCCUCAUCCCAACUAUCUUUGAAAUCAAGAGCACAUACCCUCAACAUAUCUUCUAGGGUCUAAAUGGUCCUCUUAUCUUGACCAUCUGUCUGUGGAUGAAAAGCGAAACUCAAAAGGACUUGGGUACCAAGACCCUGCUGGAAUGCCCUCUAAAAUUGAGAAGUAAAUUGAGUGACCUUAUCCGAAAUGAUAGACGAGGGAACUCUGCGAAGCCUGACUAACUCCCGAAUAUAUAAUCUAGCAUAAUCUUCAGCUAUAUAAGACCUAUGCAUGGGCAGGAAAUGCACAGACUUAAUCAGUCUGUCUACAAUAACCCAAAUAGAAUCAUGAUGACGACGUGAAAGAGAUAACCCAGUUACAAAGUCCAUAUUCACCACCUCCCAUUCCAAGUGGGUAUACCAAACCCUUGCAUCACACCACCAGGUCUUUGGUGCUCUACCUUAACCUAUUGGGACGUUACAUACUUUGCUACGAACUCAGGUAUAUCUUUCUUUAUACCAUUCCAGCAAUAGAUUUCCCGCAAGUCGUAGUACAUCUUGGUAGUGAUGGGAUGAAUAAAAUACCGCACGCCAUGUGCUUCAGCCAUAAUUCUCUGCCUCAAAUCAUCAACACAUAGAACACACAAUCUACCUUGCAAUAUGAACACACCAUCUCCUCCUUGGGAGAAAACCUCUACCUUUUGUCCUUUAACGGACUCCUUCACUUUGACUAAACUAGGAUCCCUAUUUUGCUUCUUUUUCACUUCUGAAACUAAAGAGAAUUCAGAACUACUCUGCAUCAACGUACUCCCCUUGGAUGAAUCAAGCAACCUAACACCCAAUCUAACCAGAAAAUGCACAUCAUGAGCUAAAUAUUUCUUACCUUCCUCUACAUGAGCAACACUACCCAUUAACAAUCUGCUAAAGGUAUCCACCACUAGUUGGCCUUGCCCGAGUGAUGUAAUACACUUAUAUCAUAGUCUUUUAACAACUUCAACCACCUUUUCUACCUAAGAUUCAACUCCCUCUGAGUAAAUACAUACUGCAGGCUCUUAUGAUCAGUAAACACAUCAACAUGAACACCAUAAGGAUAGUGUCUCCAGAUUUUCAAAGUAAAGACCACAACAGCUAACUCAAGAUCAAGGGUUAGGUAAUUCUUCUCAUGCUACUUUAACUGUUUAGAGGCAUAGGCUAUAACCUUACCUCUUUGUAUCAACACACAACCCAAACCAAUUCUUGAGGCAUCACAAUACAACAUAAAACUAUCUAUACCAUCAGGCAAAGUCAACACAUAGCUGAAGUAAGUUGAGUGUUCAACUCCUAAAAACUCUUCUCACAAGAAUUUAACCACUGGAACUUAACUUUCUUUUGGGUUAAAUAGGUCAUGGGAGAUGCAAUAGAAGAUAAACCCUCAAUAAAAUGGUGGUAGUAGGCAGCUAGACCCAAAAAAAUCCUAAUGUUAGACGGGGAGAUAAGUCUAGUCUAAUUUUUCACAGCUUAUGUUUUUUGGGGAUCAACUCUAAUACCUUCGGCUAAAAUGAUAUGACCCAGAAAGGCUACAUACCUUAGCCAAAAUUCACACUUACUGAAUUUGGAAAACAACUGGUGCUCUCUGAGGGUUUGUAAAACAAUUCUAAGAUGAUUCGCAUAGUCAUUCUCAUUACGAGUGUACACAAGGAUAUCAUCUAUAAAAACAAUAACAAACAUAUUAGGAUAUUGCUUGAACACUCGAUUCAUGAGGUCCAUAAAUACGGCUGGGGCAUUGGUUAGCCCGAAGGACAUGACUUGAAACACAAAGUGACCAUAGCGGGUUCAAAAAACUGUUCUUAGAAUAUCACACCCCCUCACUUUAAGUUGAUGAUAGCCGAAUCUAAGGUCUACCUUGAAAAAAUAACUUGCACCAUGUAAUUGGUCAAACAAGUCAUCAAUUCUCGAAGGAGGAUAUUUAUUUUUUGACUGUGACCUAGUUAAUUUGAUGAUAGUCAAUGCACAUACGCAAAGAAUCAUCUUUUUUUUGCAUGAAUAAAAUAGGUGCGCCCAAGGAGAAAUACUGGACCUUAUGAAACCUUUGUCUAAAAGAUCUUUGAGUUACUCGUUCAACUCCUUAAGCUCCGCAGGUGCUAUAUGGUAUAGUGGAAUAAAAAUGGGAAAAGUGUUGGGAAGAAGGUCAAUCCCGAAUUCUAUCUCCCUAUCAGGAGGUAUCCCGGGGAGAUCUUCUAGAAAAACAUUAGAAAACUCAUUAACAAUGUUGACUGACUAAAUAGUUGGAGCCUCGUACUUAGUUUGUUUGACUCUAACUAAGUGAGAGAUGCAACCUUUGGAUAUUAUCUUUCUGGCUUUGAGAUAGGAGAUAAAAUAACUCUUGGGAGAUAUUGAACUCAUAGACCACUCAAAAACUGGUUCAUCAAGAAACUGAAACUUGACCACUCGAGUACGAUAGUAUACAUACACAUAAAAAGAAUGAAUCCAAUCCAUACCCAGAAUAAGGUCAAAAUCUACCAUGUCUAACUCUAUCAAAUUCGCAAGUAUACCUCUAUGAAGAAUAGUAAUAGGAUAAUAUCUAUACACUUGUUUAGCAACAAAUCAUCCCCUUCUGGUGUGGAGACUAGGAAAUGCUCAGGAAUUCUUUCGGGACUCAUUUUGAAAAUCACAGUCACAAGUGGGGUCACAUAGAAGAGACUUAACCCGUGGUCCAACAACACAUAAACAUUAAAACAAAAGAGGCGGAGCACACCAGUAACAACAUCGAGAGUGUCCUCCUGCUCCUGAUGGGAUGGUAAGGCAUAGAAUCUAUUGUAGCACUGACCACCAGCAGUGCUAGAUAAAGCGCCCUAAGCAAGAGCGGGAUGGGAUGCAGGAGCUGGUGCACUAGUAGCCGGUGCCAGAGGUCGAGCAUCUCUGUUCCCCUGUAUAGCAUUAGGGAAAUCUCUAAGUCUAUGGCCCAGCUUUCCACAACCAAAACAACCCCUCAAAUCUACAAAACACUCAUUGGGAUGAUCCCUACCAUACUUAGCACAAGAAGGAUAACGGGGCCUGUUACCAAUACUGUUCUGUGACCUAGACAUAAAGGAUCUUCCCCCUUGCUCCUACCUCCUUCUAGGUGCAGGAGCACUAGUUGAUAAAGGCACUGGUACAGACAGACGCCUCUGAAACUAAGAGCACUUCCCUCCAUGGAACCUAGGAUGGCUAUACUCAUGCUGCUCAGAUCUAGCCCUUUUGUUACCCCUCACUUGAUCUCUCUCCCUAAUCUUAUCCACCUCUAUCUGUUGGGCAUUCAUCAUCAACCUAACGAAAUCCAUAUCCCUAUGUAGCAUUGCAGUCCUAAACUUUUUUAGUACUAACCCAGAAACACCGGUCACAAACAUCCUCAUACUAGUGCGUGUCAGAAAUCAAAUCAGGAGAAUAAUUGGCCAACUGAUUAAAAUUCAAGCAGUACUCCUUAACAGUCAUGGAGCCCUGCCUCAAGUUCAUAAACUCCUUAAUCUUUGCUUCCCUCAUAUCAAGAGAAAAGAACUUGUCCAAGAAUGCAUCUUGGAACACCUGCAAGUCAUAGGAGCAACAUUCUCACCUCACCCUUUCUCCAUGAUCCAACCCUAUCAUAAGCUACAAGUAGCCCCAAGCUAACCCUUUGAGCCUGUUUCUAGUAAUAACACUCAUUUCAAGAUGAAAUAAUUCAAACACUAGCAUAUUCAUAUCAUAUGAAAGGAAAUAUGGAGAAAAUGCUCGAUCCAAAUGACCAAAAUACAAGAAACCUCAACACAACCACAAUUUGAUAACUAGUCUGACAAAGCCUCUACUAAUCAAUGAACUAGAGAGCCAUUGGGACAGGUCCCCAACUAACGCAAAAUAAACUAUAAAUAACAACAUAGUCUCUCAAAAUAUGGAGAUGUCUGAAUGUAGGUCCUCAAACCAUAAGGACUCACCACUAUAAGAAUGUAGAUAGAGGUACUCAAAAAUCACUGAUGAGGUUGGAACUGAGCACCUGAACCUACAUUAUAAGAUAAUAUAGCACAUAGACAUAUAUGUGGAUCAGCACUUAAGAAUGUACUGAGUAUGUGGGGUGCAUGCAUUUAUAUAAAACAACAUCAAUACUCUUUAAUCAAAUCAUGCAUAUAAUAAGUAAUGACUCACAUGGCUUGAAUAAGUAUAAAAUGCAAAGCUCAUGAAUCAUGUAAAAUGGAGCAUGUAACACAAUCUCGUGAGUCAUUAUACUUUUAGCUUUGAAAUUUGUACUCUUCUCUUAUUCUCAUUACUCAAGGCUAAAGGAAACUUUAAGCAAUACUUUCAACUCAUGAGUAUGUUUCAUGGAGAGUAAAACUUCUUUAAUGAUCAAGAACUCAUAACUCUUUUGCACUCAAAUGCCUGGAAUUCAGAAUCAUAUAACCUUGGAACAUACUUGAAGACAUUUCAUUCACUUUAGAAAAAUAAGUCAUUUCAAGCUUUAGGGAAAAGUACUUAUAUCAAGGGAAAGUAUUUUAGUUUUAAAGGAAAAUAUCUUAUCUCAAAUCAUUUCUUUUAAAGGAGAUUCUCUUAACUGAUAUAAACCAUGCGAGCUACAUGGAUUCAAACAUUUUUUCCUCCUAAGGAAGAGACCUCACAUUGGGGAGAGGCAUCAUACUCUUGCCAAGGAGUUUAACCUCAACUCAGUGAUCACUUAUCUCGGUCUCGAGCCCAAUAUAUCAGCCUUAGGCCCAACAAUCAUAUCGGCCUUAGGCCCAUCCUAUGGUGGCAUAUAGUUUUGGGGUAAGAUAUCGUGGUAACUUACCCAACUCGGUGCUAAAUACUACUCCCUUUAUUUUAUCUCGCUCAUCUCAUGAAAAUCUACUUUAGAAUAAUCUCAUGAUUCAAUAAGAACCCAAUAAUCAAUUCUGUAAUCUCAUAUAGUAGAGUGGAUUUCAAAACUUAAUGACCAUUAGCUCAAAACAUUUCUCAAUAAUCUUAGAAUACUAAAAUCAUGGGUGUUUAUAACAGAAUAGUUUAUAAAAUCUCAAGUCUUAAGUUAGGCUUAAUAACCCAUAAUUCAAUCUCAAGUUAUAACUCAUUAAAGGCAUAAUAGAUAGCAUAUAGAUUCAUAACUCACGUAGAAAUAUAGAAAUUUCAGCAAUUUAUCUCAAAAUCUCAACAUACUCAUAUACUUCAAUGUUUCAAACAUUUCAACUAUUAACUUCUCAAGGAUUAAAAUCAUGGGGUAUUAACCCAGCUACAAUUUCUAAAGAAAAUAUGUAAAAAUCAUGCCAUUAGACUCUCAAUUCAGGGGAAACAUCAAAAGCUUGCAACCAAAAACAAUGGGUGAAAAUCCCAAUUCAAUUUCAUGUAAAAUCUCAUUAAUUGCAGAGAACUCUUGUUUAAAUAAGCCUUUGGGCACAAGGGUGAAAGGAUUAUCCUUGUUCAAAACCCCACAUACCUUGAAUUAGAAGCUUUGGAUGAACUCUUGUUUUUGAAACUCAAUUCUUACUCUUGAAUGAGGGUUCUUGAAGCCCUUAACGUGGGAACCUUAAAUCUUAACUCAAGUUAGAAAAUCUAUGGUGGAUUCUUGAGAUUCUUUAAAGAGGGUUUAGAUACUUAGGUUUUUUUUCUUGAGAGAAAACUUGAGAAAAACUUCAUAGAAUGCUUGUAUAUGACUUCAAUUUGGUGUUUGCAUGGUUUAAGAGGCUUGAAAAAAGUCCAAAUUGCCCUUUUGAACUUCUAUACGAAGCUAGAAUAAUUGAACUAGGAACCCAGUUUUAUGGGCCUCUGCGAUGCACCACUAUUAUGGUGGCUCACUGGAAAUUGAAAAUUUGGAAUCUGGGAGUCACUGUGAUAUGGAGCCAUCGUGUUAUCCCACUGGUUAGGACCUGGAACUUCAGCGCGAUGCAUCACAAUUGUGCUAGGCCAUUGAAAAUUGACUAUUAAGAAAUUAAGGUCCUCCGCGAUGUGCCACUAUUGCGGAGUUCCACUGGAACUUGACAAUUAUCAAAUAGAACCUCUCUGCGAUACGCCAAGCACUAAAAUAAUGCUGUUUUACAACUAGGACUUAAAUUAGCCAUAACUUCUUUCCCAGGUGUCGGAUUUGGGCGAAUCUAAUAUCGAUGGAAGGCAUAUCAAAUUUUCCAUAUGAUAAAAAGUUAAAAUUAGGGAAAUUCUAUAUGGUUAACAUGAUACUCACUUAGGAAGUCACUUCUAAAAUAUUUUAGGGCCAGAAUCAUACAUCUAUGAGAGAAUUUUUGUAGGGUCUUAUAAAUAGAAGAGAGGCAAAAUAAGAAAUUUAGAUUUUUAUAAAAGAGUGGAGGCCUGAAGAAAAGUAGUAGAGAUGGUAGGCAGUAGGGCGAGAAGAAGGCUUAGGGAAAUUCUAGUUCUUAUUAUAUGGCUAGUGCUUUGUCUACUAAGCCAUGUGGCGAUCGUUACUUUCAAGAUGAUAGUGGGUUUAAGUCAUAGGGUGCUCGGACCCAAUCUAGUUGAUCACAGUUUGCUACAUCAUAUCCUCCCUGAAGGUUCUUUAGAUAGAUGCACUAUGAUUAUUGUGAUGAAAGAAGGAUUCUGUGUUUUAAAUAUAGGCGGCCUAGUCAUUGUCAGAGGAAAUUUUUGAUAGAAAAUAUUGCUAGAAGACCUAAUAAGGUUUUAGUUUCUACUUUUUCAGCUCCUACGUCAAAGGGUACUACUUCUAGUACCAGCGCUGUCUGAAACCAUCGUUAUGCUCUUUCACCCAUCAAGAAUCUGAGGCAUCUCCUAAUGUUGUUACUGGUAUGUUACAACUUUUCUCUCAUAAUGUAUAUUGUAUGCUUGAUUCUGGGUAUACCCUUUUUUAUGUGACCCCUUAUGUGGUUGUUCAUUUUGGUUUUGGUCCUAGGAGUAUUAUUGAUCCCUUCUUUAUGUCUAUCCCAUUCGAUGAUUUUAUUGUUGCUAGAAGGGUCUAUAAGGGUUUUCUAGUAUCUAUUUGGGAUAGGGAGACAUUGGUGGAUUUGAUUAAAUUAGAUAUGGUAGAUUUUGAUGUGAUCUUGUGAAUGGAUUGGCACCAUUUGUGCUAUGAUUCUCUAGACUGUCAGACCUGUAAGGUCAGUUUUUAUUCCUAAAUAAACUAAUAAUGGAAUGUGAGUGAAGUUCCUUAGUUCCUAAGGGAAGAUUCAUUUCGUAUCUUAGAGAAUGGAAAUUUUUUAUUAAGGGGUGUCUAUAUAAUCUAGUUUUAGUUAGAGAUUCUAGUUUUAUGGUUCCCUCUCUACAGUCUGUUCCUAUUGUAAAUGAAUUUCCUGAAGUGUUUUUUGAUGAUUUUCCUGGUAUUCUCCCGAAAGGGAAAUAAACUUUGGGAUUGAUCUUCUACUGGAUACUUGUCCUAUCUUUAUUCCUCUAUACAUAAUGGCUCCAACAAAUUUGAAAGAACUUAAGGAGGAAUUAAAGGAUUUUCUUGAUAAGGGUUUUAUCUAUUCUAGUGUGUCUCCAUGGGGUUCUCCCAUGCUUCUCACAUGUUAGAAGGAUUGUUUCCUUUGGAUAUCUAUAGAUUCUUGGCAAUUGAAUAAGGUGAUUGUAAAGAAUUAGUACCCUCUUUAUAGGAUGGAAAUCUCUUUGACUAGCUUUAGAGUGCUAGAUGUUUUUCUAAAAUUGAUCUUUGGUCUGGGUAUCAUCAGUUGAAGAUUGGGGAGGCAGAUAUCCCAAAGACUACCUUCGGAACCUGAUAUGGUCAUUAUGAGUUUCUGGUAAUUUUAUUUAGGUUAACUAAUGCUUCAACUAUAUUUAUAGACUUGAUGAACUGGGUAUUUAGGAAGUUCUUGGAUUUAUUUGUGAUUGUGUUUACUAAAGACAUCUUGGUAAAUUCUAAGAGUGAGGAAGAUCAUGCCCAUUGCCUCUGUAUAGUUUUGCAGACUCUUAAGAAUUAUUGAUUGUAUGCAAGUUUUUCGAAGUGUGAAUUUUUGUUGAUUGCUUUAACCUUUCUUGCUCAUGCUGUUUCAAGUGAGGGGAUCAUGGUAGUUCCACAAAAAGUUCAGGUGGUUAAGAAGCGGCCUAGAUCUAUGACUCCAAUUAAUAUUUGGAUCUUCUUAGGUUUAGCCGAUUAUUAUAGGGGAGAUUUGGGGAAUGGUUUUUGUCAAUUGCUACUCUGUUGACCAAGUUUACUUAGAAAAAGGUUAAGUUUUUGUGGUUUAAAGCUUGCGAGGGAAACUUGGGAUAAGUUGACUUCUGCUCUAUUUUUUACCCUACCCAAGAUUAGUAAUGGGUUUGUUGUUUUACUGUGAUGCAUAGCGUGUGGGACUAGGUUGUGUUUUGAUACAUCAUUGUCACUCGAAAGGAGUUAAAUCUCAAGUAAAGGAGAUGGCUUGAGUUUCUCAAGAACUAUGACAUGAUUCUUCAUUACCAUCUAGUUAAAGCUAAUAUGGUUGUUGAUCCUCUUAGUAGGUUGUCAACGGGUAGCUUAUCUCAUGUGGAUGAGAAGAAGCAUGGAUGGGUGAAGGACAUUAACAAGUUGGCUAAUCUUAAAGUUCAUCUUUUGGAUUUUAUGUAUGGAAGGGUGAUUGUACAUAAGGAGUUGAAGUCAUCUCUCGGUGUUGAGGUGAAGGAGAAACAAGUUUUAGACCCCACCUUGAUGAAGAUUAAGGCUAAGCUAGGUCAGUAAAAGGUCAUGGCAUUUGAGAUUGGUGGAGAUGGUAUCUUAAGGUACAAUGUUAUAUUAUUUGUUCCUGAUAUGGAUGGGCUACAGGAAAGAGUUUUACUGAGGCUCACGAGUUGAGGUAUACCAUUCAUCCUGGCUCGAUGAAAAUGUAUUAUGACUUGAAGGAGAUUUAUUGAUGGAACAACAUAAAGAGAGAUGUAGAUAACUUUGUUGAUAAGUGUAUAGUGUGUCAUAAAAUGAAAGAUUAGUACAUGAGGCCUGGCAGCAUGUCUUAAGAUAUUGAAUUUCCCAUGUGGAAGGGGGAGGUGAUCAACAUGGACUUUUUUACUUGGUUUCUGCAGUCUCAAAAUCUAUAGGAUUCGAUUUGGGUCAUAGUGGUUAGGAUGACUAAAUUUGCCCACUUCUUACCUAUGAGGACUACUUACAUUGGAGAGGAUUAUGUGAAAUUAUUUAUUCUGGAGAUCGCAAAAUUUAGUGGUGCUCUAUUUUCUAUCAUUUGAGAUUGAGGUAUGCAGUUCUCUUCUUGCUUUUAGCAUUCGUUUUACCAAGACAUGGUAAGUCGAGUGAACCUUAGCACCGCAUUCCUCCCUCAGACAAAUUAAAAAGUGAAGAGUACUAUUUAGCCUUUGGAAGAUAUGCUAAGGGCCUAUAUGGUCGAUUUUAGAGGUAGUUGGGUGGAUCAUUUUCCUUUCAUCGUGUUCGCAUUUAAUAACAACUAUCACUCUAGUAUUAGGAUGACUUAUUUUAAAGAUAUUAAUGGUAGGAGAUAUAGAUCUAGCAUCAGGUUAUUUAAGGUUGGUGAGACCAGAUUGUUUUGUCCAGACUUGGUUCACCAAGCCACGAAGAAGGUGAAGGUGAAUCUAGACAGACUCAAGACUACUCAAAGUCGCCAAAAGUCCUAUACAGAUGUGAGAUGAAAAGAGUUAGAUUUUGAUAUUCCUACUUUAGUAUUUUGAAAGGUGUCUCCUAUGAAGGGAUUUAUGAGGUUUGGAAAGAAGGUAAAAUAUCCCAAGUCUUGAACCCUAAAAAAAUUUCAAAGGUUUUGGGACUUUAUGGAUUGGAACGACUCAAGGGAGUCAGUCAUACCCUUGAGUAUGAUUCGUAGGCUGCCUUGAGGGUUCACUCAUACCAUAGGUAGUAUGUUGGGCUUAUCUACCACCUAAGAUUAUACUCAACUAAGUAAGAGUACUAUAGGAACAUACGAGUGAUUUAAGGUAAUUUGUAUGGAGCAUAUUUGAGUGAUCUUAGGUAAUCUGUCCAAGGUAUGAUUGGUGGGUACGAUUGGGGGUGUCACUCAUACCAUUGGUUAUGAGUUGAGGGAGGUAGAGUCAUAUAGAAACCAGUAGGUAAGGUUUCGCUAGGUCUUGGGUAUGAAUUGGGGUACCACUCGUACCCUAGGAUACAAAUGGUAAAGGCAGUCGUACCCCUGGGCCUGACUUGUUUUAAUUUUAAGUCAAGGGUAGUUUGGAUGUUUCCUACUCCUAAAACCUUAUGUCCUCACAUUAUAUAACCAAAUAUAGCCUUCCAUAAUACUUUUUAAAGGAUUAAAACACUUUAAAUACUCUCUCAAACUCACUUUUGAAAGAUUCGAGGCUAGGGUUUCUUAAGUGUUCUUCAAAGGGCUCAAAGGUCAAGAUUUCUCCUGUUAAUCUUUAUGUAUAAGGACUGUACUCCUUUGCUCAUUGUUAUUUCAAAUUAAAGACAUGUUUGUUGUGUUUUAAACAUUGGUUUAUGAAUCAUGAAUGGUGGAUUUUGAAAUAUUGUUGAGGGUUUUGAUGUAUACGGUUUGGUAUUGGAUUAAACAAUGUUUUUAUAUAUUUUUGUUAAUGGUUUUACAUAUGUGGUUGGUUGUUCGUUAUGCUUUAACUAAUGGGUCUUAAUUAACCCUAAUUAUUGUGAUUUGUGCAUUCUUUUUGGUCUUGGUAAAUGUAUGCCCUUAACAUGUUUGAUAAAUUGCCUCAAAGAAUAUUUUUACUGUAUUGUUGAACUUUUAUUAAAAUUCUUGCGUGGUUUGGUUGGUAAUGGAUCUUUAAAUAGUUUUGGAUGGUUUUGCAUGGUUUAAAUGAUAUAAAUGCUUUAAAAAUUUCGCAUGGUUUUAUAUGGUUUGGAAUGAUUUAAAAGGUGAAGGUUUUGGUGGCGAUGAUUGGUCUAUUUUGCUAACAUUGCAGGAUAUAUGCAAAUCGCUCAAGUGAAUACAUCAAUAGAAUGUGUUUAAAAAGUUUGGAAAGGUAAAUAGCUACACAUUUAAGCUUUUGGGGUAUAGACUCUCCCAAGUUGAUUUAAUAUGGUAAUUGGAACGGGUACUUAAGGUCCCUUAUACCUACAUAUGGUUAGUAUGAUGAUACCACCACUUAAUGGCCUUUGUUAAUAAAUGGUAAAUGGAUUGCUUGGAAAUGGUUUUAAUUGGUCAUUAAAGAGGAAGGUGUAGCUAAGUCGUAGAAGGUGGACGUCCCGAAGGGACCAAAAUUAGAAACUCAUAUUUGUCGGUAUGAGGUUGGUCUUGGUGGACCAUGCACAUUAUGUCAUACCUCAUAUUGGUGGAUGAAAUAGUUAUCGCAAUGGGAUACUUCCUUGGUCGUGCGGCUAGAUAGAUUGGGGUCUUUCAGCAGGGGGAGCUGAACCCAUAUUGCUCGUGGGUAACUUAGGACGGUAAAGGUGCAAAGCCCAGGUAAUAGCUUAAAUGUAUGCUAAACCCGGUUCUCUUUCUCAGACUUAUAUAGGUAUUGUUGUAUGUAUUAUGGAUGAUUUUACUUGAUUUUAUAAAUGGCAUUAUUUUAUUCUUAUCCUGAGUAUAUGCUAGUGUUCACCCACUAACCCGUCUAUAGGCGGAUGCAUUCCCAUACUUGUAGGAUCUGGCCAUUUUAUUCUUCUUGCAUAAUGAUCAGAUUCGGGAUCAGCUAUUGGAUUAAAGUGGUGAUCUUCCAUAGUUCAAAAGGCAUCUAUUUCAUGUCAUGGUUUACUUUACAUAUUUUUAUCUUUCAUAAACUAUGGGUUUUGGCUAUGGUCGAGGUCAUAUCCCGACUAGGUACUCUUUGGUUGGUUUAGAGUCUUUGUAUGGACAAUUAUGGACUUGGGUAUAGUAUGGAUUGGUUAUGUUAUAUUUGUAUACAUUGGUUUAUUAUCAUGGUAUUAGUUUAUGGUUUUUGCAUUAGUUUGGUUGGUUAUUGGGUGGUUGGACUCGAUUGGGUUGGUCUCGGUUAUAGACUUAUCCUAGAGUUACCACAUGCUUGGAUACACUAUCUUGUUAUAUGUUCAGACUUCAGCUGACUUAAUGUAUGCAUUUAGUGGUUGGGUUGGGUAAAGGGGGAGGUUCCUGGUCCUAGUUGGGCUUGGAUUUGCCUAUUACGUCUAGGCCCUGGUUUGGGUCGUGACAAGUUGGUAUUAGAUCCUUAGGUUUGGUGUCAUAGGGUGUCCACAAACCCUUAUUGAGUAGAGUCUUGCUUAUGGGUGUGUCUUGUACCACACUUAUAAUCAGACGAAUAUGAGGCAUCUAGGAAUAUUUCACUUUCUUAGUUAUUCUACGUUCGGGAUAUGAAGUCUAAGGUCUUGAACUCUUCUCUGAAUCUUUUCAUCUCAUCUUUUGGAUUAUGCCCUCUUAAAAAUCUAAAGUUCUUGGAAACUUACCUAUCUCACUCGGGGACAAUAUAGAUAGAUCUAGUCCAACGCGUGGGGCUUUAGGUUUUUAUAUAAUGGGGAGGCCAAUGGUAUGGUGGUAAUUGGUCUAAGAGAAAGAGUUGGGUAAGUCCUAACUCCUAUUCUAUGGUUGGUACUCCUUACUUGAAUUUAUGGAGAGAUAAAUAUUCUCAGGUUGGUUAUGCUUCUAGGGAACAAGGCGCCUAAUCUCUGUCUAAUGAGGCUAAUCCGCAUUAUAGUAUCCUCUUUAUAAAUUUUAUGGUAGGUCACACCAUGGUUGUUGCGAUGAAAUAGGGAAUCAUUAUUAUAGUUGUGGUCAAUUGGGUCACAUACAAUGGGAGUAUCACAUAAGGAUUACCGCUUGGGCAAAUAGGAAAUUGGAUGCUACUUGUUUAGGUCUUGCACGCUGGGGUGCUACAUCUAGCCCCAACACUACCCAAGACUAUCUUAAUGUUUGACUAUCUUUUUGUAGUUUGAGGCAUCUAUUAUUGCCGAUAUUGGUAUGUUGGAAUUUUUUUCUUUGUGGUGUGUUUGGUAUACUUUGUUCGGGGUCCUCUCUCUUUUGACCCCAAUGGUGGUUGUGUAUUUUGUGUAUGGUCCUAAGGUUAUUUCAAACUCUUAUCUUUCUAUUUCUACCCUGGUAGGUUACUCUGUAGGUGUCAAAGGAGUCUAUGAGGAUCUAUGGUAUUUGUUCAUAAUAAAGGAGGGUCUUGGUGGAUUUAUUUGACUCAGAUGUGGUGGAUUUCAAAGUCAUUCGAGGAAUGGAUUGGUCGCACUCGUGCUUUUCACUAUUAGAUUGUCGAACUUAUUAGGCUUCAUGGUGAGUUGGUUAUGGAAUAAGAAGGUGGUUUCAUUACCUUGCUAUUAAGGGAAAGGUUAUAUUGCAUCUUAAAACUUAGAGUCUGAUCUCCAAAAGAGUGUCUUUAUUAGUUUUUCCAGGUUAAAGAUUAUAACCCAGAAGGUCCUUCUUUGUGUUGGGUUUAGGUGGUGAAUGAAUUUUGUGAGGUCUUCUUGAUGAACCUCAUCAUGUCUUUCUAGUUGGGAGGUUGGUUUGGGAUUGAUCUUAAUUUGUACAUUUGUCCAAAUUCUAUUAUUUAUUUGUAAAAUAGUUCUGGUUGGGUUAAAGGAGCAAUUAAGGGAUCCUUUAGGUAAAGGUUCCAUCCGUUUUAGUGUCUCUCUAUGGAGUGAUUUUGUUCUUUCAUGCAUAAGAGGAAUGUUUUUCCACGACAAUAGGUAGGUUGUUGGUGGGUGACUAAGAAAUGUAAGGUGUCCUUCUAAUAUGGGAGGGCCUCAUAUGUAUAUUCUAUCUUACAUGGAGUUAACUCUAUGUUCAUAUUUUAUAUAGGGUACUUUGCUAGUAGUGCAUGGUGGUUGCUAGACACUAAGUAUGCAUCUUAGAUGUUGAUUUUGAUAAAAGAGAGUAUGUUAGCUCGGGGGUAGCAAUACGGGAAUUGUGGAGGUAAAUUUAUAGGUUGGACGAGGAUGAUGACUCUAGGAAUACAAUAGUGGAAAGGUUAUGAAUUAGGCCGAGAAUUUAGGUUGAAUGAAGGGAUAUGGAUUGGGGUUCAAGUCAAUCGAUCGGUUAGAUUAUGGAGCUUUCAUGUAUCUUUGUCCCUAUAGCUAAACUUUAUUAUUGAAAUGAAAUCGAUUAUUAAAUUCAUGGUUUUGAAAGUGAGUUUUUGGCAUAAUAAAGGGUUGUGUCAUGAUUACUUAUAAAACUGAUUUUUCCAUAUAUUAUGAUGCAUUAUUCAUACUUCAUUAAUGUUUAUGAACAUUGUGAGAUGCAUGGGAAUGGUAAAUGAAUUUUAGGGUACUAUGGAUUCCCCAAUUACUUAUUUUGGUUUUGGAAAAUGAUAUUUCCUCAAAUUAUUUGUGAAAUUUCCAUUGAAUAUAAUUUUGUCAUAUAGUUUGAGUAUUCUUAAAUAAUUUCAUUGUAUGAAUGGUUAAAGAAACAUGAAUUGGUUUUGGUUAGAUUCAAAUUAUUUUUCAAAGGCCUUGGUGGCCAUGGAUUGACUUCAAAUGAUUUUGGUUUAAUUGGGAACCUUGGAGUCAAUUUGGUUUAAUUAUUUUCACAUAUAUAUGCUGGUAUUUAAGUAGCAUUAGGAUGAAUAAGGUUUUGGGUAUACGGAAACUAAGUGUCUUUAGUGUAUGCCCUUGGUGAUACCCAUUAGGGUGGAGUAUUGUGGUUGUAGGUGUAAUGGGAUGAAGGUUGAAGGUUAAUUUUAAGCUUCCUUUUUGUGGUGGACUUUAAUAGAAGUUCGGGUUGCAUGGUCUAGUGAUACUCUUCUAUUUUGAUUAAGAGAGUACUCUGCUAGUGUUGCAUGUAUUGUUAUAGUGCUUAUGCUUAAGGGUUGCGUUUUGCAUUCGCCUUGUUCUCGAAAUAUGAGUCUUGACUCUACAUUGUUUUACUUAUGGUUUAGGUGGUUAUGUUUUUUUUGGUGUCCAUUUCUAAGGACUCCUUUUAUGGUAUGGUUUGGUCAUGAUGAUUCUUUGGUAUGACCUAGGUAGUUGUUAUGACAUACUUCAUGCCUAUGGUCUCUUGUCUUAUUUAUGGGAUCUUGCCUUGGGUGGAAUGGAUCAUCUUCAACUUUGAUUCCCUUAAUGAUUCUUUCUGUGCUAGGACAGUAAUAGCUUGGGAAGCAUUGUGAUGUUUUGAAAUGGAGAAUGUAGAAAUCCCUAAGUGGGGGAGAGUCCUGGGUGACUACUAUAGUUACCAUUUUGGAAGUUGAAGUAAGGUUAUUGACAUGGGAAAUAGCUAGGAAAGGAAUAGGUGGUGAAAGUCCUUAUGAAAUUCUAAAGGGUGCUAGACCUUUUGAUUUAUAUAUCAUAUCACGAGAAUAUGAGCGUAGGCUCGAAUAUUAUGACAGGUAGAUAUACCAAUAGUGGUGUUACGUACUUAAGAGGUUUGGUAAGGCAUGGUUGUGUGAAUGGUUUUCCUAGCAUAGCUGCUGCAUGGUUUUGGGUGUUCAAUUAUAGGUUGGAUUUUUUGUUAUAAUGGUUGGAUGUGGGUUUGUUCAUGUUCUUUACUCAUGGCUUCCAUAGUAAUAAGGUGAUGAAAGCAGAAUAGUGUUUUGGAUAAAUGCAAGGAGUAGAGCCUGGUGGCUUAAGUUAACUCCAUUGUGCUUUGGAUUGGCUUGAACGUGGAAUUGGUGGUGCGUAGUUAGACUCAGGUUCUCAUAUUAGUGUAUCUUGGUAAACUCUAGAUCAAAAUGGACUUUCUCUCUAGCAUAAGUCCAUUCAUCCGAUAAUCUAUAAUGUGUGUAUAUGGAGGGGAAGGGGGGGGGGUAGAGGUGUGGAUGGUGCUUGUCUGGUUGGUUCCUUUGGUUGUUAGUGGUAGGACUUGAUUUUAGUCCCAAAUUAGCUUGGAUUUUACCUAUAUGAUAUAUAAACUAGCACCCUGAGUAUUCUAGCAUUAGCUCCUACUAUAGUUAAGAGGUCCAAAAAAGCUAGUUUGAUGAUUUAGGUUUUACUUUGAGUAGACAUUGUGAUAUAUAUGUGUGUGUGUGUGUGUGUGUUCAUACAUAGCUAUAUGUAGCUAUGAUGUUACAAUAUAUCCUUUUCUUUCAUUCAUUCAAAUUUUAUAUUCCUUUCUUGGCCUUGUAUACUUAUAUAUAUAUAUAUAUAUAUAUAUAUCUUUCUUCAACUUUUACUUUGUAUAUUGGCCAGUGAUAUAUGGUAUAAUGUUGAGAUUCCUAAGUAUGGCUGGAAUAAGAUAGUGCAUUCUUAUUGCUUCUUUAGUCUUAUCAUGUUAGUCUCCUAGACAUAAUUAGGAUAGUUUAUCCUUAUUAUAUCAUUGUCUAUCUUGUAUGGUUGCUGGGCAUUCAGGUGUAGUUUUCCAUUCUGUUUAUAUGCUAAGCAUAUCUUCUUUGUCUUCAGAGCUUACUCGGUAGGUGCCUAUUGAUUACCACAUGUUUGGUACUCAUACUAAACUUUUGCAGAUCAUAGUAUAGGUUAUCGCCAUUGAUGUGCGUGGCAUGUAAAGUAACCAUGGUUUGGAGAAUUAGAGCGAGAUCCUGAUGUUUGGAGUAUUACUUAUCUCCCUCUUAUGUACUAGACAAAUCUUUAUGUUAUAUUCAGAGUUAACCUGUGUCUGUAUAUUCAUUGUACUUUUAAUUUGGAUUCUUGUUUUGUAGAAGUUCUUGUGCUGAUACCCCCAGGUUUUUGGACUAUAUUAUGUAUUUGAUCUCUUACUUCAUCUUUUCUAUAUUCUUGUAUUUAUAUAGUUGGGUUGUCCAUUAGUAGUCAUUUUAAACCACAGGUUUGGCAUGCCUACCAGCGGGUUAUAGUAGGCGCCAUUAUGAUAUAAAAAAUAGGGUUGUGAUUAUGGAGCUUAUAUCUUUCAACCUUAUGGGGGUUCCAUAGUUAUAGCCUCAGAAUGUUGUUAGCUGAGUAUUAAUUAGACCUUCUGAGCCUAUGAUGGUGGUGGUUUUGGUUCAAUUAGGUAUUGCUUGUCCGGAUUAGUCAGUUACCUUAUAUGAUUAUGCUAGUAUGUUUAGUUCAUUAUAGGUUGAUUAUUAGACAAGUAUUGACAUUUGAGGUAUAAUUCUGAUUCUUUUAUCUUAUAGUUAUAUUAUAACGCAUGAUUAUUCAUUGGUUAGAUAUUAUGGUUUGAUUCUCUAAUAUUCUAUUCAUUUCUUUAUAGUUGAUUCAUUAUGCUUACUAUCUAAUAUUUGGAUAUAUGGAUUAGAUACCCUAGUUAUAUUAUCACUAGUUCCUACUAUGAUUAGGAGGCCUAGAGAUUCUAGUGUGAUUACUUAGCUUGUACCCUUGAGUUAACCUUCUUAUGUAUAUGUAUAUAUCUAUAGUAGUUAUGGUAUGACUAUAUAUCUCUCCCUUCUUUAACUUAUUAAUAUUGUAUAUCCAUUCAUUCACCUUUUAUACUACUAUAUAUCCUUCUUCCAUUAUUUAUUUAUAUAUUGAACAAUGAUAUACGGUAUAGUGCUAAGGUCUCGAAGCAAAGUUUGAAUAGGAUAACUUAUCUCUAUUGUUCCAUUAGCUUAUUAUAUUAGUAUCUUAGAUAUGAAUAGAAUAGUUAUCCUUAUUUUUUCCUUAGCUUUAUUAUGUCAUUUGUUGGAUAUUUGGGUGUAGUUCCAUUCGUGCUUGCAUGCUAUUUAGAUUUGCAUUAUCUUUGGAGCUUAGUUGGUAGUUUCCUACCGAUUACCACGUGUUUUGUGCUUAUACUACACUUCUGGAGCUUUCACAUCAUACUAUGGUUUCUCGUCAUUAUUGUGUGCAUCGUGCAUAACAACUAUGCUUCAGAGACAUAGGGUAAACUCCUAGCGUUCAGAGCAUUUCUAUUCUUCUUCCUAUGUAAGACUGAUCUCUAUGUUGUAUUCAGAGAUAGGUUAUAUCAGUAUAUUCAUUAACUACUUUACUUUGUAAUCUUAUUACAUUAACAGCUCUUUUACUAAUUUCACCAGGUUUUAGGACCAUCUUAUGUAUUUUUAUAUUUUAUUUCAUUUAUUUUGCAUUCUUCCUUUAUUUCUCUUUAUAGUCUGUUACUAGUAGUUCUGGACAACAGGUUGGAUUUCCUACAGGUAGGUUAUAGUAGGCUCCAUCAUGACUUGAGAAAUUGGGUUAUGACAAAUUGGUAUCAGAGCCAGGCUUACUGGUGUGUUGGUAUAUGAGCUAAGUGUCUGGUAGAGUCCUAUGGAUGAACAUGGAGACAUUCAUAACCUAUCUUUCAGAGGCUAUAGGGAAUUCAUAAGAAAUUUUAUUCUUGACUCCUUAUUGUGUGUCCAUAUAUCUAUGAGCCUUAAGUAUUUCUUUGACUCUAUUCUAUCCCAUAUGGACGAUGUGAGAUUGCCAAUAGACACGGAUUUGCCUUUAACACACAUUUCUAGAGCUUUAGUGUGUCAUUAUAUCGGCGAGCUAGGGAUGGAUGUUGAGGACCUUCAAUGUGUCAUAGGGUUUGGGAAAACUGAGGCUCUGGUAGAGUUUGUAACUACUUUAGCUUUUCGAGAUUCAAAAUUAGGGAUCUCAAAUCUCUUUAUGGAUACCUUACAACCAGGAAUGACAUUCGGUUCAUCGAGCACUUCCAAGGCUAGAGUUAGGUUUGUUGGUGUUCAAUAGUGUUUCCAGUUGGUUUCAGAGUAUGUGAUUCAUUUUAUUGAGUAGUACAAUAAUAUUCCUAUGCUAUAUCCUUUAGAGCAUGAUAUGGUGCAUGGAUUUAUUAGAGGAUUAUCAUUGCCACUCUAUUUAGUAGCGAGGCAUCUGAUAUUAGAUAGGUCUUCUUUGUCUAAGGUUGUUGACCAUGCAAGGGCCACAGAAAGAGAGUAUAUUGAGACUUAUAGAGAUGGAGGUAAGUGGUUAUGUCAUCAGUACAGUGCUAUUAGUGUUCCAUCCAUGCGUGAAGAUCCUCACAAUGGGGGUUAGCUUUUCUUGUAACAUAUCAUUUUCACAUAAGUAGCAUCUCAAGCUAUAGGUGGCUCUUAGAUUAGUCUUGGUGAUCACAAUGGGGAAAAGUUCUCAUUGGAUCUUAUAGAGUUUUUGGUAUAGGUUUUUAGGAAGUGGUAGCUAUUCUAGAUUAGGAGGCAUAGCAUCUCAAAAUAUUCUAAGAGCUUAUUUUGAUUGUAGUGAGAUAGGACAUUGGUUUAAAGAGUGCCCCAAAUGCGGGUUAUUUUUUUAGACAUAGUUAGGAUAUAUUCUUCAUUAUCCUAGAAUUCUUGAGGUAUGUUAUGAUUGUGGGAAGGAUGAUAGUUUCAGAAGGUAUGCCAUCAGCAUCAGUCGGUCAGCUAGUUGGAGUCAGCUUAUGUUUCCCGCCCGGUUAGGGCUUUAGGAGUUUAAUAUGACUUAGAGAGAUAGGUCACUAUUCCAAAUAGUAUCCUCAGUGUGGGAUCUUUAUUCAUUUAACUCUUCCAUAUCAGCCUUUUAGUGUUGUGGCACUAUCUGUGUGAGACAUUACACUUAGUGCCUCAGUUUAUAAUUUAGUUGGUCAGUUCAAGUUUGGACACAAAUAGAUUUGUUCUUUUUUGGACACAUUAGGCAUGUGACUUUGGUUUUCACCAUGAUUGGUGUGCCUUUUUAUUUCUUUCCUUUACCUUUUCAUUGGUAUGUAUAGGGGUUCUCAUACCCAUCAGUGAUUACACGCCUUGGUAGGGUUAUAUUGAUUGUUGUGUGCCUUGAUAUAGAGUUCGUGAUUAUAUGACUACCCGCAUAGAUUAUCUUUUUAGUAGUGGACAGAGUGGAUUUGUGUUGAUAUUUUCCUUGGGGGUAUAGCAUUUGGGUUCAAGUCCUAUAUAUCUUGGCAUAUUGGCCUUCUAAUGGGCCUAUAGUUGUACUUGAUAUUGAUCUUAAUUUUGUUCUUUAUCAUUGUCAUUAUUUGAUGUAAUUAAUUCUCACUUGGCGGAUGGCUAGACUGUUAGUAUAUAGUUUGAAUUUUCUUUUCCUCGUAGUUUUUAUUUAUUAGCUUGGGCAGCAAGAUUGGUUAGAGGAUUUCUCCUUUUUAGUAAGAUAAGGUUGGUUGUAUUUCUCUUUUGUUGGUUUCUCUAAAUUGGUUGUGAAGUGGAUUAUGGAAGUGAAGGUAAGAUGACAAUUCGUGGUUCUAUUAUGGUUCUAGAGUUGACAAUUUUGUUAUAUUUCUCAUUCUUAAGUUUAAGAUUUGAGGAAUUUCCUCUUAGGUUAUAGAGGUUUUUGCAUUGGCUAUCUCUCACCAUUCACCUGAUAUCUGAGGUUGAUUAAUUUGGUGUAUGUUCUUCUAAUUUGGCUAGUUCAUCGCCUGAUAGUGGUUUUGAUGUCAAUGUCGAGAAGUCAUGGAUUCAUCUUUCUUGUUUGUUUGGUUUAUCUCCUAGUGAUGGUUUGCUCUUGGUAUUGGUGUAGAGAUAUAUUCUAUGUUCUUGUCGUGUUAUGGUACUUGUUGUAGUUGAGUUAAAGAUUAUACAUAGGUGAUCUUUCGUAUGACCGCUUUUUUAGAUGGCAAUUUGGAAUCCAUCAUUUUGAGAUGCUUGAUUCAUUUACUGGUAGGGGUGAUGACCUUGGCUUGGUUGUCGAGAUUUGGUUCAUUCUUCUCUGGCAAUGCCAUUUAUGGGUUGAUUGAGUUAAGGUUACAUUACUUUAGUGGAUUUAGGAAAUCCUAAUUUUGGAAUUUGUUUGGCCUAUUUCUCACCUAAAGUUAUGUUUCUCCAAGUUGCUAGGGCUUUGUUUAUCUAUUGUAUGGUUUGUAGCCAUGGCGAGUUCUAGAGUAUGCUUUGGCAUUUUGUGCCAUCUAGUGGAUACAGAGUUGGUUGUUUCUGUCUUCAAACAGCGAUCUAUCCUUCGUUGUGAUUUCUUUAUUCUUACAUUAUGUUUCAUUUUUGGCUUGACAUAAUUCAGUAAGGAUAUGUUUGAUUCGAAUUGUAAGGUUUAUUUGAGCCGUUGGCCUUAGCUCAGGCUCCUUGGAAUGAAAAUUUGGAAGUUAUGAUAGAUUUGGUGUAUUUGUUCUUACCCAUUUUUAGGUUUAGUUUGGUUUGUUGAGAUCGAGUGGUUCAUACUUGGUGUCGAGAUAUUAGCUUAGAGUUCUAGAGAUUGGGUGCAACCAUCAUUUACAAAUUUGUCUUAGUUGGGGCUUCAUAUAUAUGUUGGUUGAGCCUACUCCAUGAUUACCUAUUCACUCUUCUUGAGUUUGAAUAGAUUAUGGUUGAUACAUAAUCAGAUAAUAGUUUGUGGAUACAUUAUUGGUUCCUUUAGAUUUGACCUUGGGCUCUUAGUUUUCAUUGAGAUUUUUGGAUGAUAUACUCAACGAGACUAGUAUGCUUGAGUUAGAUUCAACAUGACUUCAUUCUCAAUUGAUGGGACAUCCUUGAGCAGAACGUUUAGUGGUGAGUACUUGUGAUUCAAAAAAUUGGAUUUCAGUUUCAGUUGUCCUCCAUAUUAGUUGUAGCAUUGACAUAGGUUACAGACCUUGGCUAUCUUCUUUAGUGUGCCAAAGUAGCACCUUGUAGAUUGAUUCUCAUAUUUGCCAUGAUGGAUUUUUCAGUGGAUUAGCUUCAGGUCUUUGAGGUUAGUGUGGUGAGAUUGUGUGGACAAGACUUUAGUGACAUUCUACUUGGUUUGGAGUGUUAACAGGUGUUGGAAGGCAAAAUGUCACGACCCGAGGCUACCCCCUAGUCGCGACAAUGGUGCUUACGGUCAAAAGUGACCUUAAGCUAACCCAUGUGUUGGUACCUGUUAAGAGAAGUGUAAUAAUAAUGGAUAUGUGUGGAAAACAAUCGAUAAAGCCAUAAUGUCUAAAUACUGAAAAAAGCUGGAUAAAUCACAAGUCUAAAACAACUGAUAAGACUGAUAAAGCUGACUAACUGACUGUAUAGAUGUCCGAAAGACUCUAAACUAACUGAGGAGUUGAAAGGACAGACCCCCAACUAAAUCCGACUAACUGAAUAAAAUGAAAUACUGAAAUAACUGAAUAAUUAUAACAUGUCCUCGAUGGAUGAGGACUCAACCACUAUGGCUGUUGGAUUAUGCUGAGCUGUCUAACUGCGGUUGGGAAACUGGGUGUCCGAACCUAUGAUAUAAGACAUCAUAGUGCAAAGAAAAGUAUGUGGUUAGUUCUUUGAAUAUACUGGUAUAUGAGAUGAGAAUAGGUUGAUCGCAUGGGGUACUGUGAAUAUGAAAUAAGGACUAAUUGAAUAGUACGAGAUAACUGAACAUGGAUGCAUGGAAACUGAAAUAUCUGAGAAUGCAAGACUAAGUGUAUAUCUAUUAUGUUACUGAGAAAAAUCUGUAAUCUGAAAAACUGAAAGUUGUUAAAUUGAAUAUCUGAAAGUCUGUACACUUAGUCAAGCAAACCUAAACUCAAACAGACUGAAUACUAUACUGAGACUAUGGGAGGUAUCAUCUAACCGAUAUGCCCCUAUCUGAGCUAAUUGGAUCCAACCUGUAACCCUAGUUGAAAGGGUGUCAGUACUAUGCCAUGGGUACUAACAUUGGCUGUGUAGAUCCACUAAUCUGGUGUCUCGAAGGACCAGGAUGUCAAUCCUAAACUCACCGAUGAUCCCUGAGAUGAAGUCAAGCCUAAAUUGACAGGUGACCCCUGAGAUGAAGUCAAGCCUAAACUGAUGGGUGACCCCUCAUAUCCUAUGCUAGCUAUGUAGUUCAUGAAUAUAGGGACUGCUACUAAUGUUUCUACCUAACUGGCGGGGAAGUUGCCACCCCAACAUUCGCUCGGUGCUAAAUCCUACUCCCAACUGAACUGAUACUGGAACUCAAGAUAGACUGAGUUAAACAAGAUAUUAUUUCAUGAUUGAUAGUGCUCAUUAUGAUUAUAAUAACUAAAUAAAUAGGAAUAAUCAUUGUUUAACUGAAUCAUACUUGAAAAUCUAAAAUUCAUGUAAAACUCAUAGGUAUCGGGUGUUCAUAACCCAACAGCCCCGAAUAAUCUCUGAAUGUAACAACAAGCUUAGAGCUGUAGUAAAUGAUCAUGGUUCAAAAACCCAUAAGCAUAAACAUUUCAUCAAAUAUAGGGGAACAUGAAUUUAACAAGGGAAUGCUUGCUAAGAAUCAUAAAUUUAGGAUUCAUUAUAAAAUUCACUUGAAUAAAGCAUGGGAAACACAAAUUCGUAGCAUGAGGAAUUCAAAAUCUUGCAUGGGAUCAUACAUGGAUUGAAUUGCAUUUAAAUUAGUGUAGAAACAUGAAUAAAAUCCAUCUUAAGCAAUACAAAAUACAAUAAUGAUAAAAAAAUUCAAUCUUUAUUCGAAGAGAAGGUUUUUGAGCUCUAUGGGUGAAUGAAAACCCAUGAAUGAACAUCCCACAUACCUUAAACCUUUAACUUAAAAGAGAAACACUAAUCUUGAUGCCUUCUUGAAGGUUCUUUAACAUAGGGAACUUGAAUUCUUGAUUUCUUAGGGAGAAAGGAAUUGAAUUUGUGUUCUUGGGGAAGAGGGGAGGGUUUUAUUGAGAUAUAUUUGGAGAAGAAAGGAAAAUAAUGCCCUAAAUGAUGUCCUAAUUCGUAUUUUGAAUGAUUGUGUUAAGGGGGGAAAAGUCCCAAUUGCCCCUCAGACAUUUAGAUUCGAAACUAGACAAAACAAGCUUACCACGAUGUGGCAUUAUCGAGGUAGUUCAUUUCCUUCACUGCAACGUGAUCUGCAUGAUGACGGGAAUAACACCGCACCACGGUCUUAUCGUGAUAAUCCUCUGGUUUUGUGAUCUAAUCUUGACCCAAACCCCAUCCGAAAAAAUUCAAAACUUCUUUGAGUUAUGUUUCUUACAUCCAUGAACAUGAAUUAACUCAAAAACCAACAUCUCGGGGUCAGGCAGACCAAGUUAAAAAUCCUCCAAGUUUAGAAGCCUUAAAAAUGACUAAGUCCCCAACUCUUAGUGAAAUUUUCAGGACUUAAGUCCCAUUAUGCAUGGAACUAGAAGCUGAACUAAGCUAUGAAUUAUACGAGGUAUUACAAUAUCUCUCAAUUGGGAACAUUCAUCCUUGAAUGAGACUAGUUAGACUGAGAGUACUGAACUAAGAUAACUAUGAUCACAUACUGAAUAUGUAUGGCUGGAAACAUGAUUACAUAACUGAGUCUGAAACAUGAUACAUGAACUGAACUAAUUUCAUGAAUGUACGCAAUGACAUAAGAAGAGUUAUAUAGCUGGAACUAAGAAUGGAAAAGAGUCAAUCUAAGGAAAAUUGUUAGCUUAAGCUGAGUCUGAGUUUGCGGAGAAAAGAUGAGGGUACUUGAUACGCAUAUCUACUUCUACUUUACAAGUAGCUCCCUCAACGGAUUGAUUCCAGCAUAGAACUUUAAUCAAAGGAACUUCUUUGUUCCUUAGUAUAUGAAUCUGACGAUCUAGGAUGUCAAUUGGAACUUCUUCGAAAGAAAGGCUAUCCUGAACACCUAUACUAGAUAAAGGAAUAACAACAGCUGAAUCGCCAAAUCAUUUCUUUAACAAAGAAACAUAAAACACCAGAUGCACAGAUGCUAAAUCUGUGAUGUAUGAGCCUACGCUAACACAUUUGAGGCUUUUAACUCUAAAUAAUUGUAAGGUCUUGAGCAACUUUAGUUGUUUUUGAUUAGUUUGCUUUGAGUUUUGCAAUAAAUGUUGAGAUGUGGGAGAACAAAAAAUAAUGGAAGCAAAAAGGCUAAAAAGUGAAGCAAAAUAAAGGACAAUUGUGGCUGAUGACGUUCAUGAUAAGUCGUCAGCCUGGUGAUAAGCUGUCAAGGAUGCCGUUACCCUUAAACAAAGAAUAGGAGUUGAAGAUAUUUUUGUGACGACGUUCGUGAUUAGCCGUCAGGUUGGAGAUAAGGCGUCAACGUCGUCAUCAGCCUUAGGCGGUAAGAGCUAAAAUUAAAGAAGAGCUGACGACAUCAGUGAUAAGCUGUUAGGUUGGUGAUAAGGCAUCACCUUCAUCGUCAACAUUAGACAGUAGAAGCCAAAAGUCCAGAGGAGCUGACGACAUCCGUGAUAAGCCGUUAGACUCCUGAUAAGCCGUCACGGAUGUCGUUAUCUAUUCCGAGAAAAAUUUGCAACUUUAAUUUUAUUUCCUUAUUUAGGUUGAACUAUUUAAAGCUUUGUUUUAGGGUUUUCUAGAAAUUAUUCAUUCAUUCAUCAACAUCAUUGUUCAGAAAAGAGAGUUUGAUACUUUGAGUCUAGGAGAAUAUUUUUCGAUCUUUCUUUUUCUAUUUUUUUUGGAUUCAAACAAUACAACUAUUUUGGGGAUUUUCCUUUAUGAUCUAAGCUAUGAUUCACUAAUUAUUAUUCAUCCUUGUAAGUUAAUCUUCUCAAUUAUGAAUUCAAUUAUGUGUUUCGUUCUUUGCAUCAUGAGUGGCUAAACUCCGUUAACCUGAAUUAUGGGAUCUAGGGUUAGGUCAUGAUGAUGUGCUAAACACUCAAGAUUUAAUAGGUGUUAGGAUUUCUUGAUAAUUCUGAGACUCGGAAAUACUUCGUUUAAUAAUCAGCACUGUAACAAGGUUGAUUAACCAGAGGUAAAAUUUGGGCAGUGAAUAGCAAUUUCCUAAGUUUGAGAGGAUUAGGAAAUUAGAUGCUUAAAUAGGUCGAGAGACAUUUGAGCAUAUCAUCGAUAAAGAUAGCUUGUUAUCCUAACCACCGUGAUAAUCUUAAGUCACCUUUAGCAUCUGUUAUGUACCGUAAGACCUAGUGAACAUAAUUCUAGUUAUUUCAUAAAAUCUUGGUUUCAAACAUCAAAAUUUAAGUGACAAAUAAUCAUUUGUGAAACUUAAACCCCCAUUUCAGGAAACGUUAAACUAUUUGUGAAUUAAAUCGCGAACAGCUUGAGUUCACUCCAUAUUCCCUGUGGGAUUCAACCCCAACCUAGUUGGAUUUUAUAUUGACAACAAUUUCUUACACCCAUUUAAGAGUGUAGUUUGAGCGUUAUUAAAAAUGGCACCGUUGCCGGGGAAUAAGGUUGAAAACUAAAAGUUGUGUGUUCUAAUUGACUGUUAGUUAGGUUUCCUAGAUUUACUUUUAUUUGUUGUUUUUGUUUAUUGCAGUUUCCUUGUUGUUUAUACCAAAAACAAGAAGUUCCGAAGAAUCAUUAUUACCAAUUAAUCUGAAACCUCAGCUGAUCGGGAGAAUGGCAGAACAACAAGAGGCUAACAUACUGGCACUUUGUCCAGGGCUCAGGUGAACGUACAGAACCAGGGUCAACAAGUAAGUCACCCGAACCAUGAUGAUGAAGACUUGGGUGAUGAGGAAUUGCUGAAUCCUCAAAACCCAAGGUGAGCUAAGCAAAUUGUUGCACCAGUGUAGUGAAAUUUUGACAGAAACCGUCAAGUCAGAGAAAGGUAUGGUCAACAUCCUACCCAUUACGAGGUUGAUAACGAUGACAAACUAAUGGACGGAAUAGGUGCAAUGGGUGCUAUCAUUCCUCCACCAUUGGCACCGCAUACAAAAUUCAGUAUAACAAGUACUAUGAUUCAACUCUUGAAUCUGAAGGGGUUGUUUGGAGGCUCGCCUGGUGAUGAUCUGAACACGCACUUGGUGAACUUUAUCACCAUUUGCAAAUCUUUUGAUAAUUCGAGAGUAAGCCAGAAUGCGAUUCGGUUGAGAUUGUUUCUAUUGUCUCUGUCUGGGGAGGCAACAAUGUGGUUAAAUGAGCUGGAGCUCGAUUCUAUAACCAACUAGAGACAGUUGAAAGAGGCAUUCCUAUAACAGUUCUUUCCACCCUCCAGGAGGGUGCAGUUGAGGGAUAAAAUCAGUAACUUCAGGCAGCUCCCGACUAAAGCAUUGCAUAAAACUUGGGAGAGAUUUAAGAAGAAGAUGGCACAAUGUCCGAACUAUAACAUGACGGACUUGCACUUGAUGGAGACUUUGUACAGAGCUUUUAACUCUGUGACAAAGUUAAUUGUAGAUAAUGUUGCAGGUGGUUCGUUAAUUGACCUUUGUUUUCAAGAUACUUCAGACAUGCUAAAAAGAAUGACCAAACGGAGUUGGUCUUGGCAUACCAGGGAUUCCGUGGUAGCUAGCGCGAUUAUUUUUGGUGGUAUGGCUGUAGAGCAGCGCAGAAGGGAUGAGGAGCGAGACCAAAACAUGGCCCACUUAAAGUCUCAGAUGGACUUACUGACCAAGAACUUGCUGUCAGGCAAGAUUGAAAAGGUUAAGGCUGUGGAAUCUCAGUGCACUAUUGCUAUUGAUGCAGAUGAGGAGGCAAAUUAUGUUAAUAAUCAGGGGGGUUUCCGAGGCAAUAUCUAAGGUAAUCAAGGUCAGAACUUUUAUGACAAGCCUAAUUAUAAAGAUAGGGAGCAAGGAACCUGGAGAAGCAAUAAUGAUAGGAGUGGUUUGUAUGUUCCUCCUGGAAGUCGGGAUAUUCAACAACUAGAUUUGGCAAGAUGUCCAUGGUGGACAUAAUGGAAAAAUAGUUGAAGGUAGUUGAGGAUACCAGCUCGGGGGUAACCACUAUGAAGAAUGAAUUCUCUACCCUGUCAGUUGGUUAGUUCAUACUCCACUUCUAUCAAGCAGUUGGAGCAACAAAUGAGCCAACUUUUCGCAACACUGAACCAAAGAAAAAGUAUUACUUUACCUAGUGAUAUAGUUCAGAAUAUAAAAAAUGAUGGCUCAUGUAUGGAGAUUACCACUAGGAGUGGUAAGAUCUUACCCGACCUUUCGGUAGGAAAAUCUGUAGAUGGUGAGGUGGUUAUUGAUGAAUCCGAAGAAAGCUAACCAGUGGAGCCUGAGAAGCUGGAUAGUUCUGUUGAUGCUUCGAAGAAAGAAAAAGAGAAGGAAGAGGAAGUGGUGUUGAAAUCUAUCCUAAGACCACCACCUCCCUUUUCUCAACAAUAGAAGAAAAAGGCUGAUGAUACAAAAUUUAGCAAAUUCAUGGCCAUGCUCAAGCAAUUGACAAUUAAUGUGCCUUUGGUUGUGGCACUUGAGCAAAUGCCAGGAAAUGUGAAGUUCAAGAAAGACCUUGUAACCAAGAAAUGGAAGGUUAUCCAUGAGCCGGAGGAUAAUCUUCUCCAUUGUGGCGCUAUCUAUACAAGGUCUUUAGUGCAAAAAAAGGCAAAUUUGGGAGCGUUUACCAUCCCGUGUACUAUUAGCCCCCUAAAGUUCAAAAAAGCACUAUGCAAUCUGGGAGCCAGUAUAAAUUUAAUGCCACUGGCUGUGUAUAAGAAAUUGGAUUUGGAGGAUCCUACCCCAACAAAUAUGCGGUUGGUAAUGGCAGAUAGAUCUAUGAAGUGGCCUGUGGGCAUACUACAUGAUGUUUUGGUAAAGGUAGCUGAUUUUGUUUUGCCUGCUAAUUUUGUGGUCCUAGAUUGCGAUGUAGAUUUUGAAGUGCCCAUCAUCUUGGGUAGGCCAUUACUUAGAAUUGGGAGAGUGCUAGUAGACAUGGAGUUGAAUGGGCUGAAGUUCAGGUUCAAUGACAACGAAGCAUGCUUCAAAAUACACUCAUCGAUGACUCAGCAACAUGAGAUGAGUGUUUUCUCAAUCGUUGAUGUCUUCUAUGAUAAAGGUAAAGGGGUAUCAACAGGUUGUAUUGGCGAAAUCUGAUUAGUAAAGGCAACCAAGUCGUGCCGCAAUAGUAAAUCAGGCGUUAUUGGGAGGCAACCCUAAUUUUUUAUGUUUAAGAAAGUGUUUUUACUUUUAUAAUUAGGAUUUAGUACAAAGAAGGUAAAAAAUGAGGAGGUCAGCUGAAAGGCCAUUAUAACAUCUUUGAUAAGACGUCACAACUGCGAUAGGCUAUCAGAAAUAUAAUCAGAUUGGCCAAACUUGAGGCAAAUUCUUCUUAGGGGCUAUGAUGUUUGUGAUAGUCUAUCACACUUGUGAAAAGCCGUCACAAGUCAUCAUCAGCCCAAAGCCUUAAAAGCUAAAUUCUGGGUCCAGUUUAAAUCAAAUCUAACCCAGCCCAGUAUAGGAACCCUUUCAAAUUUCCACUAGUAUAAUUCUUUUCCUUUAAUUUAUUUCUUUCCUUAGUAAGUUUAUCUCUUACUCUUUGCGAAACACUUCAAGAAAACAAGUUGCCUUGUGCGUGGGUUUGCAAUUCACAAUUAAGAGAUUCUUCCUACUUCCUACUUUCUCUUGUACGUGUAAUCAGAUUAAGGGCCCCCAUCAGGUAUACUCUAACUUUAACUCUUCUUUUCUUGUGGUAAGUGAUUGAUAGAUGACAACCCAAGUCCCCAAGAUGCUUGAACCAAGUUCAACUUGGAAAGAAGCUAAAAUUGCACCUAGGGUCUGCUGUGCAGGCCCAGGGUUUAAAAAGAUAGCUCACACUCGGAAUUUAAGUGGAUUUUGAGAAAUAAUAGGGACCAAAAUUGAGUUAAAAUCAAAAGUGGUUUCUGAUAAGAGCUGAUGACAUUCAUGAUAGGCUAUAACAAUUGUGAUGGCUUAUCAAGAAUGUUGUCAAAGACUGACAAGAAUAAAGUGGUUUCUGUUUAGAGCGACGACAUUUGUGAUAGGCUAUCACAAUUGUGAUGGCUUAUCAGGAAUGUCAUCAAAACUUGUUAAAAUUUAGAAGGUGCUGGAUAAGGUUGAUGACCAUUGUGAUAAGAUAUCACAGUCAUGACAGCUUAUCAAGAACUAUCAUCACACCUGGAACCUGAAGCAUGAAUAAGCUGAAAUGAUUAAUAUGUUUGUGUUUGUGCUCUUGUGGACUAACUAAUGGUUUUUCUAAUGCUACAAGAACCUUAAAAUGGCACCAAAAGGAAAGAGCCCCAAAGCACCAAAUAAAGAAACCAAAGAAAGUGUACGUUGUAAGCUCAUUGACAAGGAAUCUGAUUACAAGAAGGAGGAACCCCUGCUCAAGAAGCAAAAGGAGAAGCAAAUACCGAAGAAACCUUCGACAACUCCACCCAUUGAAGUGGAGGAUAGUGAUGAUACUGAGACUACAACAUCACCAAAAAGUGUAGCUUUUGAACAUACUGCCUCUGAGCAAGAGGGUUCUGAACAGCACGAGUUUGACCAUGCCAAAUCUGAAGAAGAGGAAUAGGAAGGGUCUUAGGAGUUUGAGUCUAAGGGAACAGCAUCUAGAUCCCUAUCCACUGAACAACAAAAUGAUGAAGAGUCUCCAGCUUAGGGAACACUUAUCAAAUAUAAGAGCCCCAAAGUUUGAGAUAAUGUUAGAUGGAAAAUUCCCAGGGAAGAGAGCAUCUUCAUCGCUGGGCUUCGUAGAACUGAUACAAGAAGUUCUAAGAGGCCAAUUUAGGAAGAAAAGAUGAUUAUCACCAGAGGGUUGAGCAGGUACCCUGAAGUAGAAUAGAAGUUCCAAGAGUAUGGCUUGAGAUGGACCAUAAAAUGAGAAGGUUCAUUUUGCCUUGCACUAGUUUGGGAGUUCUACUUGAACUACUACGCUCGGUUGGAAAAUAUGUACAGGCUAGGUGAAAGAGUAGCAGACCGACCCCUGUUGGAUAGAGUGUAGGUAAGGGCGUAAGGGUUGAUGUCUCAAUCAUAACAAUCAAUAGUUUCUUGCAUGGUCCCUACUUCACUACUUAGGCCACCUUACCAUCAGUCUAUGCUCGGAUUAGGAACCAGGAGAAACAACGUCCAUAGUUGGCAAACAUCAUAGCUGAAGGAGAACCAACAUGGGUAACAAACCCAAAUAAAAGAAUAUGUAAGUCCUCUUUGACUCAAGAGGCAAAGUUUUGGUGGGGUAUAGUGCGUGUCGCUGAUGCCCACUGAUGGAGAUAACAUUCUUGGUGAUGACCAAGCUAUUUUAGUGGUGAGCAUGGUGCAGAACCUUCCCCUAAAUUUGGGAAAUCAUUGCUGAUGAGAUAAAGAUUAGAAUGUCGAGAACCGACACUACUUACCCUUUCCCUUGUAUUAUCAUAGAGUUAUGCCAAGCUGCUAAUAUGCCAAAGAUUGCAGGGGUUGAUAAUGACAUUCCUGCCUGAAAGAGUCACAACCCCAUACGGUAUGAUGAAAAUAAGCUAGGAUUAAGACUUGAUGGAGGUGCAGAGGUAGCAGCAGACCCUCUAGUUAUAGAUGCCGGUGCAAUACCUCAUGUGGAAGUGCAAGAUUCUGAGGCUGUGCAUCCAACUUCUUUAGCACAGGCAGGAUCCAUGCCUGAGACUGAAGCUAGCCCUUCAGUCCCUAAAACAGCAGCAGGAUUUGCAUUUCAUCUGAUUGAUAUCCAAAAAGUGGCUAAACAAGCCAAGUGGUGUGAGGCACAGCUACAUGUUUUUGCCAAAUAGUUUGCUGCUACAGUAGACAAGAGAAUUAAGGCUGCCCUUGAUCUUUUUGUGACUUUGCCUGAGCGGGUUGCAGCUUUGGAGAAUCGAUUCGAUGAGUGGGCAAAGGAAAUGUCAGGGGCUGAUCUUGCUAGAUUUAAAGCGGCAUUGGACAAGGUAAAGGAAGAUAUAGAGGUAUUGUAGAAGCACCAAUUUAUGAUACCAACAGGUCAGGCCAUACAUGAAUCUGAGGAAUAAAUUCCAAUGCUUGACCUCACUGGAGACUCACCAAAGAAAAAAAAGUGAGAAGAAAGGUAAAGGAAAGAAAAAGAGGUCCGAUAGUAAUAAAGAGCAAAAACUAAAGAAGAGGGAAAGAAAUAAGAAGGAGAAGGAUGAGAUGAAAAGGGUAUAAAUUGAGUCCUUAGUUGAUAACGAGAAAUGUGAGGCAGCCAUUCGAGCUAGGGCUGCAGGUGCCUCAUCUAGCAGGGCUCCAGCUACUGCAAAUCUAGAUGCUCCUAAUGGAGAGAAGACAGUAGAUGAUGCAGUAGCAGGGUCGGAGACCCAGGAUCUAUGUGCUUGAUUUCCUUCAGGUAUACCCUAACCCUUAGAGCAAUUUAUUUUUGAUUUUAAGUUGAGGGUGUAGGGUAGGGUGUUGUUGUAUCAUAUUUUAUAGAUAAUUAGGAGUAAUACAAGUUCAUGAGGAAGUUAGCUUGUUUUGUGAUUUUUGAGUACCUCUCCAGUGGUCUGAUAUAUUGUUUACUGUGUGAAUUACAUCCAUUUAUGCCCACUAUGCAUCUUUUUUUGGCUAUAGUCUGGAAAUUGAAUAACCUUUGUUAAACAAGUACAUGAACCGGAUAAGUAGUGAUAUGAAAGAUACUUGUGUGCCAUGUGUGUGUAAGGUCUUACUCAGUUCCCGUUGUGUGUUGAAUCUAGAACUUGCCCGGUUAGUCUUGCCAUGGUCAUAGGAUAGGAGUUAGGAAAGAAUCAUAGUCCGUUUUUUAUGAUUAGUCCACUUUUAUCCUAAAUAACCUUCCCAAUGUGAUUAAUAUCCCUUGAUCCCUGUUAGAGCCUAAUUAGCCUAUUUCUUUCUACGAUACCUCUCACCUUCCCGUUUACAUCACAAUGAACCUGUUUUGGCCCUGGUCCUCCUUGGACACAGUGCACCUUGACUUAGGCAAACAACCGAAGUUGAGGGUGGCUAUACAUGAUACAAAAUGAGUAUGAAGAGAGGAAGAAUAACAAAAAAGAAUAAAAAGUUGGUUCCAGUGAAAAAGGAAUAAUAAAUGAGAAAGCUGUGUAAAUGAAGAUAAAAAGAUAAUGUGAUAAUUGAAAAUACCGCAUCCAUCUUGAGCAUGUGUGAUCAAUAAAAGAGAGAAAGAAAAGAAGGUUGAGGGUUGAAACCCCGAGAGUUGAGUGUAGUUUCAAGGAUACAUAGUCACUCUAAAAUAUCCAUGAAUAUCAUACCAGCCCCGGGCCUACGUUACAAGCUUAAGAAAAACGCUAUAGUGAUCCUAACUGACCUGUCUGAAAACUUGGGUACUGAUUAUAAGGGCAAGCCUUUGGCAUUUGACAUACAUAGUUUGGAACUUCAUUCUGAGAGUAAAUCUUGUUUUAUCCCUCUUUUUAUGUAUUUGAAUUCUGAUAUGAGUGAAAAAGGGAUUUCUUUGUUGUGAGGGCACACGGUGUAUGUUACUAGUCACUGACUUGUUCAGAUGAGUGUGAUCUUGGUAUGGCAUGGUUGUUAUUGCUAAAUUUUUGUCGUAUCUUGAUUUUUCUAAACUGCAUGGUUGUUUUUUAAAACAUCAACAGUGAGCUUUAAAAUUGACUGACCUUGGAGGUGGUGAAUGUAUUCUGAACUAGUAUGAGUAGUUAGCUGCCAAAUUGUACAUUGUAUUCUCUUAGUUAUGUUAUGGUUGCUUGAGGACAAACAAUUGUUUAAGUUGAGGGUGUUGAUGUGUGAGCCUAUGCUAACAUAUUUGAGGCUUUUAACUCUAAAUAAUUGUAAGGUCUUGAACAACUUUAGUUGUUUUUGAUUAGUUUACUUUGAUUUUUACAGUAAAUGUUGAGAUACAGGAGAACAAAAAAUAAUGGAAGCAAAAAGGCUAAAAAGUGAAGCAAAAUAAAGGACAAGUGUGGCUGACGACGUUCAUGAUAAGUUGUCAGCCUGGUGAUAAGCUAUCAAGGAUGCCGUCAACCUUAAACAGAGAAUGGGAGUUGAAGACAUUUUUGUGACGACGUUCGUGAUAGGCCAUUAGGUUGGAGAUAAGGUAUCAACGUCGUCGUCAGCCUUAGGCAGCAAGAGCUAAAAUUACAGAGGAGCUGACGACAUUAGUGAUAAGCCAUCAGGUUGGUGAUAAGGCAUCAACAUCGUCGUCAGCAUUAGACAGCAGAAGCCAAAGGUGUAGAGAAGCUGACGACAUCUGUGAUAAGCCGUCAGACUCCUAAUAAGCCGUCACAGAUGCCGUUGUCUAUUCCGAGAAAAAGGUGCAACUUUAAUUUUAUUUCCUUAUUUAGGUUGAACUAUUUAAAUUUUUGUUUUAGGGUUUUCUAGAAAUUAUUCAUUCAUCAGCAUCAUUGUUCAGAAAAGAAAGUUUGAUACUUUGAGUCUUGGAGAAUAUUUUCUAAUCUUUCUUUCUCUAUUUUUUUUUUUGGAUUUGAACAAUACAACCAUUUUGGGGAUUUUAUUUUGUGAUCUAAGCUAUGAUUCACUAAUUAUUAUUCAUCCUUGUAAGUUAAUCUUCUCAAUUAUGAAUUCAAUUAUGUGUUUCGUUCUUUGCAUCAUGAGUGGCUAAACUCCGUAACCUGAAUUAUGGGAUCUACGGUUAGGUCAUGAUGAUGUGCUAAAAACUCAAGAUUUAAUAGGUGUUAGGAUUUCUUGAUAAUUCUAAGAUUUUAAUUAACGUUUGUUCGUUGCAAACAAUAGACACACCUACUUUGAUUUUCUUGAGAAAGAAAUCAUAUACAGUAGGAAGUAAAUUAUCAACAGGGACUCGGAAAUACUUCAUUUUAUAAUCAGCGUUGUAACAAGGUUGAUUAACCUGAGGUAAAAUCUGGGCAGUGAAUAGCGAUUUCCUAAGUCCAAGAGAAUUAGGAAGUUAGAGCUUAAAUAGGUCGAGAGAAAUUUGAGCAUAUCAUCGACAAAGAUAGCUUGUUAUCCUAACCACUGUGAGAAUCCGAGUCACCUUUAGCAUCUGUUAUGUACCUAAGCCCUAGUGAACAUAAUUCUAGUUAUUUACUAAAAUCUUGGUUACAAACAUCAAAAUUAAAGUGACAAACAAUCAUUUGUGAAACUUAAACCCCAAUUUUAGGAAGCGUUAAACUAUCAGUGAAUUAAAUCACAAACGACUUGAGUUCACACCAUAUUUCCUAUGGAAUUUGACCCCAGCCUAGUUGGGUUUUAUAUUGACAACGAUCGCUUAAACUCAUUCAAGAGUGUAGUUUGAGAGUUAUCAACCUGCAGGCAACUCUAGCUAAUAAGCUACCUUCCUAAAAUAAUUCAAAAUUCUAUAAGGGCCAACAUAUCGGGGACUUAGCUUCCCCUUCUUGCCAAAUCUCUUCACUCCCUUCAUGAGCGAGAUUUUCAAAUAGACUAAGGCACCAAUAUCAAACUCAACAUCUAUCUUCCUCACAUUUACAUAAGAUUUUUGUUAGUAUUAGGCUGUCUUCAGCCUCUCCUUAUUCAACUGAACUUUCUCUAUCGCACCAAACACAAAAUAUGGCCCUAUAAAAGCAACGCCAGCUACCUAAAACGAACUAGUAGAAGAUCUAUAUCUCCUCCCAUAGAGAGCCUCAAAUGGAGCCAUCUGGACAUUAUAGUGAUAGCUGUUAUUGUAGCCAAACUCAAUCAAGGAUAAGUUGUCAUCCAAACUACCUUUAAAAUCAAUAAUACAUUCUCUCAACAUCUUCUUUAAGGUAUGAAUGGUCCUCUCUGCCUGAACUUCUGUCUGAGGAUGAAAAGUUGUACUGAGAUGAACUUGGGUACCAAAACCCUUCUGAAAAGCUUUCCAAAAGUGAGAGGUAAACAGGGUACCUCUAUUUAAUAUGAUAGACAAUGGAACUCCAUAAAAAAUAACCAACUCUCUAAUAUAAAGCAUGGCCUAAUCCUCAACUGAAUACAAAGUAUGAACAGGUAGGAAAUAAGCAGAUUUGGUCAUUCUGUCUGUAAUGACCCAAAUCGAAUCAUGAUGACGAUGAGCACGAGGCAAACCUAUCACAAAAUCCAUGUUCACCACUUCUUACUUCCAAGUAGGGAUACUGAACUCCUGCAAUGCACCACUAGGUCUUUGGUGCUCAACUUUAACUUGCUGACAAUUUGAACACUUAGCUAAAAAUUUUGCAAUGCCUUUCUUUAUACCAUUCCACCAAUAGAUUUCCCACAAGUCAUGGUACAUCUUAGUGGCUCCUAGAUGAAUGUAAUAUCAUUCACCAUGCGCCUCUACCAAAAUCCUCUACCUCAAACCAUCAACACAUGGAACACAUAACCUACCUUGACAACGAAGCACACCAUCUCCCCCUUAGGAGAAAACCUCUACUUUCUGAUCUCUAACUGUUUUCUUCAACAUAACCAAACUGGGACCCCUAUCUUUCUUUUCCUUUACUUCAGGAACUAAAGAAAAUUUUGAACCAUUCUGAACCCAUAUACUGCCUUCAGCUGAAUCAACUAAUCAAAUACCAAAUCUAGCAAGCCGAUUAACCUCCUAGACUAACUUCUUCUUAUCCUCCUUAACCUGAGCAACUCUACCUAUAGACAAUAUAUUAAGGGCAUCUACCACUACAUUGUCCUUGCCAAUAUGAUACAACACAUGUAUAUCAUAAACUUUUAACAACUCAAGCCACCUUUUUUGACGAAGAUUUGAAUCUUUCUACAAUAACAUACUACAAACUUUUGUGAUCCAUGAACACAUCAACAUGAACCCCAUAAAGAUAGUGCCUCCAAAAUUUCAAGGCAAAAACAACAGCUGCCAACUCAAUAUCGUGGGUAGGAUAAUUCUUUUCAUAGGGUUUAAGUUGUCUAGAGGUGUAGGCUAUGACCUUACCUCUUUGCAUCAAUACACAACCAAGACCAACUCUAGAAGUAUCAUAGUAAACUAUGAAUCCCUAUGAACUAUCUAUCAAGGUCAGGAUUGGGGCUGAGGUAAUUCAAGUUUUCAACUCCUGAAAACUCUUCUCACAUGAAUUUGACUUUCUUCUGAGUCUGUUGAGACAUGGGGGAUGAAGUAAAGGAGAACCCUUCAAAAAACUAUCUGUAAUAACCAACAAAACCCAAGAAACUCCUGAUAUCUGAUGGAGAGAUGGGUCUGGGCUAUUUUCUCACUGCUUUGAUAUUUUAAUGGUCAACUCUAAUACCAUCAGUGAAAAUAAUAUAGCCAAGAAAAGCUACUGAUCUUAGCCAAAAUUCACACUUACUAAAUUUGGUUAAGAACUGAUGAGUUCUAAGGGUCUAUAAAAUAAUCCUCAGAUGAUUUACAUGAUCAUUCUCACUAGGGAAUAGACAAGGAUAUCAUCAAUGAAGACUAUGGCAAACAUGUGCAAGUACUUCUUAAACACUCUAUUCAUCUAGUCCAUGAAAGGUGUAGGGGCUAUCAUUAGUACAAAAGACAAGACUAGGAAUUCGAAGUAACCGUAGCGAGUUGUGAAGGCUAUCUUUGAAAUGUCACAUUCUCUGACUCUAAGCUGAUAAUAGCCAGAUUUGAGGUAUAUCUUAGAGAAAUAACUGGUACCCUAAAGUUGUUCAAAUAAGUCAUCAAUUCUAGGGAGUGUCUUUCUUAACUGUGACUUUGUUCAACUAACGAUAAUCGAUGCACAUUCUGUGAGAACCAUCUUACUUAUGCAUGAACAAGGCUGAGUAGCCUCAUAGGGAAACACUGGGCCUGAUGAAUCCUUAUAUAAGAGUUCCUUCAACUAUUCCUUAUAUAAGAGUUCCUUCAACUAUUCUUUCAAUUCCCUAAGAUCAGCUGGAGCCAUUCUAUAGGGAAAAAUAGAGAUAGGCUGGGUAUCUGGAAGAAGAUCUAUUCCGAAGUCAAUUUCCCUUUCACGAGGAACUCUCGGGAGGCCAUCAGGGAACUCAUUGGGAAAUUCCCAUACUACUGAAACUGACUUGAGACUAGGAGUCUCAGAACUAGAGUCUUUGACUUGAACAAGAUAGUACAUGGACCCCUUAUAUAUCAUUGUUCUUGCCUUAAGAUAAGAAACAAUUUGACCCUUAAGAACUGAAGUACUACCCCGCCAUUCAAUAACUAGUUCAUUGGGAAACCAAAACUGAACAACUCUAUUUUUGCAAUCCACUAAGGCAUAGCACGAAUAGAGCCAAUCCACAUUUAGGAUGACAUCGAAAUCAGUUAUCUCUAAGUCUACAAGAUCUACUAAAUUGUUUUUCUAAGAGUCAGGAAAUUUCUGUAUAUCCGUCUGGCUAUAAUAGAUUUACCUAUGGGGGUAGAAACUAAUAAAGUCUCUACUAAUGUUUCUGGACUAUCACUGAAAUUGAAAAUUAUAUAGGGGUUAUAAAAGAAAGUGAAGCUCUGGGGUCUAAUAAAACUUACACUUAAAGAUGAAAAACCUAUAACGUACCCGUAACCAUAUAAGGAGAACUUUCCUGAUCAUAUCGGGAUAAGAGUUCAUACAGUCUGUUAUGGUGUUGCCCGCUGAUGGCACUAGAAGUAGUGCCCUUUUGGGUCAGACGACCUGGUGGUGCUGCUGAAGAAGUAUUCUGGCCCUAUUGGCGAUCAUUUCUGCCCCUCCGCGCCACCACCAUACACUCUUGAAUCCUAUGGACUAUUAUCCCACAUGCAAAACAUGUCACUACCAGCCUUUCAGACACCCUGAUAAUUUCUACCACUCUUCUCGUACAAAAGAUUUGUACAGCCACUAUUCAUACUACCCUGGGACUUAGAUCCUAGCGCUCUAUCCUGAUUAUCAUUCUUGAACUUUGGCACUGGCACACUAGCUAAAGAUGGAGAUAGGGCUGAGAACUUCUGACAGAACUAAGAAUGAUUUCCACCUUCUGACCUCGGCUGAGAAAAGUUAAAACUACCUGGUUUGGCCCUCUUAUUCUUUCUCUCUUUCUCCUUAAGCUUCUCUUCCUCAGUCUGCUAAGCAUGAACUAUGAGCCUAUUUAGGUCCAUGUCCUUAAUCAACAUAGUAGUUCGACACUCCUUGACCACACUAUUAGAUACACCAAAAACAAACUUACUUAUUCUAGACCUAUUAUCAGCCACCAAUGAAGACGCAUACCUCACAACUUAGUGAACUUAAGUGAGUAUUCCUUUACACUCAUAUUACAUUGUUUCAAAUUGAUGAACUCUUGAACCUUAGCUUCUUUCAAAUCUAAAGGAAAGAACCUGUCUAAGAAACUAGUGGAAAACUCCUACUCUACAGGCCUUGCCUCAACAUUUCUAUCUUUCUUCCACUUCUUACACAAUGUGUGAGCUGCAUCUUGCAACUGGUAAGCAUCAAAAUCGCACUCUCACUCAAAGUGUAACCCAUGAUAUCUAUCACUUUUUGAACCAUAUCAAUAAACUCCUGCAGAUCUUUCUCAGUCUUCAAUCCCAAAAAACAAAGGGGGAUUUAUUCGAGUAAAAUCUUGAAUCCUAGCUAUAACUUUAUUUUCCACUGGAUUAGCAAGGGCAACAGCCUACUGAUUGUUCUGAAUAGCUACUGAGUGAGCUAAGGUAGUGAAAACAGCUCUGAAUUUGACGUGAGAGACAUGCUUGUUCAGGGGGUUUUCCUGAACAAGCGGUGGUGCAGGAUGGUUCUCGUUGCUUUUUCUAUUUUUUCUUUUUGGAGGCAUUAUUUGUAAAAGAAAUGAAGGAUGAGUUAUAAAGAGAGUUUAAAUAGAUUUCAUGCUCAUUCGCACGAAAUGAAUAUUGAAAGAAGGGAAACAGUUCCUAAAAUAUCUCAUAGCCUCUUAUCCAUAAGAGUGGCGCGCUUCACACCCAUGAAUAAGACUCUACUCAAUGCGGCUUUCAAAUUUCCUAGGACACUUAAAAACCUUAGGCUCUAAUACCAAGUUUUUUCAUGACCCAGGGCUUCCCCCUAGUCACGACAACAGUUCUUACGGUAACAAGUGUCAAUAAGCUAACCCAUGUGCUGACACCUAUUGAGAGUACUGAAUAAAAUAAUAAUAAUGGACAUAUAUGGAAAAUAAUUGAUAAAGACAUAAAUUCUAAAUACUAAAAGCUUAUAGGUGAAUCAAAAGUAUAAAACAUCUGAUAAGACUGAUAAAACUGACGAGCUAUCUAACUGACAGUCGAAUGUCUAAAAGCCUCUAAUCUGACUGAGGAGUUGAUGGGACAGACCCCCAACUAGCUCUAAUUGAUUUAAUAAAAUUAAAUACUAAAAUAACUAAAUAAUUAUAACAUGUCCUCGAUGGAUGAGGACUCACCACUAUGGUUGCUGGAUUAUGCUGAGCUGUCUAACUGCGGUUGGGAAACUGUGCAUCCGAAUCUAUAAUAUAAGACAUCAUUGCGCAAAGAAGAGUAUUCAGUCAGUACUUUCGAUAUGCAUGAGAUACUGUGUAUAUGAAAUAAGAACUAACUGAAUAGCAUGAGAUAACUAAACAUAAAUGCAUAAAAACUGUAAUAUCUAAAUGUCUGUACACUUAGUCAAGAAAACCUGAUUUGAAAAUACAUUAAAUACUAUACUAAGAUUUUGAGAGAUAUCAUCUAACUGAUAUGCCCUAAUCUAAGCUAAUUGGGAUUCAACCUAUAACCCCAAUUGGAAGGGUGUUAGUACUGUGCCACAGGUACUAACACUGGCUGUGUGGAUCCACUAAUUUGGUGUCUCGAAGGACCAGGGUGUCAAGCCUAAAUUGAUGGGUGACCCCUAAGAGGAUGUCAAUCCUAAACUGAUGGGUGACUUCGCAUAUCUUAUGUUGGCUACAUAGUUCUAGAAUGAGGGGACUGCUACUAAUGACUCUGCCUAACUGACAGGGUAGCCUCCACCCCUGUAUUCGCUUGGUACAAAAUCCUACUCCCAACUUAUCUGACACUGGAACUGAAACUAGACUAACUUUAACUGAAAUUAUUUCAUGACUGAUAGUGCUAAUUAUGAUCAUAAUAACAUAAUAAACAUGAAUAAUGAUGGUUUAACGGAAAUCAUACUUGAAAAUCUAAAAAUCAUGUAAAAUACGUAGGUAUUGGGUGUUCUUAACUUACCAGCACUAAAUCAUCACUGAAUGUAAGAACAAACUUAAAACUGUAGUAAAGGAUCAUGGUUCAAAACCCUUAAGCAUAGACAUUUCAUCAAGCAUAUAGGGAUCAUGAAUUUAACAUGGGAAUGCUUUCUAAGAAUUAUAAAUUCAUCAUAAAAUUCACUUGACUAAAUCAUGGGACACUCAAAUUCAUAGCAUGAGGAAUUCAAAAUCUUGCAUGGGAUCAUACAUGCACUAAAUUGCAUUUAAAUUACCAUGGAAACAUGAAUUAAACCCAUCUUAAGUAAUACAAAAUAUAAUAAUGAUAGAAAAAUUCAAUCUUUCAUCGAAGUUUUGAGCUCCAUGAGUGAAAGAAAACACAUGAAUGAAUAUCCCACAUACCUUAAACCUUUAACUUAAAAAAGAAAUACAAAUCUUGAUGCUUUCUUGAAGGUUCUUUAACUUGGGGAACUUGAAUUCUUUAUUUCCUGGGGUGAGAGGAAUUGAAUUUAUGUUCUUGGGAAAGAGGGGGGGAGGUUUCUUGAGAGGGAUUUGGAGAAGAAGGACAAAUAAUCCCCAAAAUAAUGUCCUAAUUCGUGUUAGGCUCUGUAGCUUUUUCGUCCUAAAUAUUCCAUGGAUGAUAUGGGUUCAGCUCCCCCUGCUGAAAGGGCCUCAUAGAGUAUAGUCAUACUACCAGGGAAGUAUCCCAUAGGAUAACUAGUACAUACCCCAAUAAUCUGACAUCAUGCACACGGUACGCUAAGACCAAUCCUCAUGUCGGUAAAUAUGAGUUUCUAGUUUUGGUCCCCUGAGACCACCACAUUCCACAGCCUUGCGUCAUACCCCACCAUUAAUGCCCCAUUAAAACUAUUUCCAGCAAUGCAACCAAUCCAUUUACCAUUUUAUUAAUCAAGUCUAAAUUAGUGGUAUCGUCACACCACCCCAUUACUUGCAAGCAAUAUCUAUAGCCAAACUAUUAAGGUAAAGGGGACUUUCAAGUGCACUUCCAUAUACCAUAUUAAACCUUUUGGGAGAAUUCCAUCUUCCCUACAAGCAUAACUAUUUAGCCUUUUUCAAACUAUUUAAACUAUUUAAAGCUUUAAUACAUAAGCAGAAAACAAAUAAUAGUUCUUUAAAAGAAGUCUAUGCACUGAAUAUACCUUUAUAAGCAUUAUAUCAAACACCUAGGGGGCAUAAUAUAACCAAAACAAAUUCUACAGACAAAUAAACAAUUACUAUGCAAUCUAAUUUUCCAAAUACCACCAUUAAUGCAUAUAAAAGCAUAAUUAAAACCACAGAAAAAUAUAACCAAGCAUUUAAUAUCAAAACCCCUAAAUAAUAGUCAAAAACCAUAAUCAUGAAAUAGUAAAACCAUGAAAUCAACCAUAUAAACCAUGCGUUUAGUUGAAAUUACAAUAAGGGAAGAGAAUCAUGCCUUAUACCGAAGAAUUGAUGAAAGGAAAUCACCAAGACAAGCCCCAAACCAAUCUGCAAGAUAAAACCCUAGCCUUCUUUCCCCCAAAGCUCUUGAGAAAAAUAUGGAUUGUUUUGGAGUAGUUUUUAAGGGUUAAUGAAUAGAAUAAUAGGGUAAAUAACCUCUUAAGCAUAUUAGAAGUCAUGGGUUAUAAUUUGGGUAAGUAGGGAAAUAUCCAAAAUACCUCUACUUAAGUUGCAUAAAAUUACGUCAUAGGGAUACAACUAACAUAUACGAGUCUCACCUUCUUAUAUGAUUGGUUUCCACCGCUAAUAUUCAAGCCUCACCCAUUUGUAUUAGACACUGUCACUCAUCCACCAAGUCAUGACCAUAACAUACAAUUCGUACCUAUGACCCGUAGCCCUGAUAGAAUGAAAUACAAGGAGGAUCAAAUACUGCCCACCAUACGAGUUCCUAAUACGACUCGUACCAAGCCCUACGACUCAUACCCCUAAGUUAAAACCAUUUCAGUGACCAAAACUAUCCUACCAACUAACACUGGUCAUCAUACGACUAGACCAUACAACUUGUAUCCCAACAUAUGGCUCGUACCCAUGAGUCGUAUUGGGUAUAGAGAAUAAGAAUUCUAGGAAAUUUUCUAAGGGUGAAAACCCAGGAUGUUUAACCAUCCCAUGGCCUAGUAGAGCUAGUACAAGAGCCACUAUAAAUACAGUUUAUGUUCUAAAAUAGUGAAUACAAUCCUGUGUUAAAACUAAAUAUGAGACAUACAUAGAUAGAAGAAAAUGGGGUAAUUCUGACUCCAAAGGCUGACCCUAUCUUCGAAUCAGCAAUAGAAAGAUCGUCAAUAACACAACAAUAGCUAGUACUCAGAUCUACAUAAAAAAGGUACAGAAGUAUAGUAUGAGUACCAAAGCCAUAGAUACUCAGUAGGCAUCAUCGACCAAAUGAGAAAAAUAAUGAUAUAGAUAUAAUAUUAUGUAAGAAAACAUAACUAAGUCAAGGUAAGGAGGAAAACCUAAAAUAACUCCAACAUCACUUUACACAAAUAAUUGAAAAAAAAAACUUGAAAUAACAUAAAUGCUUGAAAUUACAUCUAAUGAAUUUCCCCCAUAAGCUAAUACAUGGGGAAAAAUAAAUAACCCAUCCCCCUAAAGACUAGAAGGUACACUCAAAGAUAGUAUAAUUUUAACCACAAUCAUUUAUCAAUCCUUUGGAUACAACUAGAAUUUAUCCAUAUAAUGCCGCAUUACAACAAUUUCCUCUUCUGUACUUGCACUGUUACUCAUAUCAUUAAUGUCAUAACCUAUAACAGGACUCAAAUCGAUAAGUAUAGUCAGUAUCAUAAUCCAUAGUUAAACUUAAACAUGUAAAUAUAGUCAAUAUCAUAAUACAUGUGAACUCAAACAAGAAAAUAUAUAUAUCGCGAAUACCUUCCUUAAUAUUUAGACCUAAAUCGGAUUAUAUAUAUCAUUAAUAUAAUAAUUAAUAUCAUAGCCACCGAUCUUAUGAUAUUUAGCAACAACUCUAAUAUCCCAUAAUCAUAAAUAUCAAGUAAUUAAUACCAUAAAGCCUCAUAAUAAGCAUUUCAAAUCAUAUCACAAUCCUUCAAAAGUCUGCUAUGACUAGUUUAAGUCUUGGCCUAAAGCAGGUCAAAGAAACCCACUUCUAAUACCCAAAAUCCAUUUUAAGGAUAACUCUACCUUGGAUAAAUAUAAGGUAUAUAAAUUCAGUUUUGGAUAUUAAACAAGCAGUAAUUAGCCAUAAGAUAGGAUCUCUAUUGAGGAACUAAGAAACUUAGUCAAAUAAACCUAAAUUACGAUUUUUGAAUAGCCUAAAAGUUUCAACUAACCCAAGUAUUGAAAAUUUCAUCACCAAUCCCUAAAAUCCAUCCGCAAUCUAAUAUGAUAUCAUAAAUAUAUGAUGACAUUUAUCAAUCUAUAGAGAGGGGGAAACCUAACCUAUGUGGACGUCGAAGAAAGGUCCAAAAAUCCGAUAAAUAAUGGUUUUUCCCUUACGAGAAAGUUUCUCAAGGUUCCACAUUGUAAAAAUCAUAAUCUACUCAUUAAAAAGAAAAUAAUGAUACCAAUAUUGCACUAUUAUGCAUGGGUCACAAAGUACUCAAAAAUCCCAUGGGUCCCAUUUACGAAAAUCACAUUUCUGAGGCCAACCCAAUGUUCCCUCAUGCUCAAUGAGUAAUUACUCUAAAAAAUAGGUGAAAUCUGAGCUACAUUGGUGCCAAAAUAAUGUCACCAAGGUUUAGGGAUCUUAGAUAGUAAAAAGGGAAAUUCUCACAUAAAAAUAAAGGAUUGUUACCACCUAUUCAAAGGAAAAUUACGUAAUAAAUCAUUACCAAGCUCAACAAUCACCCAUAAUUGUGAUUCCUAAGUUAUCUCACUUCUUAAGGUUUAAGUCUCUAUAGAAUGGAUGGAAAAUGGGCAAAAAGGGACUAAAAAUAAAAUAUUUAUAACAUCCCCAGGUACACUGGUAACACAAUCAUGAUGCAACAUCGCAAUCGCAAUCCUUGGCCUUAGGGCAUAACUUGCUAUUGCAACAUGGACAUUGUGAUCGUGAUAAUGGCCAAGCUAGAAAUAGUGUAGCUUUUGGAACUAGAAAAUCCCGCGUUCACAAAAUUUUCUAGUUGGUUUCAAGACCGCUAUCGCGAUCAAUGACUCACGAUCGCCGGUACACCAAUACCAACUUAGACUUGGAAAUUUUCAAGUACCUACCAACCCCUUGAGAAUCAUCCAGAAUUCUAUAUACAUAAAUGGACAAUGCUACCCUAUCAAAUUUGAAAUUCUUGACUCAAUGGUAUAGUUAAAAUUUCCAUCUGAGUAUGUUUCAAUAAAAAGUAGGUCCCACACCCAACUUACCAUUUUCAUAUUUUUUAACCAAUAACUCAAAGUGAGCUCGGGUGCCUCAGGAUCUGAACUAGGAGUCCACCUUAUACAAAUUAAAUUUUAGAGUAAUUGGAACCAUUAGAAUUGGUAUACAAGGCUAUUUAGAUAAUUUUGACACUUGGUAGCUAAUUUGAACAAGCAAAGACCUCAAAAUUGGGAAUUAACUCUAAAAAACAAAUGAACUGCCUAGUGACUAAACUGUCAGUCCCAGUAAGUCAUAAAUGACCUGGUGUAGCUAUAGGAAACUCUAACAAUGAAAAUAAGAAGAAAUACAGAAAAUAACUUCAAGGGUCAUUACACAUAGAUAACAUUUGCAUAAAUUGGGUAGGUAGUAUUUUUUAAUGCAACUCUGUUCCAUGCGUGUGUUAGAUGUUUACCUUGUUGACCUUAUGCAUUUAAUCUAGAAUAUUCCCAGUUAGUCUUGGCUAGGUUGUAGGAUAUUUGGUUAGGAAGUAAUCAUAGGUCAUUCUUGAUUUAGUCCACUCAGAGCCUAAAUGACCUUCCAACUGACAAUAAAAAUCUCUUGAUCUCUAUUUUAAGGUUACAUACUCUAUUUUAUUAUAUUGACCUUUCACCUUCCCCGUUUAGUUAUAAUGAACCUGUUUUAGACCUGUUCCCUCCUUGUACAUUAUGCACCUCAAUUCAAGCAAAACAUUUAAGUUAAGGGUCGUUAUCAUUGGGGUGUAUGAUUAGAAUUGGGUAUGCAAAAAAGUUAAAUAAGAGAAACGAAAGUAGGGUUGGGAGUGGUAAAAAGGAUAAAAAGAAAGAGAUAAUUGAAAAAGAAAAUAAAAGCAUAAGAAAUAAUAAAAGAAACACCCAUUUCGAAUAAGUAAUAAUAGUAAAAUGGGAGAAAUAAGGUAGGCAUAAAAAAAAAGAAAAGCGGUUGAGGAGUAGGCCCCAAAUAUAAUUAUAUUGUCAAUGAGGGUUUGUCACUGAAGUUCUAAUUGCACCAUAACCGCCCCAAACCUCCAUUACAAGCUAAAUGAAGUCCUAUACUGAUCCUAGUACGACUGUUCAAAAAAGUACGAUAAAGAAAAUAAGGGAAAUCCUAUUGUAUUCUAUGCACCUUCAUUGGAACAUCUUUUAUGAGUGUGAGUGUCUCAGGAUAUAUGGGUUGUAUUGCUAGCUGCUUGUCUAUUCGGGUUGUGUAAUAAGUACAUUUGCUUCAUUGUUUGUUGCUAAUGUAAUGAAAUAGCUUGAUUCCUUUGUGUUGCAUUGUUAGGUUACAUAAAUCCACAUAGUUUAUUUUUUAAAAAUGAAAAUAGAAAUGGGUGAUGUUUUUUAGUUUAAAUUGAGUUGACUACCGUAGGUACCUUAGGUAUCUUUUUUAUGAGCAUCAUCUUGUUGUUUUUGUUAUUGUUUUUGUUGCUUGAGGACAUGCAAACAUUCUAAUUUAAGGGUCUUGAUGUGCCAUAGUUGUAUAGCACUCUUAAUGCUUAAAACUAUGAAAAUAUGCAAACACUUAGGCUAUUUUAUUGGAUAUGAUUGUGUUUUUAUGUAUGUUGCAGGAAAAUAUGAUUGGAAAUGAAGUGGAAUCAAAUAAGUAGAAAAAUCUUUGAAAAUUGAAGUUGCUACCUGGACUACGAGUCGUUGGGUGACUAUAUGACUCAUAGCCUAAGUUGUCAUGAUAAUAGUGAUGAUAGCUUAGAGGAAGAGUAAAGUUAAAGUUGGCUAUAUCUUGUAUGGAUUGACAACGAGUUGUAUGAUGAAGUCAUUAUGAGAAAAGUUGACCAAAGUUCUGAAGAUAUUCAAGUUGGAGCCCUAGUGGAAACAAAGGUGAAUACGAGUGGUAAUGAAAAUCCAUGACUCGUAGGGAGGAACUAUUUUGGUAAUAGUAAGAAAUAUCCUAAAAGAUGAAAGUCCACUGUAGCCAUAAUAAUUCCGGACAACGACUCUUAGGGUCUCAUGCCGAGUCAUCAUCACUGAGUAAAAAAAGAAGACAAUGGAAGCUAACAACGAGUCAUCAUCAGUCCAGACAACUCGUUGGCUAUGGCAUAGCCAUUGUUGACCUUAUUUUCCUAUUUAUUUUUUUUAGGUUUCCUAUGUUAUGUUGAGAUGCUAUAAAUACCCCUUAUAUAUUUUUUUUAAUAGAUUAUGCACUCUUUACAUUCACAAACAUAUAUUUGAUUGAAAGAUUCUAAUUUUGAUCUUGGAAUCGUUUGUUAUUCAUUUCUUCGUUGAGUAUUAGUUUAAGAAUUUUUUUUAUGUUUUCAAUUGUUGUGAGAUUCAUAUUAUGCUUACUUUAUUUAAUUCCGUGGAUCUUCUUGCAACUUUGGGCAGCUAGACCACCUUACUAGGGUUAUGGGAACCCUGACUGACUAAAUAAGUAGAGAAAGUGAGAUGUUCUUCAAAAUUAGUGUGUGCAUGUAUUGUGAUCUUCUUUGACAUUAUCUUCACAAAAGAGUUUGAUAUUAGGAAAAGAAGGUUACAACAGUAAUUUGAGGAUAUCAAACCUCAUUUAAUCAACUUGACAUCCAAAAGGAGAUAGUUGAACUAGGAUCAGCGAUAAGAAUUAGUAAGGAGAUACUUUAAGACUCACAAGGUGAAGAGUGAAAUUUACCAAGGCAUUUACAAGAUGGUUGGUGAUACCUAUCUUGUCAGAUUCUGCAUGCAAUGCAUUGAGCUAAUCAGAUUGAGCAUGAUUAGUCAAUAGAGUUAUGAAGCCAGGGGGAUCACUGUCCUAGUAUGACAUGACCUUACACCCCGUGUCAGAUAAAUUCCGAACAUAUAACAAGAUAAGAGAAUAUAAAUUUAGACAUUUAUAAUAAGUCUAUAACCAAACCCAACCAAUACUAAUACCAAUGCCAAUACCAAUUCCAAUACUGGCACCACCCAUGCCUACAGUCGUCUGACAAUGAUUCUAAUCAAGACCAAAGAAUAUCCAGUCGGGAUAUGCCCCCGACCAUAGCUAAAAAAAACCUAAGAAAUAAUAAGGACAUAAAGAAAUUGAUAGCAUGAAAUGAGGCCUUCCAAAGAAUGGAAGCUCACCACUUCAGGCUAUCUGAAAAGUUGUCCUUAAGUAACCUAGUCAUUGAGGAAGAGGAGUGGAAGUAUGAACGGUUCCUGAAUCGCGUGGGAAUACAUCAUCUAAAUAUGGAUAGCGGGGUGAGCACUAGUAUGUUAAUCAAGGAUAAAGAUAAUAUAAUAACAUUAAUCAUAAACACAGUCCAACCAACACACAUAAGCUUAUGCAAACACACACACACACACAUAUAUAUACAAUGCCGAGAUAGGAAAUAAGAUUUAGCUUGUAUUUCAAAACCUUAAACUGGGUUGGGUAGGUUUACCGUCAUAAGUCAAUCCACGGGCUAUAUGGGUUCAGUGUUACCCCGUGAAUGGGGCAAUACAUUUUAUCCGCAUGAACAAGUGAUAUCAUAAAUGUCCAGGGAUUCCCUUGUACCCUUGGCCUUCCAUGAUACAUAUAUACGUAUAUAGGCCUGGGGGAUUCUCUUGUACCCCAUAAGCACACGAUCAUAAGACCAACCCUCAUGUCAUCAAAUAUGACUUUCCAGUGUUCAUCCUUAGAACUCACACCUUCAUAGCUAACUACAUUAUUGCCCAAUUAAAACAUUUAACAAAAAUCCAAAUAACAAUCACAGGAAUCAAUUAUUAAGGCAUUAUUAAGUGGCAUCAUCAUACCGACUAUAGAUUGCAAGCAAUAUCAUUAGCCAACACUUAGGGGAUUCCCAAAUACCCCACAAACUCCAUUAUUAAAAACACUUGGGGGAUUUCUUUGUACCCCACAAGGUUUUCAUAAAUCAUUCACUUAGGGAAUUCUGUUGUCCGCCUAUGAGGUUUUGUUUAAUACUAUCCUUAUCCAUGUAACCAUUUAUACCAUGCAUUAGUUUCAAGAAAUAAUCCAAGCCAAGUGAUAAUGCAUAAACUAAAAUCAACUAUGCAAGUGGGUUGAGUUUAUUACCAAUUUCCAUACCAAAACAACCAAUUUGGGGAUUCCAUUAUACCCCUAUUUCCAUCCACCCCAAUGCAUUGACCAACCAUCAAUUUAAGCACAAUAGUUUCAUAAAUAUCAUAGAAAAAGCAUUUAAACAAUUUAUAUUAAGAACCCUCAACCUAUAAUUCAAAAUCCAACAUCAAUAUUUUAUGAACAAUACUUUAAAUCACAUGCUUUUACAAAAUUGACAAUGAGGGGAGGGUAAUAUACCUUAAACAUAAAGUAGUAUAGAGACAAAUCACCCUUGUAAGCCUCAAUUGAUUAAUCAUUUGGAAACCCUAAAUGUUCUUAACCUUGAGGAUUUGAGAGUGUUUGAGAGUCUAUUUGAUAUGUUUAUGAGGACUAAGGAUAACCUAAAAGAGGUUAUAAGAUAUGGGUUUCAAGUUGGGAAAAAGGGAAAAUAUCCACAAUGCCCUUAACUUAAAAGCUAGAAACAUGUCAUCUUUGACUAUAAGUCAACCAUUGACUCAUAACCUCUCCUUACCACUCGUAAUCAAGAAUUGUAACCAAUAUGGUGACCAUGAUCCCCAUAUAAUGUUAACCUUAUGACUCAAAAAUCUUACUUGAAACAAGACUAUAUGACUCGUAUGGUCAAGUUGUAGUCAACAAACAACUCAAUAGGGUUGAACACCUGACAUCCUACAAUUUUAUCUCAAGACUCGUAACAUAUCCUUACUGCUCUUAGUGAGCCACUCGUACUCAAAGCAGAUAUAACCCACAAACUUACAUGAUUUGGUUAUAAGUCAUCCUAACAACUCGUCACUAGCCUUUACGACUCAUUCCAUCGAAUCAUAACCAGGAUAAAAACUCAAAACUACACACUUUUCACCCUACGACUAGGGUCACUUGACCCAUCAAGACACCCUGCGACUCGUGGGGUCAAGUCUUAACAAAUGCAUUGAGCUCAAAGCUCAAGAAAUUUUUAAGGGCCAACAUCCAGGAUGUUUAAAUUCUCCCCAACUUGGUUUAUUCAUCUUUGAAUGAUGGGAAAAGGUGUUUACCGGCACCAUUAGACCCCAAACAUCACUACUCUUACCUGUAAAAUAAAAAACAAGAAUACCAAGGAAUUUACAAUUUCCAUUUAACAAAGAUAAAAAAACAUGUUAAGCGGCAUAUAACUCAAGCACUAUUUUCUGAAAUAGGGAAUAGAAAUGGAUACUUGGACUUUAUGUCCUCUUCAACUUCCAAAGUAGACUCUUUAACCUUGUGGUUCCUCCAUAGAACCUUUAAUGAAUCUACGUCCUUAGUCCGCAACCGACGAACUUGCUGAUCUAAUAUUUCAAUCGGGAGUUCCUUAUAAGACAAGUAAUCCAAAAUACCAAUAUCCUUGAUAGGCAUAAUCAGGGACAGAUUACCCACACACUCCCUCAACAUUGACACCUGGAACACCGGGUGAACGGAGCUCAAACAAAAAAGCAUCUCUAAUUCAUUUACAUUAUUGUCAACCCUCUUUAAGACCAAGUAAGGGCCAAUAUACCGGGUACUAGGCUUCCCCCUUUUCUAAAACAGUAUUACUCCCUUCUUGGGAGACACCUUUAAGAACACCCAAUUACUAACCUCAAACUUUUGCUUCAUAUGCCUCACAUUUGGAUAGGACUUUUUGUGACUUUGGGAGUCUUUAAGUCUAUCCCAAAUCACCUUUACCUUCUUAAUGGCUUGAUAAACCAAAUUUGGGCCAAACAUCUCUACCUCACCAACCUCAAACCACCCGAUAGGAAACCUACACAUCCCACCAUACAAAGCCUUAAAUGGAUUCAUUCUGAUAAUAGUAGAGUGGUAGCUAUUAUCCUACGUAAUCUCUAUGAGAGGCAAAUAGUCAACCUAACUACCACCAUAGUCAAUCAUGCAAGCUCGAAACAUAUCUUCUAAAGUAUGAAUAGUCCUUUUCGCUUGCCCAUCCAACUGUGGAUAGAAAGAAGUACUAAGGCUCACCUUAAUCCCCAAACCCCUAUGAAACGAGUCCUAAAAGUAUGAUGGGAACAAAGCACCAUGAUCUGACAUGAUGGAAAUAGGCGCCCCAUGGAAAUUAAUAAUUUCCUCAAUAAAUUCUACAUAAUUCUCCACUACAAAAUUAGUCCUCACUAUUAAGAAGUGAGCAAACUUCAUCAUUCUAUCCACGAUGACCCAGAUCAAAUCAAAAUGAUUUCGAGAUUAAGGAAGACUGACAAUGAAAUCCAUAUUAACUACUUGCCACUUCCACACAGGAAACUCAAUUUCUUGAUACAACUUCCCAAGGCCUCAAGUGCUCUACUUUCACUUGUUGACACACCAUGUAUUUAGCCAUAAUACUGACCACAUCUUGCUUUAUAUUAUUCCACCAAUAUAUCUUCUUGAAAUCAUGAUACAACUUUGUCAAACUAGGAUAAAUGGCACAACACAUCCCGUUAGCUUCCGUCAAAAUCCUCUGUCGUAAUCGAUCAAUAUUGGGAACACACAACCUCCCUUGGUACCUUAAGAUACCAUCACUCCUAAUCACUAAGUCCAUCACCUUGUGUGGACCUACGUCUCCCAUAAUCUUUAUUAAGAUAGGAUCUAAUACCUAUUUCUCCUUUAUUUUAGUACCAAGAGAUGACUGUGCCACCUUUUACACAAACCCACAACAAUUUUUAAGUCCAAGAGACAAACUCCAAGUUUAGAUAAAUGGUGAAUGUCCUUCACUCAUUCCCGCUUAUCCUUAUGUACAUGAGCUAGACUCCCCACUAAUAACUACUAGGAGUAUCAGCAACCAAAUUAGCUUUACCUAAUUGGUAGUGAAGAAUCAUGUCAUAAUUCCUGAGUUGCUCAACCCAUAUUCUUUGCCUAAGAUUUAGAUCUUUUCGAGUGAACACAUAUUACAGUAUCUUAUGAUCAUAUUAGAUAUCCACAUACGCUUCAUACAAAUAGUGAAGGCGGAUUUUCAACACGAACACUGCAACUAACAACUCCAAGUCAUAAGUUAGAUAAUUCUUCUCAUGCACCUUCAACUAUCUCGAGUCAUAAUCCACCACCUUGCCAUAUUGCAUCAAAAUGCAUCCAAGCCCGACACGGGACGUAUUACAAUAAACCACAAAACCAUCAAUGCCUUCGGGCAAUGUCAAGACUAGAGCCGAAGUCAGCUUAUCCUUCAUCUUCUAGAAACUACCCUUACAAUCAUAAGACCACAAGAACUUCUCCUUCUUCUGAGUUAACUUAUUAAACUAAGAAGCUAUAAAAGAGAAACUUUCCACAAAUCUCCUAUUAUAACUGGCUAAACCUAAAAAUCUUAAUACAUCGGUUGGAUUCAUGGGGUCUAGGCCAUUUAUAACCUUCUGUGGAUCCACCAUGAUCCCCACACUUGAUAUGACAUGAUGUAGAAAAGUAACAAUGUUAAACCAGAACUCACACUUAGAUAACUUAGCAUACAAAUGCAAGUCUUUCAAGGUCUACAACACUAUACAGAGGUGAUCUGCAAGAUCUGCCUCACUCUUAGAGUGCACCAAAAAAUCAUCUAUAAAAACAACGACAAAUAAAUCUAGAAAUUUAUGAAAGACCCUAUUCAUUAAGUUGAUAAAUGUUGUCGGGACAUUAGUCAAACUAAAUGACAUAACUAAGAACUCAAAAUGUCCAUAUCGAGUAUAGAAAGCAGUCUUAGGGAUGUCCACCUUCCUAAUCAUUAACUGAUGAUACCUGGAUGAUCGAUCUUAGAGAAAAACUAAAACACUUAAGUAGAUAAAACAGAUCAUCUAUCCUUGGAAGAGGGUACUUAUUCUUUACCAUUACUUUGUUCAAUUAAUGUUAAUCAAUACACAUCUGAAAAGAAACCAUCCUUCUUGCGCACUAAAAAAAUAGGUUCACCCCAUAAGGACACACUAGCAUGGAUGAAACCCAUAAUUAGAGGAUCAUUUAUUUUCUCCUUAAGCUCCUUUAACUCAGCUGGAGCCAUUCUAUAAAGGGGAAUAGAGAUAGGACAAGUGUCCAAAAUGAGAUCAAUCCCAAAAUAAAUAUCCCUAUAGAGAGGGACACCAGCAAGGUCAUUAGGAAAAAAUUUGGGAAAUUUUUUCACCACCAGGAUCGAUUGUAAGGAACGACCCUCCGAGUUAGAAUAUUUUACCCUUAAUGAUAAUGGUAUACUUUAGAAAUUAAAUUCCAAGCUCUAAGAUGUGAUAUGAAUCUUCCCUUAGGCACUAAAGAACCCUUUUUCCACUCAAUGACUGACUCAUUAGGGAACAUAUAAAUGACCUUACGGGUUCGAUAAUGUAAUGAGGCAUAUCACGAGUUCAACCAGUCCAUCUUCAAUAUAACAUCAAAAUCAAUGAUGUAUUAUUCAAACAAAUUCACAAAAAUCUUAUUACCACCUAAAGAUACCACACAACCCCUAUAGAUUUUUUUAGUCACCACAUAGUCACCCACGGAGGUAGAAAUAGAAAAGGAGUUCGAAAUGCACUCAUUACCAAAACCAAAAUCCAUAACCACAAAUACAGUCAUAUAAGAAAGAGUGGAACCUGGAUCAAGUAAACAAUACACAUCACGAGAAAAGAGUCUCAUCAUACUAUUAACAAUAUCAGGUGAUGCUUCAGACUCCUAAUGAGUAAUGAUAGCAUAAAAUUGAUUUCAACCAAUGCAGAAGCUAGAUGGGUUACUUUUAGUGUUAGAGUUGAUGAAGAGAAAACUAGAACCUUAUUUUCCCCAGAAGUAAAUUUACCUAUGGAAUAGUUUCUAAGCAUAUGACUUGGAUGACCACACUUAAAAACUCCUAUCCCUUUUCUCAUCACAGAAACCCUGAUACAAUCGACCAUAAAAUUUACAGAAAGGAUAUAUUGGAGCUGAUUGGGCCUUACGAACAUGAGAUUGGGCAACUUUUGCCUUAAACCCACUAUCAUGCUUUGAACGACUAUCACCCGAUGACAUCAAAUAGAGAAAACUAGCCAUAGAGUAGGAACUAGAACUCGCCCAUUUCUUCUUAGACCACUUUCCACCAUCUCUACCACUUUAUUGUUAACCUCUACCCUGAUGAGAAAACCUAAACUUUUUUUUCUGUCUUUCUCUUAUAUCUACCUACUUCUUCUUCUAUUCCUUAACCUUCUGCAUAUAGAUAACCAGUCUAGACAUAUCUAUAUCCUUUUUAGCAAGGCGACCUUACUUUUUAGAAUCAAAUCAUGGGACAACUCGAGAGAAAAUUUUCUCAUUAUAGCCUUCAUGCUAGACUUUAGCGUAGGAGCAUACUGGGAAAACUAUUGAAACUUCACGACAUACUCUAUAACUGUCAUCCUACCUCAUCUUAGAUUUAUGAAUUCUUUGGCCUUCACCUCUCUCAACUCCUGAGGAAAGAAGCAAUCGAGAAAUGCUCUAAAAAAAGUCCUCCCAUAAGGUAGACUCAAUAUCCAUACCCCUGAGCUGCUCCCACUCUUCAUACCAUUAAUGCACUACAUCCUUCAACUGAUAGGCUAAAAACUCCACACCUUCUAUCUUAAUUACAUGUAUCAUGUGAAAAAUAUUUUAUAUUUAAUGUUUGAUAUCUUGAGUUUUCUCCUCAACCCUUGUACCAGUAAAAACUGGAGGAUUCAACAUCAUAAAUUGGCCAAGUCUAGUGGCAUUUGAUGGUGGUACAAUAGAAUCCAUACGCUUAGUCUGAAAGGCAACCAACUGAGUGAACAAAUAGAUCGACUGGCAAAACAUAGCAUUAGACAUGCUAGCUUUAGGUGAUUGAGGAAGAAAAAGAGAAACCGAUGGAUAUCCAUUAAGACCAUCAGUGAUAGUGGUCCUAGACCUAGUCUGAACCUAUGGAGUAGAACGAGCUCUAAUUCUAUUGUUCUCAGAUGGGAUAAAAGGGUUCCCACAAACAUCAGAUCUUCUUGGAGGCAUGAUCUGAAAGAAGAACAAACAUAAAUUAGAUAGAUCCAAGACUUUAGACUCUACAUCCAUAAAAUAAAACACAAGAAAUAAAAACAUUUAUAUAUGCCUCAUAGCCUUUCCCUUCUUACACUUGUGGAAGACUGUACAUUACAUGAUUUUCAUUACUACUCUUCUUUGCCUUAUAAUAUUUAUAAGCCAUGUGAUACAUAUGACCAGAUGAUCAGUGGUAAAACAGGAUGACCCAUGCUAGGCAUUAUACCCCUGGGAUACGUUCCUCAUCAAUUUAUAAAUUGGGAUUGACUCAUGCUAGGUUUUCCUUUCACCCUUGGAAUACCACCCAAUAAUGGGAUCAAUCCAUACUAGGUGUUCCUUCCACCCCUGGGAUACCACCCAUAAAUCCAUGUAGGGAUCGGCCCAUACUAGGCUUUGCCCCUGAGCUACCACCCAUAUAUAAGUGUAUUUACUUUACAUUACUUAUUUAAUAUUUGAGAUUAUUAUUUUUGUGGCCAUAGUGUUAGCUUUAGGACAACCAACCAUAUAGUAGGAGAUAUGUGAUUAUCGAUAUAAGGGAGUAACAACUACAUGGAAAUCAUCUUGAACACCAACAUAAUACUUAGGAGUUUAUAUGACACAAUACGUGUUUGAUAGCUCAAAUGGAAACACAUAUCAAGUGGAGACAUUUAACUUAUUAAUCCAAGAGAUAUGGACUUUAUUCAAUGAAAUAAUGAUAAAAUACCCGGUAAAUGAUACCAAAUAAAAGGAUUACAUGAACAUGGGAAUUAAUAAAGCACAUGGACAUAUUUGACAUAGGACAAAUGCGCUACAUAAUUGUAAAAGAAAAUCUACUUGACAUGGCUUUAUGGACACCUAAUUGACAAUGAAACUAGGCGUUGAUACCAAUAUGACACGACCCAAACUAUAUCCUGGCCAUGUCGAGUAUCUCAAGUCCAACUACUAUCGGAGACCACUCUCAAUAUUCAAACCAUUAUCCAUCUUACACCCUGUGUAGGAUGAAUUUUGAACAUAUAACCAAAUAAUAGAAUAUAAAUUUAGAGACAUUAUAAUAAGAUUAUAACCAAAAUCUACCCAUAAGUGUACCAAUCCCUAUACCAAUAACAAUACCAACGCCACCUAUGCCUACAAUAGUCUGACAAAGCCUCAAAUUAAGACCAAAGUAUAUCCAGUCGGGAUUGCCACCGAUGAAAGCCAAAACCAAGACCUAAGGAAUUAUAAAUACAUAAGCAAAUAUAUGGAAUAAAUAGGGUCUUCCGAAGUAUGGAAGCUCACCACUUUAGUCUUACUCAAAAUUUGUCCCCAAACUACCUAGUCACUGAGAAGGAGAAGUGGAAGAAUGAGUUUUUAAUGCAUAGCAUAGGCAUACAAUGUCCAAAGACAGUUAGUGGGGUGAACGCUAGCAUGUAACUCAGGGAUAAAGAUAAAGUAAUGUCAUCAAUCCAAGACCCAGUCAAACCAAUGGACAUAACCAUAUAUAAAUACAUACACACAUAUACACAUAUAUACACCAUGCCGGGAUAGGGAAAAAGAUUUAGGAUGCAUUUUAAAACCUUAACCUGGGCUAUUUAUAUUUACCGUCAUAAGUCCAUCCGUGGGCUAUAUGGGUCCAGUGUUACCCCUUGAAUGGGCCCCAAUGUGUUUUAGUUGCACAGACAAAAGAUAUUAUAAAUGGCCAGGGAUUCCCUUGUACCCUUUGCCCUUCAUGAUACAUAUAUACGUAUAUAGGCUUGGGGAUUCCCUUGUACCUCACAAGAACACGGUCAACAAUACCAAUCCUCAUGUUAGCAAACAUGAGUUUCCAGUGCCCGUUCUUAGGACUCACACCUUCACGGAUAGCUAUCACAAUCCCUAUUAUUUCCUAAUUAAAAUAUUUAACAAAUAACCAAAUAGCAAUCCCAGGACUUAAUUAUUAAGUGGUAUUGUCAUACCGACUAUAGCUUGCAAGCAAUGUCAUUAGCCAUCACAUAGGGGAUUCCCAAGUAUCCCACAGACUCCAUUACUAAAAUUAAUUAGGGGAUUCUUUUGUACCCCACAAGGUUUUCAUAAAUCAUUCACUUAGGGAAUUCUAUUAUACCCUUAUGAGGUUUUGUUUAGCACAUUCUAUAACCAUUUAUACCAUGCAUUAUUGCAAAGUGAUAAUGCAUAAACCAAAAUCAAUUAUACCAGUGGGUUAAGUUUAUUACAAAUUUAUAUACCAAAAAACCACUUUGGGGAUUCCAUUGUACCCCUAUUUACAUCCACCAUUCCCAUGAACCCCAAUGCAUUUACUAACCAUUAAUUAAGAAUAAUAGUUUUAUAAAUAUCAUGGAAGUAGCAUUUAAAUAAUUUAUAUUAAGAACCCUCAAUCCAUAGUUCAACACCCAACAUCAAUAUUUCAUGAACAAUACUCUAAAUUAUAUGCUUUUACAAAAUUUACAAUGAGGAAAGAGUAACAUGCCUUAAACACCAAGUAGUAUGGAGAGAAAUUGUUCUUGGAAGCCUCAAUUGAUUAAUCUCUUGGAAACCUAAAUGCUCUUGGCAAUGAGGAUUUGGGAGUGUUUGAGAGUCUAUUUGAUGUGUUUAUGAGGGCUAAGGAUAACCUAAAAUAGGUUAUAAGAUGUGGAUUUCAUGUUAUGCUAAAGGGGAAACAUCCAAAUGACCUUAACUUAAAAGAUGGAAAAAAUAUUGCCUUUGACUAUGAGUCAACCAUUAACUCAUAAGCCCUCCUUACAACUCAUAACCACUAUUCUUAACUAAGAUAGUAACCAAGAUCCCUAUACACUGCCAACCUUAUGAAUUAACAAGCUUACUCAUAACAAUACCUAAUGGCUCGUAAGGUCAAGUCAUUGUCAACACAGAACUUAAUUAGGUUAAAUACUGGACAUCCUAUAAUUUUAUCUAUCGACUUAAAACAUAUCUUGACGGCUUUUAGUGAGCUACUUGUACUCAGAGUAGAAUCAAUCCAUAAACUUACAUGAUUUAGUUAUGAGUCCUCCUACUGACUAUUAACUAUGCUUUUUGACUCAUUCCCUCGAAUUGCAACCAGGAAAAAAACUCUAUACCGUACACUUGUCUUCUUACAACUAGGGUCACCUGACCCAUCAAAAAAUACUAUGAUUUUUGGGGUUAAGUCGAAACCAAGGUAGUGUGCUCAAAGCUCAAUAAAUUUUGAAAGGCUAAAAAAUGGGGUGUUUUAUCGUAUUUAUCUCAGAUUAAUUUAAACUAAAGCAAUCAAGAUUUAUUGCUACUUUUUUAGUUUCACAAAAAAAACAACUCAAUUACUUUUCCUCUAUUUUCUUGCUACUUCACAAAAUUUGGGAGAUAUAUUCAACCUAUACCCAAUGUGAUCAACCUUAACCUUUGUUGGGUUACUAUAAUUUGACAGGGACCACAUUGUAUCUUUUUGGAGGAUAUGGUUUGGGCAACAUCAGUCUUUAGUACAUUACGACUCAUAAUGACAUUAAUUUUAGACAACACUAGUGGAUUAAGAUUUUGCGAGACUAUGAUUUCUCUAUUCUUUGCUAUUCAUGCAAGGUGAAUAUGGUUGUUGAUGCGUUGAGAUAUAAAGCAUUAAGUUUUGGGAGCUUGUCCUUCCUUUUAUGUUUUGAGAGGCCAUUAGCCUUAGAGAUCUAGUCCUUAUCUAAUAGGUUCAUUCAAAUUGAUAGUUAUACCCUAGGAGGAUUCUUACUAGUGUUGAUGAUAGGUCUACUUUGUUGGAGAAGAUUCGUGGUAAAAAAUUUAAUGAUAGUAGGUUAGGUGUAAGUAAUGAUCAGGUCUAUACUCAUCAGUCUAGGAGAGUUACCCUAUACUCUAAUGUUGUAUUGAGAUUCGAAGGUUGCAUUAUUUUCCAAUGUUUACAGGUUCAAUUCUGUUAAUACUUUAAGAGGUUCAUAGCUCCAAAUAUUCUAUUCACCUAUGGACAACUAAGAUGUAUAAAUAGAAUUACUAGCGGAGAGAUAAAAGGUCAGAUAUAGCAUAUUUUAUAGCUUGUUUUUUUUUAUUAUUAAUAGAUGGAGAUUGAGCAUUUUAGACUAAGUGGUUUGCUAUAGAGGUUACCCAUUCCUAGGUAGAAAUGGGAACAGAUUACCAUGGAUUUUAUGUUUGUUUUCCUAGUACUUCUCAUGAUUCUGAAAGCAUUUGGGUCAUCAUAAAUCACUUGACCAAGUCUACCCAUUUAAUUCUUAUAAAGCUUCCAACAAUGUUGAGGGUUUUUCUUUAAUUUAUGUUCAAGAGGUGGAUCGACUUCACAAAAAGCUCAUGUCGAUUAUUUCUGAUUGAGGUUCCUAGUUAUGCAUUAGCUUUUGGAGUGAUUUUUAGGAGGAGUUUGGCAACAAGUUUGAUCUUAGCAGUGCCUUUCAGCCCAGACUAAUGAGUAGUUAGACCAGACUAUUCAGGGUUUUUAAGAUAUGCUCCAACCAUAUUUCAUGACUUUAGGGGUCUAUAGGAGAAAUUUCAAGAUUAGUGGAGUUUGUCUUUUGUAAUAUCUUAAAUUUGAGCAACAAGUAGAGCUAUGCUGACCCUAGGCUUCCUGUAUUGAGGUUUGGAGUUUGAGAUCUGAUUUUUCUUUGAAUGUUUCCAAUGUAAAUCAUGAUGAGAUUCAAGAAGAGAGGCCUCAGUCGUAUAUAUAUCAGGCCAUUUAAGAUCCUUUACACAGUUUUUAAGGUAGACUAUAAGUUGGCCUUGCCUCCAAUCACUUUUAUCCGUUCAUAUAGUUUUUCAUAUGUCAAAGUUUUUGCUCUAUAUACUAGAUGAGUCUCACAUGCAUAGUAGGAAUUUUUCACAACUCAAACUAGGACCUGGCCGUGAUGGGUAUCUCAAGUCCCACGUUGAUCGGAGAUUACCUCUUCACCUAGUCUAACCAACAUAUCAACCACACGUGUUAGAUGAAUUCCGAACAUAUAACAAGAUAUGCAAAAUAAUAUUAACAAUAGCUUAAGAAAUGUCUAAAUUAUUCAUCACCACCAUACACUAAACCAUCACAUCCAAGUCCACAGUAAUCCACAAAGCCUUUACAAUCUAAAGUCAAUAAAAUGCCGGGACAUGCCCCCGAUAAUAGCAAAAAUCCAAGUCUAAAAAAUUUUAUGACAUAGAGUAAAAAGACUAUGAAAUGAAUGCCUUUUUAACUAUGGAAACUCACCACUUCAAUGUCAACUCAUAAGCCACUUAAACACCUGGUUACUGCAUAGGAAAAGAUGAAGAAGCUCCAGUCCCUACAUCGGUGGGGAUACAGAGUUCAAAGACGAUUAAUGGUUAGAGCACUAUCAUGUAACUCAGGGGUAGAGGAAUAAAAUAAUGCCAUUAAUAAAACUAAGUCAAUUCUUCAUAUGCAAUAUAUAUAUAUAUAUAUCAUGCUGGGAUAGGGAAGAAGGCUUAGCAUAAACUUUGAAAAUAUUAACCUGCGUUGUGUAGCAUAACCGUCAUAAAACAAGGCACCCAUGGGCUAUAUGUGUCCAAUUCUCUCCUAACUGGAAGGGUCCCAGUGCAUUUAGCUGCACGAACUAGAGAAUAUCUAUAUUCGUAUAUACCAUUAUGGGGAACUCGAACCUUCUAUCAUAAUAAAGGUGACAUAGCUCAAAAGUAUACAAUAUAGGGGCUCAAAUAUCCCAUUCAAAUAUUUAUUCACAGGAUCGAACCUCCCGGUCAUAUGGACAUUCGCAUCGGCUAGCGCGAUUUCCAGUAUGAAUCCUUCGAUAUUCACUUUCAUGGAUCGGCUACAUAUCUCUCUUUAAAUGCAAUUUAAAAAAUCAUUUACACAUACACACAACCAUUAGUCAGAUUACUUACAAAAGGCAUCCUGUUGGUAUCAUCAUACCAACACCACUUGUAAGGUACAACAUGCCAUAACCAUUAUUAUUCAAUAUUUGGGACUCGAACCCAUAGUCUAUACAAAGACCUCAAUUCUAUUCACUAUUUAGGUACACAAACCCAUUUAGAAAAUUAAACCACCAAGGUUAAAAUUCAAAACCAUUUAUGACCUAUAAGGACUUCAUGAAACCAUUUACCAACCAUUUACAUUGUUAGAAAAAUGCCUUAGUUCAAAUCACAAUUCAAUUCAAUUUAUGGUCAUCAACACCUUUACAAAAUCAUUCACCCUUCAUUAACACUGCCAAGCAUUAGUUUAAAAACAUAAUUAAUCAUGUGACUAGAUUCUUCUCAUAGACAUUUUCACAAACAAGUUGAGGGCAUACCAUUAUCUAACAAUUAUUCAAGUCAUAAAUCAUAAAGUUAGGGUUAACCAUGACCCCUUCACUUAAAACAUAAUUUCCAAGCACCCACAUAUGUAGAACCAUCAUAAGAUCAUGCAUUAACACAAGUUAAAACAUGAGAGCAUAAUACUCAACAAUGAGCAUUCAUACCGUAAACCAUGGAUUUUAAAACCACCAUCUAUGAUUCAAGAACAAUUUUUAAAAUACAUGAUUUUUAUGAAAUAACAAUGAUGGAAGAGUCUCAUGCCUGAGUUACAAUGAUUCACAAAGAGAUUUUGACAGUUAAACCUCUAGAUGAUCACCUUAAUAAAACCCUAGCCCAAUCUCCUUGAGAGGCUUUUACAGAGUUUAUGAGAGUGCUUUGAUCUUCCAAAGUGUGGAACGAGGGACCAAAUAGUGUUAUAAGACAUGGGGCCUUAUGUCCAUGGGGUGAGAAAUGUCAAAAAUACUUGUAUUAUAAAAGUUGUAAAAGACUCAAAGGAGGGUAUGGUUUGGCCUCUCCACUCGUACCCACAUUAUAUGAGUGGUACCCUACACUCGUACCUUGAUAAAAAUAAUGGAUAUCACAUUCUAUCCAAUAUAAAACUCCUUAUCCUAACUCGUACCCUUACAGUUUUACCUUAGGAAUAAUGUAAAGGUUAGACACUGAAUAACAUACGGUUUGGCUUUAUGCUUCUCGUAUCAUGACAUAUGACUCGUAUGAUAGCUUUUUGUACCAAGAUUAGAACUUGUCCAAUAUGACACUAACCAACAUAUGAAUAGGGUACUUGACUCAUACCCACAAUAUACGAGUGUUAUGGUGUAAGUCAUAUGAUACAUAAAAGGUUCAAGACUCAGGAUAUAUUUGUAAAGGACAAAGUUUGUGAUGUUUUCUUCUCCCUUUCUUAGGAUCAUUCAUCCUCAAAUGAUGGGAUGAGGUACUACAAGCACGAUUAAUCCCAAAACAUCUCUACUCUUACCUUCUAGUUUGAGAUAUUAUUUUAUCUGAUAUAUUUAUUUUUUUGAUAUAUAGUUCUCCUAGAUUUUAAGACUUUUAACUUGUUUAGAAUUUACUAUCUUAUAAAUAAAACCAUUAUGUACUUUGUUUAGAAAACUUAAAUAACCCUCGACAUGAUAAUGAAGAAUAACCUUACAAAUUUAUCUCUCAAAUGCUUUUCUCAUUCCCUAUAUUAUCAUACUGGCAUUAUUUUCUAUAGCUCAACUUAUAGUCAUGCGAUUCUUUUUGUCAUCCUUUACUUUGGCCUGCUAAAUGCAAUCUUUUGCCUACUGCCAUGUUUCAUACUAAGCAACAUGUCUCAUAUUACGUGAACUGAUUGUGAUGUGGUUGUUAGACUUUACAUGAAAGAAUAAAUAGGAGGUGUUGUUUUGUUUUGAGAUGACUUUAUGGAAUAGCUAGAAAGCUUAGAUAUUGCAGCACUUCAACUCCAAUAAUUUAUAUAGCUUGAAUUUUAUGUGUAAUCUUGAUAUCAUCUCAAACAUGGAAAGAAGGGUGGAUUGAGAUUUUAAUGUAGUUGUUAGUCUUGCGGUUAGAUGAACUUCUACACUGUAGGAGGUUAAUUGGACCUUGUACAAUUUUGGGAGACCUGGAGAUAGACAUUGCAAAAAGCUAGUGAUUAGAGAAACAUUGUUUAUUAUUAAAAUUUUUGUUUUUGGAAAGCAAAAAAGGGUAGGUAUUUGGAGAAUGACACUUGUUGAGAUUGUAAUUGGAUGGAUAAUUUUGAUAUAGGAGAAACUCGACUCUACACCUUCAAAAGCUCUUCGUAUUUGUCUCUCCACACCACCCAUAUUUACACAAGCAAAAUCAGGUCCCAAGCCCUUUGUCUCCUCCUCCUCCUCCCAUUCUUUCAGUUGAACAUUAUUUUUUUUCAUUAUUUUCGGCACUAUCCAAAGAGUUCCACCUAAGCAACUCAUACUAUAGUCUCAUGUGAAGUAAAAUAUGAUCCACAUCCUCACUUGCCUCCUCACACAUGUAACACCAACUCAACUUUCCCCUUUCUAAGGUUUUUCCCCAUCAAGAUCACCCCUCUAAUGGCUAACCAAGUAAAGAAACACACUUUCCUCGGCACCCUUAGAACCCAUAUUGCAUUACAUGGGAAUUCAACCUCCUCCCUAAUUAAUAGUUCCUCAUAAAAAGUCUUCAUGUUGAACACUCAAUUGUUUCCCAAGCCCUACUACCAAAUGUUAGUAAUAUCCACUAGAUUGAAUUGCCUAUGCAACUCACUUUCUAAUCUUGAAAAUUUCUUCUAAAUCUCAAGUUCCAAAAAAUUUCCAUAUUUCUCCCUAAUUUUGCUGAAUUUUACCAUAGUUGGAGUCUAAAAUAAAGACAUAUAGUUAGUGUGGAUGGUUGAUAAUAUGCUCUUGAUAAAUUGUUAGUGAUUUCGGAUAGAUUGUUCAUAGUAUUACUCCGUAGGUAUCUUGUUUUUUUUUAUCUAGUGGUGGGUUACCCCAUUUUGUUAUUUAUUUUUAUUCUUUGCUCGGUAUACAGUUAUUUGCUCUGAGCCGGGGGUCUAUUUGAAACAACCUCUCCACUUCAUCUGAGGUAGUGGUAUAUAUAUGUAUAGAUGUGUGUGAGUAAAAUUGAUUAAAUUGCUAUUUUUCUUCAGAAAUUUAUCAAAGAGAAUAAGGUGAAGAUUAGUAUCUUUUAUAAAAUAUUAAAAAUCAUGAUAAAAUAACUAUCUCAACUGUGCAAGUUUAAAAGCUAGUUGGUCCUAUUCUUUUCUUGACCCUCUGAAUAGUUGGAUUCUGCACCACAUGAUCCAUGCUUGAAGCACCUAACGUUACUCCCAGGUAUGUAGACAGUAGAGUCCUAACCCUGCAAUUUAAGUCAUUCACCUCCCCAAUAGGAAAAAUCUCACACUUCCUCAAAUUAAUUUUAAGACCUGACACUGCAUGAAACCAAGUUAGAAUUUGUCCUAAAAAAUCCAUUUAGGUCUCAACUGCAACACAAAAAACCAAGGUAUCAUUCACGAACAUCAAGUGAGAUGCCGAUACUGUCCCCACACCCCCAACUGCAGCAUCAGAGCCCUUUAAGUAACGCCCUAAAACACCAUUACCAUCCUGCUCAAAGCAUCCAUAACUAGAAUAAACAACACUGGUGAUAGAGGAUCCCCUUCUCAAACCCCUCAAGUUCCUAGAAAAACCAGCAAGGUUUACCAUUCACCAACACAGAGAAUCCCACUGAAGAGAUGUAACAAAAGAUCUAUUUGCUCCACUUCUCCCCAAAUCCCAUUUGAAGCAUAAUGGGAUCUAGGUAUUUCCACUUUACAUGAUUGGUUACAAAAAUUGGAUAUGUUGGCAUAAACUGAAUUCAGUCCAUAUUUCUUCUGUUUGAUUGGUUACAAAAGCAAGUAAGAGGUACUUUAACAGUUGACUAUAUAGACAAUGUCAUAUCGUUUUUACUUUUUAUGUUGCUAUUCUUUAUGAUUCAUCCUUGGUACAUCAUAGCAUAUUUCUAUCUCCCAUCUUUGUGGUUGGUAUUCAUCUCUUUCUUUUUCCUCUUUUAGGGGUGUGUGUCAUUUUCCAGAUAAUAGGAAUGUAGACAUAAUGUUACUAAUAGUAGAAAUUAGGAUCAAGUUACAGUAUUGUUGGGUUGUGAAAUGAUAUAUGGAUGAGUGUCGCGGCGGGGUCACUGCUGAUCUAGAGAAAGUAAAAGAAAAGAAAAAAAAGGAGUUGUCACAAAGAAAAUAGGGAAAGGAACAUAUUUUAGAAUUCCAAAUGAAAGAAGAGAAAUCCCCCAACAGAAAGUAAAAGAACAGAAAAAGAAAGGGAGUAGUCAUAAAGAAAACAGGGAAAGAAACAUAUUUUAGAAUUUCAAAUGAAAGAAGAGAAAAAUGUUAGGAAGACAUGUGCUUUGGAAAUCAGAAGGGUUGUGUGAUUUGGAAUCACUUGCAUAGUGCUGUCAGUGUACUUCAGAAUCAGCUAUUAGACUCGUGAUUCAGAUUUCUAUAUGGAAUUUUUUAUCGUAUUUACAGUGAUUCUUUUUAAAUUUUUAUGUAGUUAUUUCUACUGUUGUCAGUAUUUUGUGGUUAAGGAUGGCAAUGGGGCGGUUUGGGUUUUAGACUAUGUGGGGUGGUGCAGGUUUUAGACUAUGUGGGUGCGGUGCAGGUGUGGGGCGAAUUUAAGUAAGUUUUUUUAAAUGGUGCGGUGCAGUGAGGGUUGCGGGUAUAUGCAGGUUUAAACUAAAAAAAGCUAAAAAUUAAUAUUUUUCCCAUAAAUCAACCUAAAAUUAUAUGUAUUCUGCACUUAAAAUUUUAUGAUACUUAAAACAUCAUAUAUAACACUACAAAUAAACAAUUUUAUAACUUUUUAAAUUUCUUAAUUUUUUAAUGAAAAUUUGACAUUUGAUCAUUACUUGUACACGUGGUACUUUUUUAAUAAUUUCUUUGUGAAAUGAUAUAAUAGAAAUUGGUUGUUACUAAUCCUAGUAUUGAAAAUAUUAUGGUUUUGAGUGGAGUUACAAAUUUUUCAAAAAAAGAAAAAAGCAAAAAUGUAGGGAGGUGCAGUAUGGGUAUGCAUGGGUAUGAGUGUGACAGGUUUAAAGGUGAUACGGUGCGGUGCAGGGCGGUUAUAAAAUUUGCGGAUUUAGAGAAAAACCUCACCGCACCAUUGCCACCCUAUUUGUGGUCUCUUCAUAGUUGUAGAAAGACUUUAUUUUGUGCGUGGUGUAUCCUUUAUAUCUCCACUUCAAAGACUCAUUCUCACACUUACUGGUUUUUUGUAGUUUCGCCAGUCGCUUCUUGAAAUGUAGAGACCCAUAUGCCAAACGAAGACAUCCUCUUGUGGACUCAACUUUAGUUGCAGAAAUUAGAAGAUGCAUUGACCAAGGGAUUGAAUUUCAAGGCGAACUGUUAAAUUUUAGAAAUGAUGGAUCUCCCCUGAUGAAUAGACUGCGUAUAACUCCAAUAUAUGGGGAUGAUGAAGCGAUAACUCAUGUUAUUGGUAUUCAGUUCUUUAAGGAAGUAAAUAUUGAUUUGGGUCCACUUUCAGGAUCCUUGGUGAAGGAGCCCACAAGAUUAUUGGAUAGGUAUUGUUCUGGUCUUUCUUCUUGUUGACCAGUCUCUGAAGGAAACCCCGCUAUCAAUCGUGGGGUUUGUGGUGUACUGCAAUUGAGUGAUGAGGUCCUAGCACUCAAAAUUCUUUCACGGUUGACCCCAAGAGAUAUUGCAUCUGUUGGCUCUGUUUCUAGACGACUUUAUGAGCUGACUAAAAAUGAAGAUCUUUGGCGGAUGGUCUGUCAAAAUGCAUGGGGUAGUGAAACAACUCGUGUGUUGGAGGCGGUGCCAAGAGCUGAAAGAUUGGGUUGGGGUAGAUUGGCUAGAGAAUCAACUACUCUAGAAGCAACAGCUUGGAGGAAGUUAACUGUUGGAGGUGUUGUUGAACCAUCACGCUGCAACUUCAGUGCAUAUGCAGUAGGGAACUGUGUUGUACUCUUUGGUGGAGAGGGGGUAAACAUGCAACCAAUGAAUGAUACUUUUGUAUUAGACUUGAAUUCUAGCAAUCCAGAGUGGAAAUGUCUAAGUCAGCUCUCCUCCUCCUGGCCGUUGGAGGCACAAACUCUCUUGUGUGAAUGGAUCUCAUCUUGUUGUGUUUGGACGAUGUUGAAGGCAGGGUCUCUUGAAUGAUGUCUUUGUGUUGGAUUUGGAUGCCAAACAACUAGCAUGGCGUGAAAUCUCUAGUUUGGCACCUCCGCUUCUAAGAUCUUGGCACAGCUCCUGUACCUUGGAUGGAACCAAGUUGAUAGUCUCUGGUGGUUGUGCAGAUUCUGGUGUACUUCUCAGUGAUACUUUCCUGCUUGAUCUGUCUAUGGAGAAGCCUGUGUGGCGUGAAAUACCAGUGACAUGGACUCCACCUUCUCGUUUGGGC